CAAUCUUUAAUUUGCAAAGAGCUGGAAGACUCGAAAUUGAAACUGACAAUUCUUCACAUCCUUUAAUAACAAGCUUCUCCAAUGCAGGAAGGUGCUCUGGAAAUGUUCCUUUCAGUUUAGAACAUCUUAAAAUGUGAAGCUCUCUCAAUUUAGGAAACCCUUCAACUCUUUGACUGGAUCCAUGAGGAAUCCAGUCUUCCCAUUCUCGCAUGUUUUCAAAACGAAGAGUCUCCAAGCAUGGAAAAGGAAUUGGAGGAUCAUUCCCAUAGAACUCUGAACCCAACCUCUUUACACUAGUCAUUCCACAUACUGCAAGAUGCUUUAGAGAGGGUAGUUGCCCGACUGACGGCAGGGUAGGACACAUGCCACAAUAUUCAAAUUUUAAGGUCACCAACUUUGAGAAUGAGGAAUCUCCGAACCAAGUUGGAAAUUUUGCACCUCUAUAGCCGCUGAUACAAAAUUGUUCCAAAUUUUUAUUGGGUUCUAGCAUGUCAAGCACGUCCUUUUCAAUUUCCGCCUCCCUUGAAGACGAGCCAUCGGUACUGAGUGUCCAUCGAAGCAAUAAUUCUCUAAGAUUCUUCUUUCCAUCCAAUUGAGCCUCCUUUGCAUCACCAACGUCUUUUACAUUCUCCAAUUUUGAAAUGUUAAGUGUCCCAUGAAGGUGCGUCAACAACUUUAGCUCUCGUAACCCGGAACCACUGCCUUUUCCCACAACAAAAUUACACAACGUCUGAAGACUAGUCAACCUACCAAUUCCUACUGGCAUUUCCUCCAACGACUUCGUAUUUGAAUUCUUAAGAUGAUGCAAUUUGGCGAGGUUUCCCAUGUCUGCACACAACUUCUUCAGCCGAUCACAAUCUUCCAACAAAAGACUAUGCAAAUUGUAAAGCUUGUUGACUGAUUCAGGCAGAGUUCUAAUCUCAGUUGUAGACAGGUUAAGGUACCUUAAAUACCUCAAAUCACCAAUUGAAUCAGGCAGCUCAGGGAUGCAGUAUCCACGCAAAGAGAAGACCCUCAAGCGUCGGAGUUUGAGCAACUUAGGAAGAAUGCUAGGAGCCAAGAAGCCAGGCGAACUUUUUGUCAACAUUACUGGUAAAAAAGUUCUCAAAUGCUGGAUAUCAUACAAGUCCCCAAACCUUUUACCGCCAUCAAAAUAUUCAGGAAUGUAUGAUAGAUGACGAAGAUUUUCGGAAAAACUUUGCUGCUUGUAAAUUUCUGAGGUAUACUCCAUUGUGAAGUAUAUCUCCCCCGCAGCCCAACGGGCAAGGUCAUUGAUAAGAUCGUGCAUCACAAAUCGUGAUGUAUUGUUGCUUAAUUGCUGGAAAAAAGAUCUUGAACGUAGCUCUUGAAAGAACUUUCGACCUAGAACUUCGUUAGGAUUCCCACUCUCUUUAUGAACCAAGAAACCCGAAGCACUCCAUAAUAAAAUUAUCUCCUCCUCUUCAAAUUCAUAAUCCUUCGGAAACAACGAGCAGUAUGCAAAGCAUUGUUUCAAAAUUGGAGGAAGAUAAUAAUAGCUCACUGCAAGAGCUGGUAUAAUGGGACAUCUAUCUUCUGGUAAUUCCCAUAUCUUGCUACUGAGCACAUCUUCCCACACACCUCUGUCAUGUUCUCCACAUAAAAGUCCUCCCAGUGUUUUUGCUGCCAAGGGCAAGCCAUUGCAUUUGAUCACUAUCUUCUUACCAAUGUCCUCCAAUGACUUGUGUGAACUGAAAUCUCUUGUCCCCAAAGAGUGCUGAGCAAACACAGACAGACAAUCCUCAGUUGACAAGUUUUUCAAUUCAUAAGCUUGAUCCGGCCUCAUGAUUUUUGCAACCUGUUGAUUGCGAGUAGUGACAACAAUCUUACUUCCCUGUGCGCCAGCUUCAAACGGACGGCUCAUGUCAACCCAGUCAUUGUAAUUCUCAUUCCAAACGUCGUCUAAAACGAGCAAAAAUUUCUUUUGAGAUAACUUCUUCUUCAGCUCCUCUUGAAGCAAAUUUAAAUCACUGUCAUCAAUAGUCUGCUUGGUAAUGGAUCUUAGAAUUGUUUUUGUUAGCCCCUUAACGUCGAAAUCCUCAGAGACACAAGUCCAUGCCUUGAGAUCAAAAUGAUCCUGCACUCGCUUAUCAUUGUAGACAAGCUGAGCAAGAGUGGUUUUGCCCAGGCCGCCCAUACCUAUAAUAGGAAUAACAGAGAAUCCACCAUCGUUGCUUAAAUCAUCCCUCAACAGCAGUUCAACAACAUCCUUCUUUUCUGUUUCCCUGCCAUAUACUUUGGCUUCAGUCACUAAAGAGGUUGUCUCCAGCCUUUGACUGGCUUUGUUGGACCCUCCAGCUGAACUUUCUUUCAAAUCUAGCAAGUUUUUCUGUGUCACAAUUUCUUGAAAUCUGCUGUUGAUCUCUUUGAUUUUGGACAUCAAGCCAUAAUCGAACUGAAUCGAUUGUGGAGUAAAAGUGGUGCAGCAAGCAGGAAUGAGCUUCCGAAACUUACUUGUUCUGGCACGACUGCUACUGGGUUGAUCAUGAGCAGCAGCUGGUUCUCCAUUUCCAAGCAGCAACAUCCUCCGGAAAGCCUCAGUUUGAAACUCAUCCAACAAGUCUUCAACAUCAUAAGCCAAGUUCUGAAGCUUGCCAAGCCACUUCUUCACAGACCGAUUAGUUGUCUUCUUCUCCUCAGCAUCAUCAAGCACCGCCUUGAUCAUCUCCAACAUAUUCUCCCACUUCAUUAGAUAGUCUUGGAUCUUCUCUUGGCGUGCAAAAAACAGAAUCCCCUCUGAAGCUAACUUAUUGACCAGCAAAUCAACAGAUGCCGUAAGGAUUGCCUCUCCGAUGAUCGACAUUUUUUUUCUUUUUUUUGGGCAAAGGAAGAAAGGAGCAGAAUUAUGGGUUAUGGAAAGCAGAAUGAGAAUAUUGAACGGGUGAGAAAAUGGAUAAUUAAGCGGAAUGAGUUUGUGAUUGUGAAGGGUCUGGUACAGCAAGCUUAGUAGAAAUCACGCGUUUGUACUUUAUUGACCAAUGACUAAAUAAUUUGGCAAUGCACCCACCACCACCACUUGGUGAGCAAAAUGAAAAAGUUUAAUAAGUGGAGGGGUCCAGCAAAAUACGACGUAAAAUGUGGCAAGUCUCCCCACUUGUUGUUCGUUGCAGCUAAGAAAAGAAAAAACAGAGCCCACCACCCAUUAAUAAUUUAGCAAAUCACCAAUCAUCACAAAAUUCCAUUAGAUAUUCGUCGAUCAAGUAGUUAAUCCAGUGUCUGCUACGUAGAGCCUUCACUUUACAAAUCUUCAACUCAUAAACCAAGUUAAAUCAAGACGUUUCUCUCUCUGUAUAUAUUUUUUUUAACUCCUAAAACGUUUCUUUUUAGAAAUAUAUUACUUUAUUCAUCUAAUAUGUUAUCUAACAAAUAGACACAGAUGAAAUCACUCUAAAGUGAAGAUGAAAGGGGAAAAAAAAAACAUUCCAACCACCAAUAAUUUAGCAAGCGUCACUUUUAUUCCACCAAAGUGUAAAUAAAGCCAGCCCCCACCACCAUCGAUAAUUUUGCAAGCUUCACACGCUUGUUGUCUUCUCCUUGACGAACUGGACGGGGUGGACCAAGAAUCAAUGAAAGAAUUUUAAAAAUAAUAAUAAAAGAAAAACAUAAACAUUUUGGACUCAGAGUAGAACCGUAAUUAAUGCUAAAAUUUACUCCGCUAACGUUUUCAAAAUAUUGUUCUUUACAAUUGUACAGCAAAUAAGACUAAGUUUUGGACAUUUUCAUAUUCACUUACUUUCAAAAGCAGUAUUUCGAAACAUUUUACAGAAUCAAGUAACAGUUAUAUAACGAGAAAAGUGCAAAGUUGUGUAAUUCUAAUGUUUAUUUUAUCACUGACACUCAGAUCAUUUUUUAUUUGGGUCGCCAACUCGCCAAUGAACCCAUGAUUGAAUAAGUGUUUAGAAAGAAAAUCAAUAAAAAACAGUUUUUUUUUUGUCGUCGAAAUAUAGUAAGUGAGAAAGAUUAUUCUGUUUUUUUUGUUAAUUAGGUUAGUAAUUAUGAUUGAGUGACUCAGAACUAUAUUCUAGAUUGAGAAUCAAUGGUUCUCCCACACUGAGAGGCUGUAAGUUUAAGAUUGUCGUUUGCUAUUUCAUCAACAAGAGAACACUUGAAUUUAUUAAAAAGAGAAGGCCAUAAAAGUUUUCUUUUAUGAGAAAUGUAUCUGAUCAUUCCUUUUUACUUGAAAAUUUCAUAUAUAAAAACUCAUUAAUAAAUGACAGAAUAUACAUAAAUUAUUAAUUCAUUUGAUAGUUGAUUAUCGAAGGACAUGUGACCCAUGGGAGCAUGCAGACUAUAAAAUAAUUCUUUUUUUUAUUAAACAAAAAAUCGGUGAUGUUGAAAAGCAAUAUUAAUUCGACUGAUAAUUGGGGUGAACAUUCAUAAAAAGAAUGCCGUAUGAAACUAAAUUAUUAAUUCGUUUGACAUGUGACCCACAAUAAAUAGUUAAAUUUGGCGGCAACAAUAAUUACAAGACGAACUUAAAGCAGCGCAUAGGUUUUUCUUAAAAAUACAUAAACAAUUCGAUAUUUGAAAUUCUAAUAUCUCAAUAAUCUAGUUAUCCUGUAUUUAGAUCCACAUACAAUUUCUUUUUUUCUUUUUUCUGAUUUCCAAUCGUUACCAAAAGAAAAUAUUUAGUGAUCCCUUUUAUCAACUUGGUUUUAUUGACUUUCUUCCAAUCAUAGAAGUGAAAAGAGAAACAGAGGCCAGCACCAAUAAGUGUUGUGUUACCAGAUUCUGUAAAGACAAAAUCAGUGCCCAGCAAAAAGAAGCAAUGUUUUCGUUAUAUGCUGCUUCCUAUUUAGUACAUGCAUAUAAAGAUAUGCACGUGCACAUGCAGCACAUCUAUCUAAAAUUUAAAAAAAGUAAUUAGAAAUACAGGAAUUAUGGUAGAAAUAUAACAGGAAUAAGAGUGAAAUUACAAUUUUAAAAUUUGGGAGAAAUGAAAUGCGAUAUUUUUUUUAUGAAUAAAAUAAUUUAAUUUUUUUUAAUUCUACCAGCAAAAACCAUUAACUUAUCAAGUUAUUGGUUUCAUUCACAGUUAACAGUCGGUUUCUUAGUUUCAUUCCUUAAUUCUACAAGAAAAAAACAGAAUACUUGACAUUUACUAUUUGACAAUUUUUAAGAAAUGUCAAGCAUAUAUGACAUUUUGUGAAAAACUGAGUAAUUGUGAAAUAUAAAUGACAAUUUAUUUAAACGUCAAAUAAUUGUGACGUUUUAUCAAAUAAAUGAUAAAUAUAUUACAUAUUUAUUAAAUAAUUAUCAUUUACCUUUUCCUUUUAUUGACUUGAGAAAAAAACAAAAACAUUGACUAUACUGCUUUUGUUUUCGUUCUUAGAACAGAUUUUAGUUUCUUUUGAGAAAAUUCAAACUCAUUCCCAUUACUUUCUUUUCAAUAAUCACCUCUCAGUUUUUCAUCAAUCACUCAAUACCGAAUUACAUCUCCAUUCUCUUUCGAAGAAGAACGCACGAAGAAUUUUAGCUUGCUUUCGCUGCUUCUCGAAUAUUGGGUAUUGUUUCCUUUAAUUUAGAUAAUUUUUUUUUUUAUAUCUCUCUUUCUAGUUUGAUAAUUUAUGGUUAUACUUGAAUUAAUUGUAUUUUUAAUCAACCAAGGUUGAUUUAAUUGAUUCCAAGUCUCAAUUUCCUGUUCAACAAACAAGGAACGCACAAAUAAUUUUCAUUUUCAUACUCAAUUUUGAAAGAAUCAAUUUAUUUUAUCUUUGGUUAGUACACUUCUGUUCAAUUUUUGUUUAUUUAACUUAAGAUAUCUUUUUCUUUCUUUUCUUCAAGCAGAUUAUAGAUUAUAUUGAGAACAGAGCUUUCUCCUUAAUUCCGCCAAGAGCAACGUUGAUUUCAGGUGAUAAUUGAAUGUGUAAUAUUUUCAAUUGAAAUUAAUUGAGUCUCGUAAUAAUAAUAGGGAUUUGAGAUUUACAUCCUGUUGAAAUGAUUUUAGAGUGUUUUGCUAUUUGAAUGCGUAUUAAUUGUUCCUCUGUUUCAAAUCCAAAUCCACUGGUCUACUAUUCAUUAUGACAAUGCAUAUGCCGAUAUUGUCUUCCAUCCUUUGUGUACCUUUCAAUUUAGUGAGGUUUAGACAGGGGUUCCAGAUUUGGUAAAUCAACAAUCACCAGAUAUGUAGAGCGGCCGGAAGAGGAAGCAUGGUUCCUAAUCCUAAUCUUGAUUUAGAGCAGAUUAGGUAACAUGUGACAUUCUACAUUCUUGCAAUGCCAUUUCUUGUUAUGGCAGCGGCAUUCUUGGUCAUGGCAUCACAAGCAAAUGCUUUGAUUUGAAGACUUGCUUGGCUAUGAAAAAUAAGGAGAGCAAAGGUAAUUAAUCUUGGUGUGAUCAACAUUUUUAUGGGGGUACUAAGAAAAAUAAAGAUAAUAUAAGGAAUGUUGUUGAGGAGUAUUUUCAUAUUUACACAAGUAUUCAAAGUAAAAAUUGAUUUCUUAAAACCCAUUAGCUAGCGCACAUAAUAAUGGGGAGAAAAUUUUAGACUACGAAUGGUCCCGCCCAUUUAAUAAUAUUCUUCAAUCAAUUAUGUUUACUUCAAAAAAAAAAAAACCUAUCUCUUUAUUACUUUCUAACUAUUCAUAUUAAUGUGUUAAUAAUUAUGAAGAACCGGUGUAAUUUAUAUGAUGUAGGAAGCACUUUAGGCAAAAUCAUUUGAAUCUCAAAAUUUCGUGAUAUUGUGCCAAAUAUCGAAAACAGAGCUUCCUAUCACAGAAAUUAGGAAUCACUGGAGAGUAGAGUUACGUGACUGAAUAGUAUCAUAUCACAGAAACUCAAAACUCAAAAGUGCAAUAACAUUGAACAUUCAGCUGGCUAGCUUAUAUUGAUUAAUUAAUACUACUACUAGUUCUUUAUGAUUAAUUAAAAGAUAAAAUAUUUGACAAUCACGAAACAUUAUUCCAUCACUGAAGAGUAGAGCUUCCUACAUUGUUACCCAAGCUCUUUUAUAUCUCCCAAACAUUAUUAGAGUCCCACAUUUGUGGGCACAUCAUUAAGUAAAAUGUGCCAAUUAGGAAGAACUGGCUUCUUUGUUUUGUUUUCUGGGAUGUGUUGCAAUUUUCAAGUAUCAUUCAAAAUUUUACACCAUCAACACAGGAAAAUUAUAUAUAUUCUGUCAGCACUUGCAUAUGUUGCAAGUGCUGACAGAACUUUUCAUUUGAUUUGAUAAUUGGCUAAGGGUGAUUUCGAUAACGUUUCCAAAGAAGACAUAGAACAAAGAUCAAAAAGAAAAAUAAGUAAUUUGAUCAGUCGAUGCAAAAAAUGAGCGAGCUUCGUAGUCUGACUAACAGGAAAUGGCUUGGAGCAAGGAUCAAUGGACAAGUUUGAGGUUUAUGAAUAAACAGAACAGAGGAAAUAAGUGAUCAAUUUAUUACUUCGUGCAAUGGCCACAGCAACAGCGAAAAUAUGUCUACAUGACUACAUUAUCCGACUGGCAUGGUACUAUAACCGUGCAGCAUUACACUAACAUUUCCUUAUCAAUCAAUUUUGAUGGUAUGAUAUUAAAAACAUAGAUUUCAUAAUUUUAUGUAAUUCAAAGAAAAGAUAUAAUUGAUUUGAGUUAGUUUAACAUAUAAGGAAAGAGUAAUGGGGAAUGAUGUUGAUGUGGCAUGUGAUGAGUAAAGAUAGACAACAAAUAUUGAUCGUGUAAUAAUGAAAUAUGUAUUUAUUGAAAAUAAAUUGACAAUUAAAAUUAAUAGAUAUAUAUCCAAUGCAUCGAGUUUAUUUUAUCACUUCGCUAACCAUUUUGUAACUACAUGUUAAUUAGAAGUUCAAUUAAUUUUGACCAAAGACUCUAGAGAAUGUCGAAAAGAGAUUUGAUUUUUGUCUUAAAAAAAAUUAGAAAUGAAAUAAGUCAAAAUCAAUCACAAGAACAACAACAAGAGCAUAUUUUAUAAAACCACAAAUACAUAAUAUAAAUUUAGUUUCGAAUUAGAUAAUUAUUAAUUUGUAUUGUAAGAGAGUCUUAUAGAAAAAUAGGAAUUUUUUAAAAGGAGAUUUGCUUAAGGAACAACUUUAGUUAAUGGAAGGAAAUACAAGUUUGAUUUUGACAAAGUAAUCACUAAAAUAUUUGACAAGUUUGAGAUGUUAAAAAACUGGAAAAAUAGACAAAUAAUGAAAACCCUACAAGUUGGCAAAGCGAAUAAACAGAGGAAAACAGAGCAAAUAUUUACCGUUAUACAUAUAUUUUUUUAUUUUUUUCCGAAAAAGAAUGUUGCGAUAUUUUUUCCCAAAAAGAAGCACAGUUUGAUAUUACUACCAAAGAACUUUAGCUACCAUAUAUAAGCACGUGUCUAAUUACCAAAUGAAUUCCGCUAUAACAAAGAAUAAAAGCUAAUUUCAUUGAUGGCAUAUGUCGUGCUUUCUUUUCUUUUAUUUUAUUGAAGUUACUUUGUAAACUGCUCCAAGCUAAAUACAAAAUUUACUCUUACACUAGGAUCUUUGCAAUGGUCCAGCAAUUUGUAUUUCCAUUCGGUGAGGUUGGUUUUUUUCUUUAAAGUUGGGAAGUCCAUGUUUGCCAUCAAGAGUACGAUUAAAGAAGAGAUGUUACAAUACACAAAAAGGAAAAAAAAUGCCCAAGGAAGCUUGGGACACUUUUGCAAUGAUUUUUUUUCAAUGAAGAAUAACACACAACUACAACUUUUGGACAAUGAGUUACAGUCAAUUUCACAGCAAAGCAACUUCAAUAACCGCAAAAUUUUUGGGUUAGAUCCUACUGUUGCAAUUUCUGAAUCCAGAAUGAAGAGAAUUAUUAUCCAUAGCUUGGUCAUAUACAAUAUGUGUGUGCGUGUGUGUAUGUGUGUGUAUUGGGAUGUCACAGGCCCUAAAAGAUACAGCUGAACAUCAAUCCUAAAUCUAAAGUGAAAAACAGUAGCUAGAACAUAAUCUUUGUUUUGAUGUCUUUGUUUAUAAGCUCAAACAAUUGACAGUAUAGAAAAUGCAUGAUAGAACAUAGAACUCAUAUUUUAGCAAUAAUCCUAAGCUCACUGGCCCUUAGUUCAAACUGGCAGUUCUUAUUAGUCAAAGAAUCAAAUUGACUUUUAGUUGUAUAUAAGUAGAGCACUAGAUCAACAAAUAAUUGAAGACUUGCUUGGCUGUGGAACCAUAGGAAGGCAAUUCGUGAACAGCCUUGAUAUUUCAUUUGGUUUUAUUUAAUUCUUUGUAAAGUCGUAUUGUAUGUAAAAUUUUUGUUAAAUGAAAUCGGUAUGUGAAGAGAAUUUUUAAAAGCAACCAUCAAAGUCACGAUCAAAGGGACGAAAUCAGUAUAAAUAUUGAUUGUCUCAAGUUAGAUUAUACAAAGAUGAAAUAAUUCUAAUCUAGAAAAUUCGAUCAUUAUAAUUUGAUUUCCAUUAUAUUAAUUAUGUUCAAUCUUGCUAUUUUAAUGAAGAACACUCGAGGAUUUAUAUACACUCAGCUUAUGAAAUUAAUUACAAAACGAUCUUUGACCAAGUCUGAUGAAAAGAUCAUAUUAUAAGUGCAAAGUUACACUUCCCGAUCAUGCAACUAUCCAUCGAAUUGUGUAUUGUGUUAUCGUUGAGCUCUUAGGAAGAUUCAGCUGCUGAGGAGAAGAUGUAAUCUGUUUUUAUGUGACAAGCCAUGUACUCUGCUUUUAUGGUGUUUCUCUUGGUAGUUUUGGACAAAACUGUAAUGUAAAUUUCUAUCUUAAGGGAUUCCUAAUCCUUUUAGUUAGUUUGGGAUUGUUGAUUUAUCUAUGAUGUUUGGUAUCCAAAAUUCAGGUGAUGAUAAUCUUCGCAGUACUUUUGUCAAAUUUUCUUUUAUGUUGGUGUUGUUUUAAUUAAAUAUCACAAAGGUGCAAAAUGCGGUAAAAUUAACAUUGAGCUCAUGAGAUUGCCAUUAGAUAUAUUGAAAAAGAAAUUGAUACAAGAAACUGAAAAUUAGUUGUUAAUUAUGAUGGGAAUAUAAUCUUUGAAUUAUAAUUAUAUCUAUCUAACGCAUGUGCACUAAUCUUAUUUAUCUCUAUCACUGAAAAAGCAGAGUGGCCUGAUUGAAUAGUAUCAUAUUAUGUCACAGCAAUCACAAAAACUCACUCAACAUUAUGCUAAUUUAUACUAAUUAAUUAAUACGACUAACAGGAAAAGUUGGAUCUCGCCUUGCUAAAAAUCAGGUGAUUGUUUUUCAUUUUUGCGGCUACUUGACUCAAUUAUGUUAUUGCAAGAGGAGAUUUCUAUUUUGUCCGGUUUAAGCCAUAAGAUGGGUUUUAAGAUUCAUUCUGAUUGGUUAUCUGUUAGCUUUUUGUUUUAAGAACUUCUUAUUUACGAAAGCCAAAUUCUUCUUUCUAGGUUUAUUCAUAUUCAGAAGUUGCUUUUGUCAUAUCAGAAGAAGAGGCUAAGACUGUUGAAGUACUAGAAGGGACUACUGCGCUGAUUGCCUUUUUCAUGGGCUUCUAAUAUCCAAUGUUGAUUAUCUCUUCCAUUUGAACAUGAGAGUAAAAAGAUAGUUGAUAUUUAUGUUACAAAAGUUGGAAGCGACUUAAGCAAUUCAGUAUCAUGCGAGGACUAUAAUAAUAACCCCGAUUAUUUUGCCUCUUGGAUUUUUUUGUUAAUUCACUUGCUUUAUGCUUAUCCGACCUCUGAUUUUUUCUUAAUAUUUCUUUGUAGUUCACUUCACAGCACUUAUAGCCGCUGCAUUGGCAUUUUCUGCUAUUUGUUAUUGUUCAUUGAAGCUAGUUAGUUUACGAAAUUUCUUUUUGAUAAAUCUUCUUCAGAGGGUUGUGAGAGGCCAAAUCAAUUGAGAUGACCGGGUUUUCUAGAUCAGCCAUCUUUGUCGUCAACAGUGCUAAACUGUCAAUUACUGAGACACCAAACUCUAACCCGAUUCAUAUGGAUGUAGACUAAAGCUUCUUGCCGAUACCAUCCCAGUCAAAGCUGCUAUCUUUGAAAGUUUCGCAAGACAAAACAACGUUGGUUUCCCAGUCGACACAAAUACAGAUUUCAUAUGUGCAGAUUGCUCUCAAUCUCUGUUUAAUAAGCUAGUCCUCUGCUGUAUCCUAGAAGGUGGAACAAUACAUUAUGCUUCCCAGCAGGCUCCAAUGGGAUCUAUAUAUGUUUCUGCUGCCAAAUUUUUGAAAGCGAUCAUUGUGAAUAUCGCUGCCCAGUCUGAAGUGGGCUUUGAUACUUGUGACAAUACUCCAUCGAGGCUGUAAAGAAGCCGUGGGUGUACAUUUCUGGUCCAACAAUCAAUCUAACUGGCUUACUUUACAGCAACAAAGAGAUAGAAAAUAUAUUAACUGCUUGUGCAGAAUAUGGAGCAAGAGCUUAUUUAGUGUCGUGUCAAAAUAAAUAUAACAAAGUUUAAGCUGAAUAUAAAUUGUUAAUUACAGGCAGAGCAAGUUGAGUUUAAAAAAUGCGAAGCACCCAGUCCCAAAACAGAGAAGCUUGACGUUGGCCGGCAGGAUUAAUAUUAUUUUUUUUAACAACAAUCAAAGCCAGUCGGGAAUUUAUUAAGAGGUUAAUUAGUUGAAGUAUAAAAAAGGAAUUAGCAGGAUUCACGCCCGACCAAAUCCACAUGGCCAAAGCAAAGGAUUAAGUUUGAGAGAUUAUAAUGAAAUAUAAGUAAGCUUCGCACAUGCAUGCGUCUGACUGACAGAACAAAUGAAGGAAACAUAAACUUAUCAUUUUUAAGAUGUAAGCAUCAAAACAUUCGACAAGUUUGAGGUUCGUGAGAUAUUGGGAAAAUAUACAAAUAAUAAAGCCACUACAAGUUAAGCAGAGCAAAUAAACAGAGGAAAUAACUGAUCAAUUUAGUUCUUUGUGCAAUGGCCACAGCAACAGAGAAAAUAUGCCUACACGACUACAUUAAUCCUACUGGCGUGGUACUAUCACCAUGCAAAUUAACAUUAACAUUUCAUCAUCAAUCAGUUCUGAUGACAUGAUAUCAAAAACAUUGAUUUCAUAAUUUUAUGUAAUUUCAUAUAAAAGAUAUAUAUAGUUUAUUUGAGUUAGUUUAAAAUAUGAAGAAAGAGUAAUGGGGAAUGAUAUCGCUGUAGCGUGUGAUGAGUAAUGAUAGACACCAAAUAUGGAUCAUGUAAUUAUGAUAUAUGUAUUUACUGAAACAUAUUUGGCAAUAAAAUGAUGCUUUAAAAAUUUAAUAUUGUUUGCUUGAAAAUAAUUUGACAAUUAAAAGUAAAAGAUGUAUAUGCAAAACUUUGACCUUAUUUUAUCACUUCACUAACCAUUUUGUAAGUACAUCUUAAAUCGAAGUUCAAUUAAUGCUGACGAAAGACUCCAGAGAAUGUCGAGAAGAGAUUUGAUUUUGGUAUACCAAAAAAUUACAGAUGAGAUAAGUUAAAAUCAAUUACAAGAACAACAAAAAGAAUAUAUUUUAUAAAAGCCACAAAUACAUAUAAUAUAUAAUCAGUUUCGAAUUAAGUAAUUAUUAACUUAUAUAGUGAGAAAGUGUUAUAGGAAAGUUGGAAUUUUUUAAAAGAGAUUUGCAAAGGAAAAAGUUUAGUUUAGUUUAGUUUGCGAAGGCUCAAGUAAUUCAAAGCAAUUAGCAAUGCAAUUGAAGGAAAUAUAAACUUCUAAUUUUUACAAAGUAAUCGCUAAAAUAUUUGACAAGUUUGAGAUUUUCAAAAAGCUGAAAAAAAUAGACAAAUAAUGGAGACCCUACAGAUUGGUAGCGCAAAUAAACGGAGGAAAAUAUGGCAAACAUUUAUUUUUUCCAAAAAGAAUAAAAGCACGUGUCUAAUUACCAAAUAACUUCACUUUAAAAAAUAAUAAAUGCUAAUAUCAUUGUUAGCACAUGUUGUGCAUUUUUCAUUUAUUUAUUUGCUAUUACUUAUUGAAGUUACUUUGCAAACUGCUCCAAGCAAACUACAAAAUUUCUUAUCACUCUAGGAUCUUUGCAAUGGUCCUGCAAUUUGCCUUCCUUUCUAUUAGGUUAGCUGUUUAUUCAAAAGAAAAAAAAUUGGGGAAAUGGAAACCUCACCCUCUUAAUACAGAUUUUGAAUUUUAUUAUUAUUAUUCAAAAUUAGAUAACUAUGCAAAUAAUGGGCGGUUAUAACCAGUGAAACUGUGUCUAGCUACGACGCAGGUUUAAUUUUCUCUUGAUUAAAUAUAUAAACAAAACUAAAUCACCUGAGCCUCUGGUUUCACUAUUUUUCAACUUGAAAUUAAAACGCAAAAAUUGAUGGUAUUGGAGUUCGUUGUUUAGUUUUGCUGUAGGUCAUGGGGAAUCAAAUAGCCAUCCAUUUUUAAGUCUAUUUUAUGUACUAUUGGUCACUAAGUAUUGGGAUGUCAUAGGCCCUAAAAGAAAAAGCUGAAAAUCAAUCCCCUAUCUAAAGUGGAAAACAGUAGCUAGAACAGAAUCUAUGGUUUGAUGUCUUAGUGUAUAGGCUUAAACAAUUAAUAGUAUAGAAAAUGCAUGAUAGAAUUCAUAUUUUAGCAAUAAUCCUCACCUCACUGGCCGUUAGUUCAGAAUGACAAUUCUUAUUAGUCAAAGAAUCAAGAUGAUUUUUAGUUGUAUAUGAAUAGCGCAGUAGAUCAACAAAUAAUUGAAGACUUGCUUUUGCUAUUGAACCACGCGAUGGCAAUUCGAAGACUACAGCUUAGCUCUGCCAUUCGAAGUAAGCAAAUCAGCUGCCCAAAGACUGCCAAGCCAUCAAGACAAUACCAAGAUACAACAUCAAGAAUUACAUACAGGCCGUCACAUAUUACAUUUCUCCUCUGUUUUAAGAGAGAUUUACGAGCCCAUGCAGUAGAAGUAAUUAAUUAAUUUAUACAGUUCAGUACUCAUUCCUCCUCUGUUUCAAAUCCAAAUCCACUGCUCUGCCAUUUAUUAUGACGCAGGGUAUAUGGGUUAGCAAGUGUCGAUAUUGUCCUUCAUCCUUUGUGUACCUUUCUUCUAACAAGGGACAGCACGAGAUCUCUAAUCACAAAAGAGAGGCAGGCAGGCCGUUCGCUGGAAAGUACUUGAGCUUGGGACAAUUACAGAGUUUCAAUGAAAUGAGGUUUUGAUGAUCAACAAUUGAAGAAGACAGGCGUUCCAAAUUUGGUAAAUCAACAAUCACCAAAUAUGCUAGAGUGGCAGGAAGAGGAAGCGUGGCUCCUAAUCCUAAUCUUGAUUUAGUAUUGCGUAUGUAACAUGUGGCAUUCUACAUUCUUGCAAUGCCAUUUCUUGUUAUGGCAGUAGCGUUCUUUCACCAUGGCAUCGCAAGCAAAUAUUUGACUUGAAGACUUGCUUUGCCAAGAAAAAUAAGGAGAGCAAAGGUAAUUGAUUUUGGUGUGAUGAAUAUUUUUAUGGGUGUUCUAAGAAAAAUAAAGAUAAUAGAAGUAAUGUUAUCGAGGAGUAUUUUGAUAUUUACAAAAGUGUUCAAAGAAAAAAGUGAUUUUUUGAAAUCUAUUUGCUGGUGAACAUAAUAAAAUGGCAUUCCGACUUCUGCGUAAAUUUAAAACUACAAAUAGUUUUACUCUUUUAAUAAUAUUCUUCAAUUAAUUCUGUUUCUUUCACAAUAAAAAAUCCAUCUCUUUAUUACUUUCUAACUAGUCAUACUAAUGUGUUAAUAAUGAAGAACCAGCGUAAUUUAUAUGAUAUAAGAAGCCCUUUAGCACAUUAACCCGAAUUUAGCUAAUGCAUGUGCCUAAUAUAGCGAAAUCAACAUUCGGCUCAUUAGAAUGCCAUUAUAUAUACUGAAAAAGAAAUUAAUACAAAAAAAAACUGAAUAUUAAUUGACACUGGAUCAUGUUGGAUUGUUAGUUGUUAAUUAUGAUGGGAAUACAAUUUUCAUCUUUUGAUUAUCCGCUAACUAAUGCAUGUGCACUUUCAUUUGUGUCUAUAUAUACAAAAACUUGUAUCCCAUGGUUUACAUAUGUAUGAAGAUAAUGUAAUAAAGUGCUUUUGAUAAAUUCCCCUGGUCUGUUUACUUCACUAAUUCAUUAAUGUGCAAGUCCUCUAUAGAGCUGUGUUGUGCGUACAAGUUUUGCUACAUGAAAUCGUUAGGUGAGGAGAAUUUUUAAAAGCAUACAUCAAAGUAAUGAUUAAAGGGACAAAAUCAACAUAAAUAUUGAUUAUCUUGAGUUAGAUUACACAAAGAUGAUAAUGUAGUAAAUUUAUCAUAAUACACUACUAAAAAAUGCAUUUUAAUGACACAAAUUUUAUGACAUACAUCUUUAUGUCAUGAAAAUACUUGCAUGAUGUAUAAUGCUUCUGUGAUUAUUUGAUGAUAAAUUCAUAAUUGAUGCAGAUACAAAAUGAAGUGAUGAUAGGUAAAUAUCAUGUGAUUUUUUUUAUGGGUAAGAAUAUUUGAACCCACCAAAUUACUCUUUAAACUUACUUUUUUAUUGAUAAUUUUAUUACAAAAUUACUGANNNNNNNNNNNNNNNNNNNNNNNNNNNNNNNNNNNNNNNNNNNNNNNNNNNNNNNNNNNNNNNNNNNNNNNNNNNNNNNNNNNNNNNNNNNNNNNNNNNNNNNNNNNNNNNNNNNNNNNNNNCCGCAAAACUCAAUCAAAGUAUGCUUAUUUUCUUCUUCUGCACAAGUGUAGCAAAGUUUUUAAUAAGUUCCUCCUUCAUCCACAGUUGAGAACUUUCUAACUUUUGUUUCUUGUUCUAGUAAUUUGGAUAUGCUGUGUUAGAUACUGAAUUUAUUAAAUUUCUUCUUCUCUUUUGAAUAAAAUCUCUUUAAAAUUCAAUCCAUAAAAAAAAAAUUAAUCUCCUUAUAAUUUAAUAUGUUUCGGCUGUCUUAGUGGAAUGAUGCAAUUUGUGUCAAUCAAAGUUUUGAAGCAUCCUAAAUUAUAUAUUUUUUUGUUUAAUUUGUUUAGAGUUCAAUUGUUUAGAUCUAGGCUAAUUUUUAUUGAUAAUAUUUAUGAUUAAAUUAUAUGAGUAUGCUUAAAUUUUUUUUUCCUUCAAAUUUAUUUUCUGAUGUUGCAUUUGGUUAGCAAAAAGAUAAAAAUAGUAGAAAAUGUCCGAAUUAUUGUUAUGAAAAUGUUGUUUUAGUCUGAUAUUGGGAAAAUAUCCUUAUACAUAUCGGCAUGAUAUUCAUGGGAGACCAAAUUGAGAAUGAUGGCAGACUAUGCAUUGCUCACAACUAAUUUAAAACUCACUAUUUCUAUUGUUUGUGUUUUAGUAACUUUGGGGGAAUUCCAACUAUAGUUAAUAAGCUAUAAACUUGUUUAGGAUUACUAAUCAACUUGCUAGAAAGAGUUGCAAACUAAUUAGCUUUCUCUUAUAACUUUUACAGAUCAUCUGUGGAGGAGAACUGCAAGGAGUUGAAGACUCUAGACCCUAAACUUCAUAUCUUGAUUUAUAAGUGCAAUGGCCAUAAGUCCGAAUUAUGGGCUGGAGAUGGUAUAUGUAAUCUUUCUGCUCUUGGUGUUUUUUUUUUUUUCCCCUCUAGUUAUUUUUUGCUCUCUACUCCAUUGUAUAUUUGUAUUCAAAAGUAUUUUUUUCUUUGUUUUAAGCUUUCAAAUUUAUGGAGAUGAUCUUAUUAGGUGUUAAAAAAAUAGUUGUAGAGCUUUACUAAAACUAUGUAAACUCUUAUUGAGAUUUGGGUUUGAUUUUGUAAGAUUGCUAAAAAUUUCAUAUUUUAUACUUGUUUUAUACUUUUCUAGUCGAAUUUCUUGCUUGUGGAAGAUAAAAUAAAAGUCCAAUUCAUGUUGUAAAAUUUUUUUUUCCUCCCUUUUUUCUUCCCUUAUAAUCUGGCUCUGGUUUUGGUGCAGUUUAUGGUUUCAAUGCAGGGAACCAAUUUCAUCAGAAUCAUCUUAAAGGAUCAAAGUGGCUUCCUUUUGUAACUGGGUAAGUCAAUGCUACUUCCUGAAUUCGAUUUGGAGUUCUUUCGGAAUAGAUUUCCUUCCCUUACAUCACUUGGCUUCUAGUUGCAUCUUCUUGGCUUUCUCCAACGGACUUUUUUAUUGGCAAAUUCGUUUGUUUCUAUUGUUUUCAAGUGCUAGUGCUGGAUUUGGAGGUAUGAAUGGUGCCUUCAUUUUUAUUUUUUUAAUUUUCUUUUGGGUGUAUAGUACUGUAAUAUACUUCUUUGUAUAGCUAGUACAAAAUAGUUCUUUAAUUUUAUUUGUCAUGAUUUAUUUCUAUUGCCUGGUGAUGACACCCAUCACGACUUAGUAGUCGUGAAUAAAUCGAAAAUCAAAUUGCACUGGUUUUUACCGGUUAUCAACAAUUGUGAUGUUUUGAGAUUAUAACAUACUUGACAACGCCGACUAGCGUUCUCUCCUAUGUGAAUUGGGACAAAAAUUAUUUUCCCAAUCACGCUUUCGUUUGAACAAUUCCACUUCAGAUAUAUAAAAUAAUGAUGAAAUUGUGUUUUAAAAUUAGUUACGAGUAAUUGGUUCAAUAUUAAUACAAAACUAUUUUAAGUAACACGUGGCAUAUUCUAAUUCCAGUGAGCUUCUAACUCAGAUUCCCAAAUCAAAAGAAACGUUUCAAUUUUCUCCAGAACGUUCUGCAAAACAUUUCUUCGAGUCUCUACGUUGUGCUAGAAUUUUCUCUCAGUUUCUUUUCCAUAGACUUCUAAAAAACUGUCCAGAUACCGAGAUAUAAUCCAAUCUAAGUGUACAUAUUGUAAGAAAAACGAUACACAGUGAGAUAACAAUUUAAAUAGUAGCUAAUUUAAACAACAAUGUAAACUAGCAAUGGGAAACAACAAAUGAAGAACUGAAGAGAAAGGAGACCAAAACAGAAAUAUAAACCCGAGGCCUGCGGACAGUUUCCUUAAACAUAUUUACCCCCUCUUGGAGUGCUUUAGGUCAGCUGGUAUCUGUUUCCCAGGAUACAACAGGCACGAAUUUUCGGCUAAGCACAGGCUAGAAAUUCUGGCGAACCACAACAACGAGCUCGAUCAGAGAAAACAGACGACGAAGAUGGAGGAAGGAAAAUAAGUGUGCUGGUUUUUUCAGUGUGCAAAAAAACAGAAGAGGAGAUGCCUUUUUAUAGUCAUAUGAGGAUGUAACAGCUACUUUGUAUUGAAUUUCUGAAUUCAAUAUAUUUUAUUUAAUUGUUAUAACAGCCAAAUCAAUUCAAUGAAUUGAUUUCAAAAUUGAAUUAAAAAAAACGUGAAUUAUAUAACAGCUAAAAAUAAUUGUUGAAGCUGUUACAAAUCCUUUGAAUUCAAACGUGAAACUGUUACAAUAAAAAAAAUUUUAAAAGGAAAUUAAAAACAUGCCAAGCUUGCAUGGAUGAUUUUGGGCUGACAUUCGCGUACGCAGACGAGUUCAACCAAAUUGGUCAUGGAUUUGCACCCCCCUGCACACGCGCACGUGGAGAGAGCCUCUAUCCUUAUAAUUCUUGAACAAGCAUGGUUAAGUGUUUAUAUAUAAACACUAAUCCCUAGGCUUCUUUUUCCCAUGUGGGAUAAGCCUAAUUUCUUUUCAAAUUUCCAACUUCAAAGGUGAACUUUGAGAGACAAUUUCUCAUUCACCCAAGCACCAUUUUGAGAAAAUAAGAUUAUACUUUUGAAGUAUCAAAGGAGUAGAAUCCGAACCUCACAAGAUUUUCCACUUUCGUUAAGUGGGACCCACUCAAAAUAUGCCCUCAAAAUAGCAUCUAUAUAUGCUAUUUUUUCAACAAUCCCCCACAUGAAUGAAAAUUGGCAGUAAAACAAAAAACCGCUAUAUUUUUUUUACAUCAAAACCAUUUUUGACCUUAAUGAUUGAGUUUAUUGGAUUGAUACCUAGCACAUGAUAGGUUGGUGUUAUCCUUUUAACCUUCCCUUGUAAUAGUAUAAUUACUUUACUGGCUGAUCAGUAGACGCGAUGUCUUUGAACUGUGCGGCCGUUAGUGUAAACGAUCAUAUACUACACAUAGGUAUUUCUCCUAACACUGUUGAGUUCUCAUGGUUAUGUUCGUUUUGGCCUUGAACAUCUACCUGGUUCUGCAAGAGUUUCUAAGAGCUAAACCCAUCAUAGCUCCCUUUGAAGCGGCCCCACUUCUCUCUCACAUAGGUGAUAUCUUAAUUAAAAGUAACCCGCAUUACUCCGCUCGAAUUUUCCGACGCAUAAGAAUCAUUAAGAGCCUAGCUCAACCUUAUUCCCCACGAGCAUCAUUGUUUCAUAAUAUGAAUGGUCAAUGAGGUAAUCUUCUCAAGAGAAUAAACCCCACAAUAAUCCAACUUUAGUCUUUAACAAAUAGGUUGUUCAAUUGAACCUAGAUCUUGGGAUCUCCAGUCUACUAGGUUGGGUUUUCCUUCGUUAUUGACUAAUCAAUCUAUGAGUUUUAAUCCCAUUCCCCUCGAUGAUUUUUCUACUAGCUCUCUAUUUAACCCUUUGGUUAGCGAAUCCGCAAUGUUAUCCUUUGACCUCACAUAGUCAAUAGAAAUAACUCCAGUAGAAAUAAGUUGUCUAAUGGUAUUAUGUCUAUGACGUAUGUGUCUAGACUUACCAUUAUACAUAUUGCUUUGUGCCCUACCGAUAGCUGAUUGACUAUCACAAUGUAUACAAAUCGAAGGCACAUGCUUUGGCCACUUUGGAAUACCUUUUAAAAAAUUGCGUAGCCAUUCUGCUUCUUCACCACAUUUAUCUAAUGCAAUGAAUUCAGAUUCCAUUGUAGAUCUAGCAAUUACUGUCUGUUUAGAAGAUCUCCAUGAUACAGCUGCACCUGCUAGUGUAAAUACAUAGCCGCUAGUGGAUUUUGAAUCUUUUACAUCUGAUAUCCAGUUAGCAUCACUAAAUCCUUCUAAUACUUCUGGAUACCUAGUAUAGUGCAGUCCAUAAUUACGAGUGUAUCGAAGAUACCUAAGUACUCUUACGAUAGCUUUCCAGUGAUCAGUUCCUGGAUUACUCGUAUAUCUACUAAGUUUACUUACCGUAUAGGCUAGAUCUGGUCUGGUACAACUUGUUAAGUACAUCGGACUGUCUAUUAUUCUAGCAUAUUCUACUUGAGAAAAACCCUCUUCUCUAUUUUUCGAUAAAUGGAUACUAGUAUCUAAUGGAGUUUUAGACAUAAUAUUAUCAUUUUUAUUAAAUUUUCCAAGAAUUUUAUCUACAUAAUGAUUUUGACUUAGAAUAAGUCCAUUAGAAGCCCUUCAGAUUUUAAUUUCCAAAAUGACAUUUGCAAGACUCAUGUCUUUCAUGUCAAACUUAGACUUCAACAUAUUCUUGGUAGAUUUAAUCAUGUCAUCAUCACUUCCAACAAUGAGCAUGUCAUCAACAUAUAAACAUAAAAUGACAUAGCCAUUUUCCGUUUCUUUGACAUAAACACAUUUGUCACACUCGUUGAUUUUAAAACCACUUGUGAUCAUCAUAUGAUCAAAUUUCUCAUGCCACUGUUUCGGUGCUUGCUGCAAGCCAUAUAAUGACUUUACCAAUUUACAAACUUUCUUUUCUUGUCCUGGAGCUAUAAAACCUUCAAGUUGCUCCAUAUAGAUUUCUUCAUCUAAAUCUCCAUUUAGAAAAGCCGUCUUUACAUCUAUUUGAUGUAUCUCGAGAUUGCGCAAAGCUGCAAUUGCUAUUAUCAUCCGUAUGGAAUUUAUUCUCAUAACAGGAGAAUAAGUAUCAAAGUAAUCAAGGCCUUCUCGUUGCCUAUUACCUUUAAUUACAAGCCUAUCCUUGUAUUUAUUGAUUUAUCCAUCAGCUUUCAUUUUCCUUUUGAAAAUUCACUUAUACCCCAAAGGUUUACAUUCUGGAGGAAGAUCUGCUAGCUCCCAAGUAUGAUUUUGUAAAAUGGAUUCAACUUCACUGUUAAUGGCUUCUUUCCAUAAAGUGCCUUCAGCUGAAGUUACAACCUCUUUGAAGCUUUGAGGUUCACUUUCUAGCAAAUACGUCAGAAAGUCUAGACCAAAAGACUUUUCUAUCCUAGCUGUUUUGCUACGUCUAACCUCAAUUUCUUGUUCUUGAUCUUCUUCUUCUUCUUCUUCUGGUGCUUCAUCAUUUUCUUCAUUUCCAAGUGUUGUUUCAUGAAAUUGUCGCAAUUCUCUCGAUUCCACUCUAGAAUUGCAAGGAAACACAUGUUCGAAUGAUGCAUUUCUUGAUUCUAUUAUCAUAUUUUUGUGGACAUCUGGAACUUUAGACUUAUGUAACAAAAAUCGAUAAGCACUACUGUUUUGUACAUAACCAAUGAAAAUGCAGUCAACAGUUUUUGGUCCUAUUUUCACUUUUUUAUUGAAGGAACCACUACUUUAGUAAGACACCCCCACACUCGUAAGAAUUUAUAUGAAGGUGAUCUAUUUUUCUAUAGCUCAUACAGGGUUUUAUCUUCUUGCUUUCAGGGUAUCUUAUUUAAUAAAUAAUUAGCUGACAAAACAGCUUCUCCCCACAUAUUCUGGGGUAACCCAGAACUUAUCAACAUUGCAUUCAUCAUUUCCUUUAAAGUUCGAUUCUUUCGUUCUGCAAUCCCAUUAGAUUGAGGUGAAUAUGGAGUCGUGACUUGAUGUAUGAUUCCAUUUUGUUCACAUAGUGACAUAAACAUAACAACAUACUCACCACCACGGUCACUCCUUAAUUCUUUGAUUUUUCUAUUAAGUUGAUUCUCAACUUCAUUUUUGUCGAGAAUAAACUUUUUCAAAGCUUUAUCUUUACUUUUCAAUAAAUAUACAUAGCAAUAUUUUGUGCAAUCAUCUAUAAAGGUAAUAAAAUAUUUAUUAUCACCUCUUGUUUGAAUGGAUUUAAAGUGACAAAUAUCAAUAUGUAUUAAAUCAAGUGGUUCGGUGUUUCUGUUAAUUAUUUGGAAAGAUGACCUAGUUAGUUUUGCCUCAACACAAGUUUCACACUUAUGUUUCAAAUCAAUUUGGAAAUUGGGAAUAUGCUUCAUGUUAAUUAAUUUACGCAAAGAUUUAAAAUUAACAUGUCCUAAUCUACCAUGCCAAAGAUUAGAAGACUCAAGCAAAUAAGCAGAAGAAGUAGCUUUAUUAUUAAUUAUUGGUUUCAGAGUCAUUACAUUGAGCUUAAAUAGCCCAUCAUUAACAUAACUCUUUCCCACAUACAUCCCAUUUUUAGACAAAACUACCCUAUCUGACUCAAACACCAUUUGGAAGCCAUGUUUGUUCAACAGCGAUCCAGACACCAAGUUCUUCUGAAUUUCUGGCACAUAAAACACAUUGUUCAGAGUCAGUUCUUUCCCAGACGUCAUCUUCAAAAUCACCUUCCCUUGACCAUCAAUCUCAGACGUAGCCGAAUUCCCCAUGAAUAGCUUCUCUCCAUUGCUAACUGCUUCAACUGAAGUGAACAAUCCUUUGUCCGAGCAAACAUGUCUGGUUGCUCCCGUAUCAAUCCAUCAUUCUCUCGGAUUAUAGCCAACCAGAUUCACUUCUGAAACCACUGUAGAGAGGUUUAUGUCUGAAACAUGUUGAGUGAUGUUUUCCAUCACAUUCUCCUCUCGCUUCUUUUUAGGCAACCUGCAAUAUGAAGCAUUGUGACCCAUCUUAUCACAAUUAAAACAUUUUCCUUGAAACUUUGUUUACUUCUUGGAAAUUCCUCCUUUCGGACCCAUUUUUUUAUUUUUAUUUUUAGGUCCAUGUUCGACAAAAUUUGCCUUUGCCAUAGAAAUAACUCCUUUUCUUUUUGCAUUUCUGUUAUCUCCCUCAAUUCUGAACUUAACAACCAGCCCUUCAAUAUUCAUCUCCUUUCAUUUGUGCUUCAAAUAGCUCUUGAAAUCUUUCUAAGCAGGAGGCAAUUUUUCAAUAAUUGCGGCAACUUGAAAAGUUUCACUUAGAUGCAUCCUUUCUGCAAGGAUUUCAGAUAAUAUAAUUUGAAGCUCUUGUACUUGACUUAUUAUAGUUUUAGAAUCCACCAUUUUAUAAUCUAGGAAGCGACCAACAACAAACUUUUUGGUUCCCGCAUCCUCGGUUUUAUAUUUCCGGUCAAAGGAUACCCAUAACUCCUUGGCUGUUUUCUUUCCUAUGUAUACAUUAUACAAGGAAUCACUAAGGCCAUUCAUUACAUAAUUUUUACAUAAAAAAUCUUAAUGAUGCCAUGCAUCAAUUGCACUUGCAACUUGAAUAUCCGUUUCACCCUCUUUAGGUUUAGGAGCAUUCUCGAUUAAGAAACUUGCAAGGUUCAACAUGGUCAAGUAAAAGAAUAUCUUUUGCUGCCAACGUUUGAAAUUCUGGCCAUUGAAUUUUUCAGGCCCUUCCGCAUGAUUGACAGGAAUUGCCACAGAGGCUGGUUCCUUUACAACAGUUGGUGCAGCAACAGAAGAUGAAACUGGGACAUACGGAAUAUCAUCAAUGGUUUCAGUUGCCAUCUCAAUGAUAAUUGAUUCUGUUUUAAGAUUGUAAAAAAAAUGAUACACAGUGAGAUAAUAAUUUAAAUAGUAGCUAAUUUAAACAACAAUGUAAACUAGCAAUGGGAAACAACAAAUGAAGAACAGAAGAGAAAGGAAACCGAAACAGAAACAGAAACAUAAACCUGAGCCCUGCAGACAGUUUCCUUAAAACAGAUUUACCACUCUUGGAGUGCUUUAGGUCAGCUGGUAUCUGUUUCCCAGAAUACAACGGGCACGAAUUUCCGGCUAAGCACAGGCUGAAAAUUCCGGCGAACCACAACAGCGAGCUCAAUCAGAGAAAACAGACGAUGAAGAUAGAGGAAGGAAAACAAGUGUGCUGGUUUUUUCAGUGUGCAAAAAACAGAAGAGGAGGUGCCUUUUUAUAGUCAUAUGAGGAUGUAACAGCUGCUUUGUAUUAGAUUUCCGAAUUCAAUAUGUUUUACUUAAUUGUUAUAACAACCAAAUCAAUUCAUUGAAUUGAUUUUAAAAUUGAAUUAAAAAAACAUGAAUUAUAUAACAGCUAAAAAUAAUUGUUGAAGCUGUUACAAAUCCUUUGAAUUCAAAACGUGAAUCUAUUACAAUAAAAAAAUUCAAAAGGAAAUUAAAAACGUGCCAAGCUUGCAUGGAUGAUUUUGGGCUGACAUUCGCGUACGCAGACGAGUUCAACCAAAUCGGUCUUGGACUUGCACCCCCCCUGCACACGCACGUGUGGAGAGAGCCUCUAUCCUUAUAAUUCUUGAACAAGCAUGGUUAAGUGUUUAUAUAUAAAUACUAAUCCCUAGGCUUCUUUUUCCCAUGUGGGAUAGGCCUCAUUUCCCUUCAAAUUUCCAACUUCAAAGGUGAACUUUGAGAGACAAUUUCUCAUUCACCCAAGCACCAUUUUGAGAAAAUAAGAUUAUACUUUUGAAGUAUCAAUGGAGUAGAAUCCGAACCUCACAAGAUUUUCCACUUUCGUUAAGUGGGACCCACUCAAAAUAUGCCCUCAAAAUAGCAUAUAUACAUGCUAUUUUCCACUUUCGUUAAGUGGGACCCACUCAAAAUGUGCCCUCAAAAUAGCAUAUAUACAUGCUAUUUUUUCAACACAUAUCUCUCUAUGUCACCUCCCUCCAUUUCACCAGAAAAUCAACAAACACUUAGCUUCAAAACAAACACUCUAAAAAAGCUAGCUAGUUGAUGGCAAAAUCAAGAAUUCUUGCAAUGGCAAUGUUGUUUCUUGUUAUGGCAGCAACAUUGAUGAACAUGGCAUCAAAGCAAAUGCUCUGAUGCUGUACACACGAUCACCUUUCUUUGACGUAAUGUUCCCAAUGACGGAAGAUCCUUUCAGGGUUCUUGGACAAACCCUGUUAACAAUCCCAAAAGGAGCUGAACAUCAUCAAACUCUAGCACUGGCGAGAGCAAACUGAAAUGAGACACCAACAUCACACGUGAUCACACUCGACAUUCCAAGGAUGAAGAAAGACGAUGCGAAGAUAGCAGUUGAAGAGAACAGGGUACUGAGGGUGAGUGGGGAGAGGAAGAGCGAUGAUUAUUAUAAGGAGGAAGUUGAAGGAGAAAAAUGGCACAGAGUUGAGAGACCAUUUGGCAAGGUUUGGAGGCAGUUCAGGAUGCCUAUGAGUGCUGACUUGGAUCAUGUUAAGGCUCAUUUGGAAAAUGGUGUUCUAAGGAUCACAGUGCCAAAACUUGUUGAGGAGAAGAAGAGGCCGCCUAAGGUUAUUAACAUUGAUGAAGAGCCUGGUAAUUCUUCCGAUGAAGAUGUUAAGGCCGCCAAGGCUCAAAUGUAAUUGAUUAAAGAAAGAAGUGUUUGAUUUGCUUGAUGUGCUAUUUGUUUUGUGAUCUUUUCUUGGUUUUGUUGUGGGAUGUUUUUCUUUGGAUGUUCUGUUUAUUGUAUUUUGAUGGAUUUUUAAAGAUGGCUUUUAUGUAUUAACAACAAUAAAGUGUUUUUUAUAAAUCCGGGUCCUAAAUUUGUAAAAGAAAUUAAUAAUACUCUUGGUUUAUUGUUAAUAAAAAUAAAAAAGAAGAAUCUUUUUCUUUAGCAUAUAUUAUGCAUUUUAAGGAAAAAAAAAAUUAUCACAUUCUAAUACAUAAAGAUAUUCCUCUUCUGUCAUAUUAAUGUGUUAAUACGAAGGUCUAUUGGAAUUAUAAUAGUUUAGAUGAAUCCAAAAUAUUCAAUAAUUGAUAAAUAGUAUAUUGACACACAGAAAAUGUGCGUGUGUAUGUAUAUAAAUGAGGUUUCAACAGCUGAGAAAGAGAUAGCCAUUAUACAUUACACAUUUGCACUCAAUAAGAAAUCAAUUCAUUAAUAUAGCCAUUAAUACGCCUGGUUUAUUGUUAAUGAAAAUUAAAAAAGAAAAAAAGUCUUUUCUUUGGCCUUUAUUAUGCAUUUUAAGAGGAAAAAAAAUUUAUCCCACUCCAAUUCAUGAAGAUAUUCUCUUUUCUGUCAUAUUGAUGUGUUAAUAUGAAGAUCCAUUGCAGUUGGUGAAUUCAAAUAUUCAGUAACUGAUGAAAUUGUAUUUAUAAAUUCAUACUAAUAGCAAUUGAAGAUUAUAAUUAAUUUUGUAAUAUGGUCUAGCCCUCCUGUGUUUAAUUAGCACUCAAAAACCACUUUACAAUAGGGCAUUAAAAGAACAUUAUAACGUCAUUGCUGAUGAGUUCUGGCGAAGACAUUAAGUUAAGGCCACAAAAAUCGAAAUGCACGUAGCUUCGUUUGUUUUUUAUUUUUGAUUCUCUUUGGGGGCAAAUGCUUGGCUUCGUUUGCUUUUUCGUUUUUGAUAUUUUAUUGGGCUUUAUUGUGUGGCAUCUUCUUGUUUUCUUUUGAUUUUCUGUUUUGGUUGUUAUGGGAUUUGAUGACGACGUACAUGUACGAAGAUUAUAUAAUAAAAUGUUUUUGAUAAAUUAUGGUCGGUUUAGAAUUAAUUAACUAAAUUUAAUUUACUUGAUCAAUUGAUAUUUGUAAGCAUUGUUGUUAUACAAACACAACAAAAGAAGAACAUUAAUGUACUAAUUAAUUACUAAUAAGAACAUUAAUAACUUUUGCCGAAGAAGAGAAAUAUUACACAUAUGUAACCGUGCAGCAUAUGUAACCGUGCAGCUAAAUAAAAGAAACUGAAGUUUAUUUCAACAGCUAAAGAAUGAGAUACGCAUAAGAAAUUAAUCCAUUAAUUAAUUAAUUAAUUCAUAGUCCCCCGCUGCUAAAAUAAAGCGAGCGUCUUACUCUACCUAACAUUUUUCCUUUUAUUAAUUUAAAAUAGUUUUCAACUGAGAUUUGAAUUUUAAAAUUACACGCUUGAUUUAGAAGAAAAAAAAGUCAAAUAUAUGUAACCGUACCGCGGAAAAGACAAAUAUAAGAAACUGAAGUUUCAACAGCUGAGAAUGAGAAAUUAAUUCAUUAAUUAAUUAAUAGAGUCCUCCUUUGCUAAAUAAUGCGAACCCAUUGUUCUUUUUAUUUCCAAAACCCAUUAAUCACCAACACAUAAUACACGCCCAAUUUAAAAAAAAAACUAAUAAUAAAAUAUUUCAGUCUUCCUUUGUUGAGUCGUCAUUAAAAACCCAUUUACCAGCUAUUCGAGCAUAAGGUAUAUGGGUUAACAAGUCCCAAUAUUGUCCUCCAUCCUUUCUGCACUUCUCUUCUAUCAACGGACAGCGAUAGAUUCUUAAUUGCAAAAGUGAGGAAGGCAGGCCCUUCUCCGGAAAGUAUUUGAGCUUGGGACAAUCAUAGAGUGUCAAUUUAGUGAGGUUUUGAAGAUCAACAAUUGAAGAAGAUAGGCUUUCCAGAUUUGGAAAAAAGGCAAUGCUCAGAGAUGUUAGAGAGGCAGGAAGAGGAAGCGUGGUCCCCAGUCUUCUGUCCUCUGGCUCUGGUGGAAAUGACACCAUGUCGUCAUCGCAUCCUCUGAUUAAAAGAUAUCGCAGAGAGGAGAAUCUGUGAAAUCCCCGGCCCCGCUCAAUCAUUGACUUCCAAAUCCCCAUAUUACCCUCAAUCCUCAGUGAAUGAAGGUUGGUGGGAAGGCCAUCUUCUUCAAGGCUUGGAAGCUCACCUCCUAUUAUUGUUAAUUGUUGAAGAGAGGUCAGAUUGUGCAAUCCCUUGGGUAAGGCCUCUAGUCUCUUACAAUCAUAUAUCUCCAGCCUCCUGAGUUUCGCACAAGGCAAUCCCCCUUUGGGAAAGGACUCCAGAUUUCCACAACCCCCAAUACCAAUCUGUUGAAGCUGGCACAGAUUAUGUAAACCACUCGAUAAAAUUUUCAGAUUUUCACAGUUAGAAAUGUUGAUUGUUUCAAGAGAUGUGUUGUUGUCCAACCUUUCUGCUAUUGACUGCAGCUUUGGACAUCCAUAAACAUCAAGUACCUUAACGGACGGAGGUAGAUUGCCAACUUCAAGGGACUCAAGCGUGGCAGGUAACUCGUUUUUUGAAAAUAUACAUGUCAGAGACGGACAACUGGAAAUUGCUAAGUUCUCAAGAAGAGAUGAGGUGUACCUUCUGCUGCUGCUACUCUGGAUGCCCUCUUCCACUGUCAAAGUCCUUAUUUUAUUGCACCUCUGGAUGUCCAACCUCUUAAGGCUCAGUGGUAGCUGGACUUCAGCAAUAUAUGUCAACGAAUGGCAAUCCCAAAUUUUCAAGAUCUCGAGAGAUGAACUAGUGUCGCACAUCCAUGGCUCUGGUAACGAUUUCAGUGCAUCACAUUCUCUAAUCUCAAUUUUCUUCAACUUGGAAGGCAGAGCAACCUCAGGAAAGGAAACAAGGGAACUGCACUUGUAGAUUUCUAUCUCUUUCAAGGAACUAAGGCUGAGAGAUGAUUGUGGCAGCUUCACAAGGCCUUCGCAAUAUCUCAAUCUUAGAUAUUCGAGUCUGCAUGACAACUCGCAGAGCUGCUGUUGUUGGUCUUUCUCUUCCUCCGCCACCAAGGAUUGAAGUUUGGGACACCCUCUUAUCUCCAGACUUUUGAGAGAGCAAAUGUCUUGUAGUAAUCCGUCAUGACUCUUCCAUAUAUAUGUUUGCUCUUUUGUCGACAAAAUUAAUUCUUCCAAUUUCGGUAGUUGUGGCUUCAACGGCCCCGCAAGAAACACUUGAUUUGAUGUAUCUCUACAAACCACUGAAUUCUGUGAUCCGAGAUGACCAGUUGCACUUUCCCACACAACCUUUUUGCAUCCACCAAUUAAGAAUUUGCAAAGAGUUGGAAGACUCAAAACUGAAACUAACAAUUCUUCACAUCCUUCAAUAACAAGCAUCUCUAAUACAGGAAGGUGUUCUGGAAAUGUUCCUCGCAGUUUAGGACAUUCUAAAAUGUGAAGCUCUCUCAAUUUAGGAAACCCUUCAACCCCUUGACCGGAUCCAUGAGAAAUCCAGACUUCCCAUUCUUGCAGGUCUUCAAAACGAAGAGUCUCCAAGCAUGGAAAUGGAAUUGGAGAGUCAUCCCCAUAGAACUCUGAACCCAAUCUCUUUACUCUACUCACUCCACGCACUGUAAGAUGCUUUAGAGAGGGCAGUUGCCCGACAGACGGCAGGGCAGUACACAUGCCGCAAUCUUCAAAUUCAAGUGUUACUAAAUUUGAGAAUAAGGAAUCUCCUAACCAUGUUGGAAAUUUUGUACCUCCAUAGCCACAGAUACCAAAUUGUUCCAGAUUUUUAUGGGGUUUGAGCAUGUCAAGCACACCCAUUUCAGUUUCUGCCUCCCUUGAAGAUGAACCAUCGGUACUGCGUGUCCAUCGAAGCAAUAAUUCUUUAAGAUUCUUCUUUCCAUCCAACCGAGCCUCCUUCGCAUUACCAACGUCUUUUACGUUCUCCAAUUUUGAAAUUUCAAGUGCCCCACGAAGAUGCAUCAACAACUUUAGCUCUGAUAACCCCGAACCACUGUCUUUUCCCACAACAAAAUUACACAACGUCUGAAGACAAGUCAACUUGCCAAUUCCUAGUGGCGUUUCCUCCAACGAAUCUGUAUUUGAAUUAUUGAGAUGAUGCAAUUUGAUGAGAUUUCCCAUGUCUGCACACAACUUCUUCAGCCGAUCACAAUCUUCCAACAAAAGACUAUGCAAAUUGUAAAGCUUGUUGACUGAUUCAGGCAGAGUUCUAAUAUUAGUUCCAGACAGGUUAAGGUACCUUCAAUACCUCAAAUCACCAACUGAAUCUGGUAGCUCGGAGAUGUGAUAUCCACGCAAAGAGAAGACCCUCAAGCGUUGGAGUUUGAGCAACUUAGGAAGAAUGCUAGGAGCCAAGUAGCCAGGCGAACUCUCUGUCAACAUUACUGGUAAAAAAGUUCUCAAAUGUUGGAUAUCAUACAAGUCCCCAAACCUUUUACCGCCAACAUAAUAUUCAGGAAUAUAUGACAGAUGACGAAGAUAUCGGGAAAAACUUUGUUGCUUGUUAACCUCAGAGGUAUACUCCAUUGUGAAGUAUAUUUCCCCUGCAGCCCAAUGCGCAAGGUCGUUGAUAAGAUCGUGCAUCACAAAUCGUGAUGCAUCGUUGCUUGAUUGCUGGAAAAAGGAUCUUGAAUGUAGCUCCUUAAAGAUUUCAAGACCUAAAUCUUCACCAGUUUUCUCACGCUCUUUGCGAUCCAAGAAGCCCGAGGCACACCAUAACAAAAUUAUCUCCCCCUCUUCAAAUUCAUAAUCCUUUGGAAACAAUGAGCAAUACGCAAAGCAUUGUUUCAAAGGUGCCGAAAGAUAAUAGUAGCUCACUCUAAGCGCCGGCAUAAUGUCACAUCUCUCUUCUUGCAAUUCCCAUAUCUUGGUACUGAGCACUCUCUCCCAAUCACAUCUGUCAUCUUUUCCUCGCAAAAGUCCUCCAAGUGUUUGCGCUGCCAAGGGCAAGCCAUCGCAUUUGGCCACUAUCUUCUUGCCAAUUUCCUCCAAUAAGUUAUCUGACCCCAAAGAAUGUUGAGCAAAUACAGCUAGACAAUCAUCAAUUGACAACUUUUUUAAUUGAUAAGCUGAGGCAGUUCCCAUGAUGUCUGCAACCUCUUGAUUACGAGUUGUGACAAUAAUCUUACUUCCCUUCGCUCCAGCUUCAAACGGACGGCUGAGGCGAACCCAAUCAUUGUAAUUCUCAUUCCAAACGUCGUCUAAAACAAGCAAAAAUUUCUUUUGAGAUAACUUCUUCUUCAGCUCCUCUUGAAGCAAAUUUAAAUCACUGUCAUCAAUAGUCUGCUUGGUAACGGAUCUUAGAAUUGUUUUUGUUAGCCCCUUAACGUCGAAAUCCUCAGAGACACAAGUCCAUGCCUUGAGAUCAAAAUGAUCCCGCACUUGCUUAUCAUUGUAGACAAGCUGAGCAAGAGUAGUUUUGCCCAGCCCGCCCAUACCUAUAAUAGGAAUAACUGCGAAUCCACCAUCGUUGCUUAAAUCAUCCCUCAACAGCAGUUCAACAACAUCCUUCUUUUCUGUUUCCCUGCCAUAUACUUUGGCUUCAGUCACUAAAGAGGUUGUCUCUAGCCUUUGACUGGCUUUUUUGGACCCUCCAGCUGAACUUUCUUUCAAAUCUAGCAAGUUUUUCUGUGUCACAAUUUCUUGAAAUCUGCUGUUGAUCUCUUUGAUUUUGGACAUCAAGCCAUAAUCGAACUGAAUCGAUUGUGGAGUAAAAGUGGUGCAGCAAGUAGGAAUGAGCUUCCGAAACUUACUUGUUCUUGUACGACUGCUACUGGGUUGAUCAUGAGCAGCAGCUGGUUCUCCAUUCCCAAGCAGCAACCUCCUCCGGAAAGCCUCAGUUUGAAACUCAUCCAACAAGUCUUCAACAUCGUAAGCCAAGUUCUGAAGCUUGCCAAGCCACUUCUUCACAAACUGAUUAGUCGUCUUCUUCUCCUCAGCAUCAUCAAGCACCGCCUUGAUCAUCUCCAACAUAUUCUCCCACUUCAUUAGAUCGUCUUGGAUCUUCUCUUGGCGUGCAAAAAACAGAAUCCCCUCUGAAGCUAACUUAUUGACCAGCAAAUCAACGGACGCCGUAAGGAUUGCCUCUCCGAUGAUCGACAUUUUUUUUUCUUUUUUUGGGCAAAGGAAGAAAGGAGCAGAAUUAUGGGUUAUGGAAAGCAGAAUGAGAAUAUUGAACGGGUGAGAAAAUGGAUAAUUAAGCGGAAUGAGUUUGUGAUUGUGAAGGGUCUGGUUCAGCAAGCUUAGUAGAAAUCACGCGUUUGUACUUUAUUGACCAAUGACUAAAUAAUUUGGCAAUGCACCCACCACCACCAGUUGGCGAGCAAAAUGAAAAAGUUUAAUAAGUGCAGGGGUCGAGCAAAAUACGACGUAAAAUGUGGCAAGUCUCCCCACUUGUUGUUCCUUGCAGCUAAGAAAAGAAAAAACAGAGCCCACCACCCAUUAAUAAUUUAGCAAUUCACCAAUCAUCACAAAAUUCCAUUAGAUAUUCGUCGAUCAAGUAGUUAAGUAUUUUUGCUAGAAUGAAUGCAACCAAGAUUCUAUGGGAUAUGUAUGAAGAUGAUGUAAUAAAGUGCUUUUGAUAUAUUCCCCUAGUCGGUUUACUUCACUAACCAUUAACGAGCAAAUCCUCCCAAUGACCCUCAAUACUCUUGUGCACAAUUAAAAUAAUUUCAAUUAUAUAUAUAUAUAAAUAAAAAAACUCUCAAAUAUAUUAUUUGAUAAUCACCAAAAAAAAAAAAAUUCACCCCAAUAAAUCACAUUACAGUCUAUGUUGCAAGUGUUUUUAGGACUAAUUCAAAGAGAAAAUGCGAAGGACAUGUAAUUGAAUUUGGGACACUGAAUAUAUUCCCAAUUACCCUUUAGUGUAAAUAGUUCCACUUCAGAUAUAUAUAAUGAUGAUGAAAUUUUGUUUUCUCAUAGCAAUCAUUCUAGUGUUUUACAAUGAGUAAUUGAUUCAAUAUUAACACAACACUAUUUUAACAUGUGACAUAUUCUAUCAUAGUGUGCUUCAACUCAGACUUCUAAGUUUCCAUUUUAGAACAAGUUAAAACAGUUCCAACUCAAAAUCAGUAGUGCGCAAUUGGGUUGUUAUAAAUAUUUCUAAAUUUUAGUCUAAUUUGAAUUAUUUAAUUGUGUUUGUACAAACUAGCUUUAUCACUUCUUUUAUAUUGAUACCCUUAAAUUUCAACCUUAUUUUAUGUUGAUGCACAAUCUAACUUAACAAAAAUAAUAUUCAAAUUGUCACAAUUUUUUUUUUUAAAAAAAAUAUACAAAGUUAAUUUUUCUUCUUCUUUACUCUAGGAUCCAGCUCCAUACCCCUCUUUUUUGUCGUUAUGCUACUCAGCCGUUAGAUUUUAAUUACGUUAAUCUAAUGGUUGGGAUUUGCAAAUGAAUAAUGAAGUGGUGUUCGGCUACUAUCCGAGGCCAUUGCAUCUAAUUGGUUUUGUGAUUUUUCACUUUCUUCCCUGUAACACUUGACUAGUUCUGGAAAUUGCUUUUUGGCAUGCUAAUUGUUGUGAAAAUUUUAAUAUACUCGCAAGCGCACGAAUCUAGAAAUAAAAUAGUGGUAACGAGGUCGAUCCCACAGGGAUUGGCACCCAUCACGCCUUUAGUUGUCGUGAAUAAAUCGAAAAUCAAAUUGAACUGGUUUUUACCGGGUAGCAACAAUCGUGACGUUUUGAGAUUAUAAUAUAUGACAACACUGAUUAGUGUUGUCUCCCAUGUGAAUUGAGACAAAAAUGAUUUUCCCAAUUGCGCUUUCAUUUGAACAAUUCCACUGUAGAUUUAUAAAAUAAUCACGAAAUUGUGUUUUAUAAUAAGUUACGAGUAAUUGGUUCAAUAUUAAUACAAAACUACUUUAAGUAACACGUGGCAUAUUCUAAUUCUAGCAAAGUUUCCAACUAAGAUUCCCAAAUCAAAAGAAUUUCAAUCUCCAGAACAUUCUACAAAAUGUUUCUUCUAGCCUCUACGUUGUGCUAGAAUUUUCUCUUGAGUUUUUUAGCAAAGACUUCUAAAGAACUAUCCAGAUAUCGAGCUAUAAUCCAGUCAAAGUGUAUAUAUUUCUCUAAUUCACCUCCCUCCAUUUCACCAGAAAACCAACAAACACUUAGCUUCAAACAAACACUUUCAAAUAGCUAGCUAGCUACCCAGAUGGCAAAAUCAAGAAUUCUUGCAAUGACAAUGUUGUUUCUUGUUGUGGCGGCAACAUUGAUGAACAUGGCAUCACAAGCAAAUGCUCUGAUGCCGUACACACGAUCACCUUUCUUUGACAUGAUGUUCCGAAUGACGAAAGAGCCUUUCAGGGUUCUUGAACAAACCCCUUUAACAAUCGCAAAAGGAGCUGAUCAUCAUCAAACUCUAGCCCUGGCGAGAGCAGACUAGAAGGAGAGUGGAUGGAGCCUUUACUUUCUAUUAUAUUUGUAAAGCGUGCCACAACACACGUGAUCACACUCGACAUUCUCGGAAUUAAGAAAGAUGAUGUGAAGAUUGAAGUUGAAUAGAACAGGGUAUUGAGAGUAAGUGGGCAGAGGAAGGCUGAUGAUUAUUAUAAGGAGAGGGUUGAAGGAGAGAAAUGGCACAGAGCUAAGAGAGCAUUUGGCAAGUUUUGGAGGCAGUUUAGGAUGCCAAUGAGUGCUUGACUUGGAUCAUAUUAAGGCUCACUGAGUGCCAAAGCUUGCUGAGGAGAUGAAGAGGCAGCCGAAGGCUAUUAACAUUGAUGAAGAGUCUGGUAAUUCUUCCAAUGAAGAUAUUAAGGCUACCAAGGCUCAAAUGUAAUUGAUUAAAGAAAGAAGUGAUUGCUUUGCUUGAUGUGCUAUUUGUUUAUGAUCUUUUUUUGGUUUUGUUGUGAGAUGUUUCUCUAUGGACGCUUUGUUUAAUGUAUUUUGAUGGGUUUUUUAGGAUGGCUUGUAUGUAUUGACAACAAUAAAGUGCUUUUUAUAAAUCCUAGUCCUACAACACUAAAAGAAAUUAAUACUCUUGGUUUAUAAUUAAUAAAAAUAUAUAUUUUUUUUAAAAGUCUUUUUCUUUGGCAUAUAGUAUGCGUUUUGAGGGGAAAAAAAUUUAUCCCACUCCUAAUUCGUCCUCUUCUGUGAUAUUAAUGUGUUAACACGAAGAUUCAUUGUAAUUGCAACAAUUUUGACGAAUCCAAACGUUCAAUAACUGUUAAAUUGUAUUUAUAAAUACUAAUAGCGAAGGUACAGAAACGAUUAAUUCAAGAAGUUGCUUAAAGUGCAUUAAAUUAGGGAGUAUAAAUAAUUGUGUGAUACAGUCCAGCCUUCAUCUGCUUAUAAUUAGCAACCAAAAACCACUUUGCAACACCAUUAAAAAAACAUUUUAACAUUAUUGCUGAGGGAAGAGGCAACUUAGGCUUAUUAACUCGUAUUAUUAAUGCUGAUGACGCAGCUGGUAAUCCUUUUGGUGAAUAUAUUAAGGCAGCUGAAGCUUAAAAUUAAUUAAGCCCACUAAAGCUUAAAACUAAUUCUUCUAGUGACGAUGCUUUGCUUAGUUCGCUUUUUGUUUUUAAUUUUUUUGGGGCUAACGUUUUGCUUAUUUUGCUUUUAAAAUUCUAUUGGCGUUGCUGUGGAAUAUUGUUUCUCCUUCGAUUUUCUGUUUUUGUUGUUAUCGGAUUUGAUGAUGGUUUAUAUGUACGAAGAUUAUGUAAUAAAGUGCUUUUGUAACAAUAUAUAUAUAUAUAUAUAUAUAGAUGUUUCAACAGCUAAGAAAGAGAUAGCCAUUAUACAUUACACAUUUGUACUCAAUAAGAAAUCAAUUCAUUAAUAUAGCCAUUAAUACGCCUGGUUUAUUGUUAAUGAAAAUUAAAAAAGAAAAAAAAAUCUUUUUCUUUGGCCUUUAGUAUGCAUUUUAAGAGGAAAAAAAAUUUAUCCCACUUCAAUUCAUGAAGAUAUUUUCAUUUCUGUCAUAUUGAUGUGUUAAUAUGAAGAUCCAUUGCAGUUGGUGAAUUCAAAUAUUCAGUAACUGAUGAAAUUAUAUUUAUAAAUUCAUACUAAUAACGAUUGAAGAUUAUAAUUAAUUUUUUAAUAUGGUCCAGCCCUCGUGUGUUUAAUUAGCUCUCAAAAACCACUAAGGUAAAGGCAAAAUCAUGAUAAAUUGUGGUCGGUUUAAUUUACUUGAUCAAUUGAUAUUGGGUAGCAUUGUUCUUAUACAAACACAAUAAAAGAAGAACACUAACGUACUAAUUAAUUACAAAUAAGAACAUUAACAAUUUUGCCGAAGUCUGAUGAAGAGAAAUAUUACACAUAUGUAACCGUACAACUAAAUAAAAGAAACUGAAGUUUAUUUCAACAGCUAAGAAUGAGAUACGCAUAAGAAAUUAAUCUAUUAAUUAAUUAAUUAAUUCAUACAAUUUUCAACUGAGAUUUGAAUUUUAAAAUUACAUACACAAACACACCUGAUUUAAAAGAAAAAAAUUUUAAUAAUAAAAUAUUUUACGUAUGUAACCAUACCGCGGAAAGAACAAAUGUAAGAAACUGAAGUUUCAACAGUUGAGAAUGAGAUAGGCAUAAGAAAUUAAUUAAUUAAUUAAUAGAGUCCUCCUCCUUUGCUAAAUAAUGCGAGCCCAUUGUUCCUUUUAUUUCGAAAACCCAUUAAUCAUCAACACAUACACGCCCAAUUUUAAAAAAAAAAAAUAAUAAUAAUAAAAUAUUUAAGUCGUCCUCUGUUCAAUAAUCAAAAACCCAUUUAAAAUCUAUUUUAACUUUAGGUAUAUGGGUUAACAAGUCCCAAUAUUGUCCUCCAUCUUUUCUGCACUUCUCUGCUAUCAACGGACAUCCCCCGAUGUAUAAUUGCAAAAGUGAGGAAGGCAGGCCCUUCUCCGGAAAGUAUUUGAGCUUGGGACAAUCCUCGAGUUCCAAGUGAGUGAGGUUUUGAAGAUCAACAAUUGAAGAAGAUAGGCGUUCCAGAUUUGGAAAAUUACCAAUCAUCAGGGAUGCUAGACAGGCAGGAAGAGGAAGCGUGGUCCUCAAUCUUAUGUCCUCCGGUGGGAAUGACACCAUGUCGUCAUCGCAUCCGCUGAUUGUAAGUUGUCGCAGAGAGGAGAAUCUGUGGAAUCCCCGACCCCACUCAAUCGUUGACUUCCAAAUCUUCUUAUUAUCAAUAAUCUCCAGCCUAUGAAGGUUGGUGGGAAGGCCAUCAUCUUCUUCAAGGCUUGGAAGCUCACCUCCUUCUCCUAUUGUUAAUUGUUGAAGAGAGGUCAGAUUGUGCAAUCCCUUGGGUAAGACCUGUAGUCUCUUACAAUAAGAUAUCUCUAGCCUCGUGAGUUUCGCACAAGGCAAUCCCCCUUGGGGAAAGGACACCAGAUUUUCACAUUCCCAUAUCCCUAUCUCUUGAAGCUGGCGGAGAUUAUGUAAACCACUCGGUAAAAUUUUCAGAUUUUCACACUCAGAAAUACUGAUUGUUUCAAGAGAUGUGUUGUUGUCCAACCUUUCUGCUAUUGACUCCAGCUCUGAACAACUCCAAACAUCAAGGGACUUAAGAGACGGAGGUAGAUUGCCAACUUCAAGGGACUCAAGCGUGGCAGGUAACUCGUUUUUUGAAAAUAUACACGUCAGUGACGGACACCUGCUAAUAUGCAAGCCCUCGAGAAGAGAUGAGGUGUACCUUCUGCUGCUGCUGCUGCUCUGGAUGCCCUCUUCCACCGUCAAAGUCCUUAUAUUAUCGCAAUGGCGGAUCUCCAACCACUUAAGGCUCGGUGGUAGUUGGACUCCAGCAAUAUAUGUCAACGAAUUGCAAAUCCAAAUCUCCAAGAUCUCGAGAGAUGAAUUGGUGUCGCACAUCCAUGCCUCUGGUAACGAUUUCAGUGCAUCACAUUCUCUAAUCUCAAUUUUCUUCAACUUGGAAGGCAGAGCAACCUCAGGAAAGGAAACAAGGGAACUGCAGCCGUAGAUUUCUAUCUCUCUCAAGGAGCUGAGGCUGAGAGGUGAUUGUGGCAGCUUCACAAGGUCUUGGCAAUCUCUCAAAUCUAUAUAUUCGAGUAUGCACGACAACUGGCAGAGCUGCUGUUGUUGGUCUUUCUCUUCCUCCGCCACCAAGGAUUGAAGUUUGGGACAACUUGUAAUCGUCAGUCUUUUGAGAGAGCAAAUGUCUUGCAGCAAUUCGUUAUGACUCUUCCAUAUAUAUGUCUGCUCUUUCAUAUCAUUUAUCUCCAAUUCUUCCAAUUUUGGUAUUCGCGGCUUCAAUGGCCCUGCGAGAAACACUUGAUUUGAUGUAUCUCUACAAACUACUGAAUUCUGCGAUCCGAGAUGACCAGUUGCACUUUCCCACACAAUCUUUUUGCAUCCACCAAUUAUGAAUUUGCAAAGAGAUGGAAGACUCGAAACUGAAACUAACAAUUCUUCACAUCCUUCAAUAACAAGCAUCUCCAAUGCAGGAAGGUGCUCUGGAAAUGUUCCUUUCAGUUUAGAACAUCUUAAAAUGUGAAGCUCUCUCAAUUUAGGAAACCGUUCAACUCCCUGACUGAAUCCAUGAGGAAUCCAGUCUUCCCAUCCUUGCAUGUCUUCAAAAUGAAGCGUCUCCAAGCAUGGAAAAGGAAUUGGAGUAUCAUUCCCAUAGAACUCUGAACCCAACCUCUUUACACUAGUCAUUCCACAUACUGCAAGAUGCUUUAGAGAGGGUAGUUGGCCGACUGACGGCAGGGUAGGACACAUGCCACAAUAUUCAAAUUUUAAGGUCACCAACUUUAAGAAUGAGGAAUCUCCGAACCAAGUUGGAAAUUUUGCGCCUCCAUAGCCGCUGAUACAAAAUUGUUCCAGAUUUUUAUGGGGUUCUAGCAUGUCAAGCACGUCCUUUUCAGUUUCCGCCUCCCUUGAAGACGAGCCAUCGGUACUGUUUGUCCACCGAAGCAUUAACACUUUAAGGUUCUUCUUUCCAUCCAAUUGAGCCUCCUUUGCAUCACCAACGUCUUUUACGUUCUCCAAUUUUGAAAUGCAAAGUGUCCCACGAAGGUGCGUCAACAACUUUAGCUCUCGUAACCCGGAACCACUGUCUUUUCCUACAACAAAAUUACACAACGUCUGAAGACAAGUCAACUUGCCAAUUCCUAGUGGCAUUUCCUCCAACGACUUCGUAUUUGAAUUCUUAAGAUGAUGCAAUUUGGCGAGGUUUCCCAUGUCUGCACACAACUUCUUCAGCCGAUCACAAUCUUCCAACAAAAGACUAUGCAAAUUGUAAAGCUUGUUGACUGAUUCAGGCAGAGUUCUAAUCUCAGUUCCAGACAGGUUAAGGUACCUUAAAUACCUCAAAGCACCAAUUGAAUCCGGCAGCUCAGGGAUGCGGUAUCCACGCAAAGAGAAGACCCUCAAGCGUUGGAGUUUGAGCAACUUAGGAAGAAUGCUAGGAGCCAAGUAUCCAGACAGUGAGCUAUUUGACAGCAUUACGGGUAAAAAUGUUCGCAAAUGUUGGAUAUCGUACAAGUCCUCAAACCUUUUAACACCAUCGUAAUCUCCACGAAUAUACGACAGAUGACGAAGAUUUCUUGAAAAACUUUGUUGCUUGUCAACCUCUGAGAUAUACUCCAUUCUGAAGUACAUUUCCCCAGCAGCCCAUUGAGCAAGGUCAUUGACGAGGUCGUGCAUCACAAAUCGUGAUAUACUGUUGCUUGAUUGCUGGAAAAAAGAUCUUGCACGUAGUUCUCGAAAGAACUUUCGACCUAGAUCUUCACUAGGAUUCCCGCUCUCUCCGUGAUCCAAGAGACCCACAGCACACCAUAAUAAAAUUAUCUCCUCCUCUUCAAAUUCAUAAUCCUUUGGAAACAAUGAGCAGUAUGCAAAGCAUUGUUUCAAAGGUGCCGAAAGAUAAUAGUAGCUCACUCUAAGCGCAGGUAUAAUGUCACAUCUCUCUUCUGGUAAAUCCCAUAUCUUGCAACUGAGCACAUCUUCCCAAUCACUUCGGUCACGUUUACCACGUAAGAGUCCACCAAGAGUUUUCGCAGCUAAGGGCAAGCCGUUGCAUUUGAUCACUAUAUUCUUGCCAAUGUCCUCCAAUGACUUAUGUGAACUGAAAUCUGUUGUCCCCAAAGAGUGCUGAGCGAACACAGACAGACAGUCCUCAGUUGACAAGCUUUUGAGUUCAUAAGCUUGAUCCAGGCUCAUGAUUUUGGCAACCUCUUCAUUGCGAGUGGUGACAACAAUCUUACUUCCCUGUGCGCCAGCUUGAAAUGAAAGGCUGAGGUGAACCCAAUCAGUGUAAUUCUCAUUCCAAACGUCAUCUAAAACAAGCAAAAAUUUCUUUCCAAAUAGUUGUUUCUUUAGCUCCUCUUGAAGCUUAUUCAAGUCGUGAUUAUCCACAUUCUGGCCAGGAGCAAUGGAAAUUAGGAUUGAUUUUGUAAGCCUGCUAACAUCAAAAUCAUCGGAGACGCAAGUCCAUGCCUUGAGAUUAAAAUGAUCCUCCACCUGCUUAUCAUUGUAGACAAGCUGAGCAAGAGUGGUUUUACCCAGCCCGCCCAUACCUAUAAUAGGAAUAACAGAGAAUCCACCAUCCUUUCUUGAAUCAUCCUUCAACAACAAUUCAACAAUUUCCUUCUUUUCUGUUUCCCUGCCAUAUACUUUGGCUUCCUCCACCAAAGAGGUUGUCUCUUGCCUUUGCCUGGCUUUUUUGGAUCCCCCAGCUGAACUUUUUAUCAAAUUCAGCGAGCCUAUUCUUUCUUCAAUAUCUUGAAAUCUAUCGUUGAUUUCUUUGAUUUUGGACAUCAUGGCGUAAUCGAACUGAAUCGAUUGUGGAGUAAAAGUGGUGCAGCAAGUAGGAAUGAGCUUCCGAAACUUACUUUUCGUGCUUGUACGACUGCUGCUGGGUUGAUCAUGAGCAGCAGCUGGUUCUCCAUUUCCAAGCAGCAACUUCCUCCGGAAAGCCUCAGUUUGGAACUCAUCCAACAAGUCUUCAACGUCAUAAGCCAAGUUCUGAAGCUCGCCAAGCCACAACUUCACAGAAUCAUCAGUCGUCUUCUUCUGCUCAGCAUCAUCAAGCACCGCCUUGAUCGUCACCAACUUCUUCUUCCACUUCACUAGAUCGUCUUUGAUUCGACCUUGGCGUUCAAAUAAACGAAGCCCCUCCGAAGAUAACUUAUUGACCAGCAUCUCAACGGACGCCUUCAGGAUUGCCUCUCCGAUGAUCGACAUAUAUUUUUUUUUUUUUGGGACAAAGAAUGAAACCAGAUUAUGAGCUUGUGGAAAGCAGAAUGAGAAAAGUGAAUAAGCAGCGUGAGUUUGUGAUUGUGUCUAGCAAGCCUAGAAAUCAAGAAAAACCCACCGUAAAAGUGAAAAGUAAAACGGAGCCAACCACAAAUAUAAAAUCAGAGGAUCACAGAAAUUAAAAAAAAAAAUCAAACACGUAAUGAUUUGUAAAGUUAUUAGCGAUUUGUAAAAAUCAAACAUGCGUCUUCUUCCUCUGAGUGUUUUUUUUUUUUUUUAACUUUAUUAAUUAAUUAGUGAAGUAAAUUUGUAAAGAUCACGGGCAUCAAAUUAUUGGGAGGUAUUAAUUGCGCUUAGUAUUUACAAUUUUUUGUAAAACUUUUUAAUUUCGUUGAAAAUGUAUCGUUAUUAAGUUAUUAUUGAUUUCACUCUCUUUUACUUUUUGACGUUGCGAAAAAGACAGUAAAAAACUUGCUAAAUGUCAUCAAAUACUUGUAUCUCAUCUCACAAAUUAGCAAUAUUUGUUUGGUAUUUCAUCUCAACGGGACGAAGGAACGAUAGAAAACGCGUUCCCUCAUCAAAAUUUUCUUUCGUGAGACCGAUAAUAAAUAAUAAAAUAUUCUUUUAUGGGAUCGAUUAUAAAUAGUAAAUUAAAGAAGGGUCGACAGAAAACGCGUUCCCUCAUCUAAUUUUUCUUUUGUGGGACCGAUAACAAAUAAUACAAUAUUCUUUUGUGGGACCGACUACAAGUACUAACAUAAAGAAUAAAAAAAUGAAAAAAAGGAUAGUGAAAUAACUCAACGGAGAAGUCUAUAAAUGCUUUUGUUUGGUAGCUGGCUAAAGCAGAAUCUGUAAGUUGCAGAGUCAAGUUACACUUAGCCUGCUCCAUAACUCUAAUGUGAAACAAAAAAAGUCCUGCCACCAAUAAUUCAGCAAGCUUCACUUUAUUACACGAAGGUGAAAGCAAAAAGCCAAAAACAGCCCCCACCACCAUCAAUAAUUUAGCAAGCUUCACGCGCUUGUGCUUGUCUUGUCUGCUUGACGAACUGGACAUGGGUGGACCAAGCAUCCAUUGAAUAACUGGAAAAAGUAAAAAAUAAAAAACAGUGUCCCGCAAAAAGAAUCCAUCUUUAUGUGUUGAUAUGCACAUCUACCGAACAUCUACAAAAUGGAAGUAGAAAUUGAAACUUACGUUUUUUAGUUAUGGCUCAUAUAUAAUACAAGUAUCAAUAUUUAAGUAGAAUAGAGUUCACAUAUACACAUGCGUCUAGUUUUAAGUUUUAACCGAGAGAUAAAUUAAUCAUUAAUACUCAGGUGUUUCUAAAUAAUUGAAUAAUGAUAUUAUACGAACCUUCCCUUUACAAGUCUUCAAACUCAUAAACCAAGUUAAAAUAAAAUUAAAAAAAACGUUUCUCUCUCUCUCUCCUUUUGCUAUAUGAUUACUUUAUUUAUUGAAUUAAUUUCCAUGCUAUAUCAAAGACUUAAAAGUACACUAUAAUUUUUUAUAAUCAUAAUGGUAAUUUCUAUCAUCAUAUUAAAUUAUUGUCGUGUCAAAAUAAAUUAUAACAAAAUUUUAGCUGAACAUAAGUUCGACUCAUUUAUUAAAUAUAUAUACUUAAUAAAAUAAUAAGACGAUUAAUAUGUUAUCAGUGAUAUAGACCCAACUGAAAUAACUCUAAUGUGAAAACAAAAAAAAUCCCGCCACCGAUAAUUGAGCAAAUUAACUUCACUUUAUUACACGAAAGUGGAAGCAAAAGCCAGAGGCAGUCCCCACCACCAUCGAUAAUUGUGCUUGUCUUGUCUGCUUGACGAACUGGACAUGGGGGGGGGGGGGGGGGGGGGGGGACCAACCAUCCAUUGAAUAACUGGAAAAAGUAGAAAAUAAAAAAAUCAGUGUCCAGCAAAAAGAAUCUACCUUUAGGUGUUGCUUCCUAUUCAGUACAUGCAUAGAUAAUGUACAUCGACCUGGAAUUAAAAAAAUGGAAGUAGAAAUUAAAACUUACUUUUUUAGAUAUGGCUCAUAUAUAUUACAAGUAUCAAGAUUUGAUUAGAGUUCACAUAUUUACAAUGUGCCUAGUUUUAAUUGAGAGACAAACUAAUCAUUAAUAAUCAGGUUUUUCUAAAUGAUUAAAUAAUGAUAUUAAUUAUUGAUAUUUAAAAAAUUUGUAAGAAGUAUAACUAAUAUGUUGGGAUAUGUAUUUGUGUAGAAUGGCAAAUAUAAAGAAUAGCAAUAAAAAUAGUGGAACUUUAAUAUGAUGAAAAAAGGUAAACUGUAGAAAAUUAAUAUAUAAUUCAAGGUACGUUACAAAUAUCACUUUCCUUCAGACAUUAUUUACCCCACCAAUUGAGUGAAUGCACAUGAGUUAAGCAAAUAUGUCUCUAGGAUAUAAUGAAACGCUUCUUUGUUUGCUUGUAUUGUGCAUCGACAAAAGUAAAUCUGAAUAUUCCUUAAUGUUGCAAGCUUGCCACGAAUUAAUAUAUUGUUAUUGUAAAAAAAUAAAAAAAAUAAUGUAUUGGAUAUUUGAUGCAUAAAAGAAAUAGAUAUUAUUAGAUGAAAUUCAUUUUGAGAAAUAGGGCUACAAAAAGAGUGGUGUAAUGUCGUUUUAUUAAUGUCUAAAUGGCAUAAAUAUGACAUCUAUUUACAAAUAUAUUUAUGCUCUUUUAUUUAAGUUAUCGUCUUUAGUAAUGCCCUUGAUUCAUAUCCAUUAGAUCAAGCAACCUAAUCCCCACUAAAACUAACUUAUUGAACAGUAACUCAACGGAUGCUGUAAAGAUUGCUCUUGGAUGAUUGACAUUUUUUUUAAAAAAAAUUUGGGCAAAGAAAGAAACUGAAUUAUGAGUUUAUGGAAAUUAAAGCAAAUGAGAAAGUGAAUUAGCACAAUGAGUUUGUGAUUGCGAAGGAACCAGCAAAUCAAAAAACAAUUAAGCAAGAGAAAAGGACAAUGAACACUUUAAUAUUCUAGAAAAGGGAUAUGAAACCUCUAAACAUUUUAAAAAAGAUAUAUAAUCUCCUUUUUAUUAGUAAAAUCUGUUUAUUUCAGUAGUAACAUAAUCUUUAAUUUACAUUUACUAUCAUGUCCCUAUAAUAAAUAAAUUAAUAUAUUUAAUUUAAAAGAGUGAGCCCUCCAAUUUUACUUCCCAUUUGCUCAAUUGCCUUUCAUUCAUAUACAAGCAUGUUUAACAUCUCAUUUUGCCUAAUUUGCCUUGGAAGAAAAUAAAUUUGAUUUUAUUUUUAUCUAUUAUUCAUCAUUUUUUAUCAUCUUAACAUUGGGAAGGAUAUAUUCAUAAUUUAAAGUGAAUAAUUUGGAUAAAAGAUAAUUAUAUCUUAAUUUUAAGUUUUAAAUAAAAAGUUGUUGGUUUUAUUAUACAUGUCAUUGAUGACAUGUCUUAAAUUAAUAUAUUUAUUUAUUUAUUAUCGGGAUAUAAUAAUAAUUAUAAAUUAAAAAUAAAUUUAUUAUUAAAAUAAAUGGAAUUUAUUAACAAAAAUAGGAAUUAUAUAUCUUUUUUAAAAUAUUAAAACAUUAUUUUUUUUUAGGGUAUCACUAUCCAUUUCCCAUUAAGCAAAACAAAAGUGAAAAGAAAAAUCAGAGCCCACUAUAAAUAUAAAAUUAGUGGAGCUCAUGAUGAUGCAUUUGCUUUACAUACUAAAUUAAAUAAAAGCCGAACCAAGAAUCUUUGCCUUAGCUUAACAUGAUUAAUUAGGCACUACUUCAUAGAAAACGCGAAAGCAAUGAACCCUUUUUUUAAUCUUAAAUGUCAUGAAUAUAAUUCUUCUGCGUUAAUUAAUCAUUCUUCUCUGACCGUCUCUUCAGGUUCAUUUCAAAAGUUUGAAGAUAGUUUAUCAAUUCUUCUACUUAUAAAAGCAAGUUAAAUUAAAAGAUUUUAAUCUCUCUUCUUAUUACUAUAAGUGCACUGUGCACGACAUUUUUUUACAAUAAACAAUGCCAAUUUGUAAUGUAAUGUUAUAUUCAUAUUCCCAUCGCGUCGAACUCUUUUUUUCCCUCUUUUUUAAAAGGAGACGGUGCGGUUUGGUUGUUCGCAAAAUUAGUGGUGUGGGGCUCUAUUUGCUUUUGUUUUCACUUUAUUAAUUAACUAGCGAAGCAAACAUGUAAUCAUUUGUAAAGGAGUCACUAGCACCGGAUUAUGUAAGAUGAAUUCGUAAGACUUAUUAAUUUCAAUUGAAAAUGUAGCGUUAUUAGGUUAUUAAUUCACUAAGUUAACUUGAGGUUCUAAUAUUUACUAAUUGUGGUGAUUAAUUUAUUUAACUUGUCAUAAUUUUCAUUUGAGAAUGAAAUUCAAUCAAUGUAUGAAAAAAGAUAAUUUUUUAAAAUUUUUAAUUCCUAUGAUUUGAUUUCACUUUUUUCCGGAUAUUGACGCUGUAAAAGCUUGCCCAAUGUCAUCAAAUGCUUGUAUCCCAUCUCACAAAUUAGCAAAUAUCAUUUGGUUUCUUUAUACGUGGCCAUCACAAAUUAAAAGUAACAACAUCCACCAUAUAUCGAAAAUUAAUUUUGAGAAUACUUUUGACUUUUAAAAGAAAAAUGCGAGUACAAUUUAAUAAGAGAGAACAAGAAUUGAUCAUGUCCCAAGAGACUGAAAAUAAGAUUAUAUAAACUUGAAUGCAGGCAUAUCAUAUGUUAAUCUUAAUUUUUUUUUGUUGCUGAAAAUUAAUUAAUUUGUUCCACUAUUCCUUUUUUAAUUGUAUGGUGAGAAACACAUUGGCCACUUCUGAAUCAUGUUGCAUAUUUGUUAACUCAAAGAAACAGUACACUUUUGUAUCAAUCAAACUCACUUUGUUAAUAUUCUUCAUUAUUAUGGUUAAUGGCUUAGCAAAUGUAGAAGGAGGAGUCAACCAAAAUGUAGCACUUUCUCUUGUAUUAACCUUUUAUUAAUUGUUGAAGUUAAAAAAAAUGUUAAAACAAGUUAAAAUAGUUCCAUCUCAAAAUCAGUAGGGUGUAAGUAGGUUGUUAUAAAUAUUUUUAAAUUUUAGUCUAAUUUAAUUGUGUGAUGCACAAACUUUCUCACUUCUUUCAUAUAAAUAAAGGGGAGAACUAUUUGAACUCAUUAAAUCACUUUUUAAAUUCCUCUACUUAUUAAGGCCAUCAUAAAAAUUCAAAAAUCCUUUUUAUACUCACUACAUCUCUUAAAAAUAUCGCAAAUAUGACACAUUUGUCUUCACCUUCUAUUUAUCUUCAACAUUCACAAUUUUUAUUUGAAUCUGUAAUAUGUUUAACACUGUUCAUUCACUCAUUAGAGUUCCAAUAAUAGAAUAUAGAGAUUAAAAAUAUCAUUAGCAAAUUAUUUGUUUGUGUUCUAUAUGAUAUUCUUGGUUUGGAAAAAGCUUCAUCGGCAAUAUAUGUAAAUAAAAGACUAAGAACUUCCAAUAAUUCAGAUUUGAUCGAAACUUCACAAACUUAUUUUCACUUAAAAAAAUAAAAUAAAGUAAAAGAAAUUCUCGUGUUUUAAAAGAAAAACUGCCAGACAUGUUUCUAAAACAACUAGAAACCAAACUAGGCUUGAAGCAGUGAGUUUUGAAUUAUAAAAAAUACAUAAUUGUAAUUUCACCUAAAUCAAAUGAUGAAUUUCAUGACAACGGAUUUAGACUAUAGACCAAUACACAAAGAAUUGGAUGUUCAUCGCAUUUGUUCUUGAAAUUGUUUUGCGCAAAAAAGUUAACUAUUGUAUUAUGUUGUAUUGCAUUAUUUUAAUAUAAGUGUAUUAUAUUAUGCUGUAUUGCAUUAACACUGUAUUAUAUUAAUACUAUACAACGUUUGGUUCUACAUUGUACUAUAUUAAUUUUUAAUUAUACAUACACUAUAUUAUGCUAUACUAUAUUAUUUUUUUGGUGGUUAAUUUCAAUUAUAUGUUUGGAAAUAAUAUUUAUUAGUACUUAGCAAAAUAUAAAAUAUAGAACCUUAAAUUUUAGAAUAUUUACAUCAAUUUUUUUUAGUAUAAAUGUAAAUAAUUAUAAUAAUUCUUCAUUAAACUUAUGUAAAAAUAACAAAUUCUGAAUUUUUGCUAUCGUAACAUUUUUUUUUUAACGGCGUUUUUCAAAUGUAUACCUUAUUGAUGAUGCACCAUAAAAAUAAAUAUCAAAUUUUGCGAUCAUGAUCAAGUCGAGUUUUACAUUAUGAAAGCAUGACACAAAAAUUGAAAAAAAUAAUGGCCGGCAAAAAGUUAUACAAGCAACAACAAAAGUGCUAAUUACUCGGAAAAUAAACAAUCAAGAGCCGCUGAUAGAUAUGAGUCAUAUGACAAGGUAGAGGAAUACAGAUAUCUGCAUACAUUUUUAACAAAGAUCAUCUUUGUAACCAAUUGUUGGCUUUGGCAUUAAAAGAUCAUCUUUGUAACCAACUGGGUAGCUAUAAAAUGAAUACUAAGUCAAUCAAACGGGAAAGCUUGCUACAAGACUUUGAAGCAUUAUUCUGUUGCAUCACCUUCCUCCUCUGCCUCACUUCCUGCAUCCCAAAUUAAAGAACAACAAAUAUUAAAUAACAAAAACAAAAUCUUCAAUAGACUUUUCAUACUCCAUGGAGCAAAUCUAUGGGAAUCCACAAAAUAAUUGAAAUAUAUCAAUGCUGCAGGUCAUAGUAACAAAUUACAGAUACACAAUCAUGCAUAUGCAACUAAAAAAUGCUUAUUUAUUACAGCCGCUUUUUGGCAUGACUACUUCAUAAGUUAUAUAUGAUAGAUAACAUUAUUAUUCUAAUCACAUGGUUAUGAUUUUAGUUGGACAUACAAAAGCUACGUGCAUGAAUCUGUAUCAUGCCACCUUUCAUGAGUCAAAAAUUUAAAUCAAAUCAAUUUGGUUGAGCCUUCAAAUUCCUAUUCCAGUCAAAGGAGAUGAUUUUUCCAAAGGUAAAGAAUGAGUCCGGUUACUUAAGCAUGUCAACCUUUUUUCUAGGCUAAGGUUUAUCCCUUUCCAUUUCACUAACUCUCCUCUCACUACCUUGCGUCAACAUUUGCAUACUUGAUAUACUUUCACAACCUUAAUCUAAUACUUUCAUUUAUGCUGAUAUAAAGAAGAAGUUUGAUUUAAAUCUGGACAGGUAACAAGAUUAAAAAACUGCCUUGUAGUAGAGCCAAUUCUUCCAACAAACAUUUCUUGAACCAAUAUCUAAGAUUAAGCUGGAUCACGUAAGACAAAUAUGCCAAGAAGAUUUUUAACUCACCUGACACUAUGGAUCUCCAAAUGUACUCAAUUAGCUUAGGUAAGCCAUACUUCUUCUCAAUUAUGAGCCCAGUAAAUAGGACCCGAAAAACUUGCAUUCCUCUGCUGACAUUCAUUUCAGUGUUGCAAGAAUUACAGAUUCCAUGACCAUGGACUGAAGUUCUUUUGUUAAGACAGGCGCAAGAGAGUACGCCCCUAUCCCACUAGUAUUUGGCCCGGUGUCACCAUCACCAACUUGUUUAUGGUCCUGACAAGACAUUAGAGGUAUGGGCGUAUGGCAUUCUCCCCAUCCACGAAGUCCUUUAGAACCAAAAGCAUUGUUUACAAGCAUCGAAUCAACAACUUCUAUGAAUCAUCCAAUGUCAUAGUUAGAGCUGGUAAAAUUUGACACGAUCCAAUUAUUCGACACGAACACGACACUAAUAAAUGGGUAUGGGUCGUCAAAUUUAACACGAUUAUUAAAUCGGUCGGGUCCGGGUCAACACGAUUUUUUUCCGUGUCGGGUUAGGGUUAAAAUUCUUGACCCAUUUACCCGAUCAAUGACUCGAUUAUAUUUUUUAUUUUAAAAUAAUUUAUAGAUUCUUGUCAUCAAAACUUAAAUAUUAGAGAAUUUUUUUUUAUUCUUUAAAAAGAUGAAUAUAGACACAAUAUUUUAUUUAUAAAAUUUUAAAUAUAUUUAGAGCUUUAAUAAUGUAAAUGUAUAAAAUAUUGGUAGAUACGUAUAUUUUAUAAUAUUGAUAUAUAAUAUUAUUUACAUAUAUAUAAUUAAAACCUCAAUAAUGUGUGUAAUAUUUUAGUAGAUAUGAAAAUUUUAUAAUACUGAUAAAUUAUGUAUGUAUGGAUGGAUGUUGAGACAAGCUAGAGAAGCCAUGAAUGAGAUUUUUCCUUUGACUCCUGCUAUGUGGCAAGAAUUUGCGAGAGAUGAAGCCUCUAUUUCAACCGGGUAUCUGUCAUUUCCUUUUUACAGUGGUUUUUGAUUUUGUGAACAAAUACUUUUUUUUUCGCUUAGAGAUAUAGAUGUUUAUGUUAGUUAUUUGCUAAUGUAAAAAGGAACAAAAACUGCUUAAAAGGUAUUAAAGAAAGAAAAAAGGAACCAAUUUGAAGAAGGGGAUACUCAUAGCGGGAGUUCUGCUUUGGGGUUUAAUUGAUGGGAAGAAGAAAUAGUUUAUAUGUUUACAGAAUUAAACAAUUGAUCACUGAGUUAGUUGAGGAAGAUAAUUAAUCACAAUGUCUGAAGCUGUUGCUGUUGGCGUCACCUAUUGUUAAGAUUUCAUCCUUUUUUAUGGUUUUACAUAGCUGUGACCUAAAGCUUAAUGUAUACGUUGAUAAUUACAUAAUUGGUUUCUUGCUGAUACUUGGCUUUAAUUUGUAAGCCUGAGGCUCUUUCGGGAAUUGAGAAGAUUUACGGAAGAGGAGUUUCUGAUUAUCUGGUUUGUUCUCUUUAUGCUUACAGAAUUUGAAUUAACGCUCUGCAUGAAUUUAUGAUUCAUUUUUUUUGGAGAAAUAUUUUAUGAAAUUGAAGCAUUGGAGUAAAGCGUACUAGUCGUAAGCUUGAUUCACUUUGUUUUGAUUUUAUUACCAAGAGGUGCUAACAGUUCAUGAUGCAUAAAAGAGGGGGAAAAAAACUCUUCUUGGUAGAUACAUAAAUUUUAGUUUCUGAAUCAUUUUCAACGAAAGAAAUAAUUUUACAGAGGCUGAAGAGCAGCAUUUUCAUUUAUAUGAAAGUUCAAUUGUUAUAUCAUCUGUUUCCAUAUCUUUUGUGGUAAAUAAAGUCCUUGAUGAUGGCAUAAGAGCACAGAAGAGUUGUUAGUUUCAUAUGUGGAGAUUUUCAUCAUAGUAGUUCAUUGAAAGUGAAGGCAGCUGAAUACCCUUUUUUCUGAUGCAGUCUGUCCCUCUUUGGUGUGAUUAUUUAAAAUUUGUGCAAGAAUAUGAUCCAUCUAUACGCGAAUGUUUACCCAAUGGCACUUCAAAGGCAAGGAAUCUAUUUGAGCGGCUAUUACUGCUGCUGGUCUGCAUGUUUUAGAAGGCAGUGAAAUAUGGGAAUUGUACAGAGAAUUUGAGCUAGCUAUAUUUAGUAGGAUUGAUAAGAUUAACUUGAAUGUGAAAUAUUUUAAUUUAUUUUACUUUUUUUUGGGCUUAAAUAACGAGUUUAUUCCCAUCUAUAGAAAGAAAAAGGGAAGGUUUUUUUUUUUUUUGCUGGGGGGGGUGUUUCCAACCCUAGCACAUGACAAGCAUUCCAAGACCCUUGCUGCUUGUUUUGCAGGAAAAGGAAAAACAGGUUCUGCGGAUUCGAAGUAUAUUUCAUCGCCAGUUGUCUGUUCCCCUUGCUAACUCAAGUGCAACUCUUCUUGCCUACAAAUCUUGGGAGCUCAAACAGGGGGCUGUUCUUGAUGUUGAAUCUAGUAAUGUAGAUGGGAUUUCUUCUAAUGUUGCCGCAGCAUACCAAAAGGCAUUGGAGAUGUGUAAUGCACGAGCUCAUGUUGAAGAGCAGAUUUCUAGGCAGGAUUUAUCUGACUCAGAGAAAUUUCAACAAUACAUGGCAGAUGACUUUACUAUCGUCAUUUGAUAGCUUUUUAUAGUAAGUGAAAUCCAGCCCUAAAAAUUUUAUUAAUAUGAAUAUUUUUUUGGGGGGAUUUCUUCUUAUGGCAUUAUUAUUUUGCUUUUGUGUAGCUAACAAUUAAUAUGUGCACUUUAAAUAUUAUCUAUUGUUUCUUAGCAAAUAAUAGUAAUAAUAAUAAGUAAUAAAUAAUUAAUAUCUGCAUUGUCAAAUAAUAAUAAUAAUAAUGUCUGCUCUUUUUACUCUUGGGGGGGGGGGCAUGCAGUGUCAUUAUCUUCCUUCUUCUCCUUUUUCUAUUUUGUGCUUUCAAGUUUAAUAUUAUUAUAUUAAUCUGUUAUUGUUGUAGAUAUACUUGAAGUAUGAGCAAUCUUCUGGAGAUCCUGGUAGAGUUCAACUUCUUUAUGAACGGGCUAUUACCGACUUUCCUGUAUCAAGUGAUCUCUGGCUUGAUUAUACUCGUUAUCUUGACAAAACAUUAAAGGUUUAUCCUUCUAUUUUCUAUUUUACUUCUUCUGUUGCAGCUAUUUGUAUACUAAUCGACUCUCCUCUUCAGGUUGGUAAUGUUGUGAGAGAUGUUUAUUCCAGGGCUACAAAAAAUUGUCCCUGGGUAGGAAAACUUUGGGUACGAUCUUUGCUUUCUCUGGAACAUGGCCGUGUUUCUGAGGAGGAGAUAUCCACUGUAGGUUUAAUUGUUACCCUUCAUUCUGAGCUUAAUCAAUUUUCCUGAAUGUAUUCAUUCUGAGCUUAAUCAAGUUUCCUGAAUGUAAUUGAUUUUGAUUGUUUGAAGUUAAAGAAAUGAUCAGCUUCCUAGGCAAAUUUCUUGGCAAGCACUUGAUUGUGGGAGUAACUGAGGAGAAGCAUUCCCUAGUGUUUUUUUUUGUUUUUCUCCUCCCCUAAAAUUGCAAUAUACUUCCCUUGAAGAGUAUUUUUUGCUUUAGCAUUUACACAUCUGUACAGAAGCAAACAUGAAUCAGAGAGAUUUAGUGGGCAAAUUCACCUGUGCUGACAAAUUAAAGCAUAUUAAAUACCGCGGUGGUUGUUGGAAUGCUCCAAAAAGUGUUUUCUUGGUGCUCCUGCUCCUUUUGCACUUUCAUAGUGUUUUAAUAACUGGGUUGUUUAAAUGUCCUGUACUUAUUUUCUUUACAAAUGUCUUUGUAUUUUUUUAAAUUUAUAAAAGAUUGUUCUAAUUAUAUUAAUAGCAACAAAUUGCGCAAACUCAAAUCUUAAUUUCAUUCUGCCCCUAUUACAUAUAUACGGGAUUCUCCUAUUAUUUCAUCAAAUUUUCCAUUACUAAUUUCAGGUCUUUGAGAAGUCACUACUAUGUACUUUUUCAACCUUUGAGGAGGUAGAGAUAUAAUCUUAUGUCUUCUGUACAUACCUUGGUUUCUUGAGCUGUAUGAUUUGGUAUAUAUCUACUUCUGAUUCAUCAUGCAUUUUUUUGUUAACUGGUUCUUUUUUGUUUGAGUACCUAGAUCUAUUCCUUACUUGAAUAGAUGGUUUGAGGUGGAGAAUUUUAUUCUCCGGUGAAGUUGAGGGCGCCUUGGAUUAUUCAUUGAUAACGGAAACCCUUCAGGUUUGUAAACUUAUACUGUUGGCUAUUCAAUAUUAAAAUUGGUUAUACUCCUUAAUAUCAAGAAAUUGAAGCUUCCCAAAUCAUACCCAAGAAAUGCUCUAUUGUGGAUUACUGGAUGGAGCUAGUUGCUAGAUGAUACCUUUAAGAUUCAAGACAUAUGUUGUUUUGUGUAUGGCUAUCAAGUACUUUGGCCUGCAAUUGUGGCAUAUUGGUCUUACGCCAGCAUCAGGUAUAACAUUGUGUCUGGCAUAUAUACCAUUGGAAUUCUGGGUUUCUGUUGAGUGGGCUCCAACAGCUAUAUUUGUGUCCAAUGUUGUGGGGUCCUCUUCUUUGGUGCUUUUAAGUGAAGUUUUAACUUUCCUUGUCAAAAUUUUGUUACAAAUCAAGUAGAAGGCACUGCACUGAAGCAUUGGUACUUCUAGAUUGCUUGUUUUGCAUGGUAGAUUUCAAUCCAUUGCUUUUAUUUCUUGGAUCAUGUUUAUCAUUGAGGACUUUCUUGGCCAGUCAUAGAGCUGACUAGUGCUACCAUCAUCAUUGGUAGGGCAAAAAAGUCAAUUCCUAUGGGAUGCUUUCUGACUUAGAGAAGAUGUCUUCAAGAAUUUGUGGAUUUAAGUCUUCACACGAUGUUCAACUCUUGAUAGUCUAACCUUGGUACAGGAUUUAUAGCUGUCUUCCAAGUUUGUGCUCAUAAAUGAGUAACCUGUCUGUCUUUAUGAUACCAGUUAAAUUUGUUAGCUUUCCGGGAUUUGGAGGUUGUAAAUGUCCAUAAACAACAAUGUCUUCUCUUCCUUACAGCGUGCAUCAGAUUACUUGUCAGAACAGAUGAAAAAUAACAAUGGUUUGCUGCGUUUGUAUGCUUAUUGGGCACGUCUUGAACAAACUAUGGGAAAAGAUACGGUUUCAGCUCGUAGUGUCUGGGAGAGGCUACUUAAGAUCAGGUUCACCAAUUUUAAUUUUUGCCAGUGCAUACAUAGCAAAAUUUCUUUAUAUCUAUAUAUUUUCGGAUAACUUGUGCUUCUCUUAAUGCAGUGGUACAAUGUUGGAAGCCUGGCAAAGUUAUAUAUCUGUGGAAAUUGAAUUGGGUCAUAUUAAUGAAGCUAGAUCCAUCGACAAGAGAUGCUACAGUAAAAGAUUUACAAGGACAGGUUCAGAGGUAAAUUUCUUUCAUCCUGCUUCUUUAAUGAAUAUUAACUGCUUAACAACGUACCUUGUUGUUUCCAUCUUGUUUGUUUAACUGGUCUUAUUUGUAAACACCUGAAAUCAUACAUCUUAAUUUCUGAUAAUUAGAUGUUAUUUUAGAUAUCUGUAUCUGUUAAUGUUCUUUCAAGUCUGAUUCCAAUGCAUAUUUAGUUAAACUGCUCUUUACUGCAUUUUGGAUUAGUUGAUAUCUUCCUUUCCUAAAAACAGAAUCAUUCAGGACAUAUGCCAUGCUUGGCUGCAAUUUGAAUGGGAAUUUUGUAUAAAAUUUUUAAUGAAUUUAUGGGUUUGAUGAGUAAAAUUAGGGGUUCAUAUAGACUCACCCAUAAAUUGAACCCUUAUUUUAUGUUGAUGCACAACUUAACUUAACAAAAAUAAUGUUCAAAUUGUCACAAAAUUUGAAAAAAAAAUCAUACAGUUAAUUUUUCUUCUACUUUACUCCAUUAUUCAAUGGGCAUAUAAUAAAUUAGGAGAGGGGAGAAAUAAAGGGGAAAAUUAGAGUAUUGUCGCAAUGAUACACUGAUACAAAUGCCCAUUGAGUGAUUGUCAAUGGGCAUAUAAUAAAUUAGGAGAGGGGAGAAAUAAAGGGGAAAAUUAGAGUGAUUGUCACAAUGAUACACUGAUACAAAUGCUUAUGUAUGUGUAGUGUGUGUGUGGGGCGUUCUUUAAUUUGACCAAAAAUAAAUGCAUUUAUUUGUAUUUUUAAUCAAAAUCGAGGGAUAUAAACAAAAAUUUUACCACUCCAGAGUCCAGACAUGUAUCAUUGCCUCGUUAAAAAAAAUUGCAUAAAAUUAAAAAACCAUUAGUGGCUGAAAGAGAGAAACAAAUUAAGAAAGGGUUCAAAAGAUGGAACCCGAAGAGAAAACCCUAGCAACAAUCCCAGAAGAAGAAGAAGAAGAUGGAGACACGGCCAUGCCCGACGUCAAGAACAACCCUAAACCAACAACAACAGCCAACUCUUCGGACUCGAGCGAUGCCUCUGACUCAGACUCGGACUCUGACUCAGAAGAUGAAGCAAAACAGAACAUGGAGCUUCAAACCCUAGAGUAUCAGCUAUCCAAUGAACCCUCCAAUUACGACACCUAUGUUCAAGUAACUUCAAUACACAUAUUUAUUGAGUGAUUUUGUGGAUAACCGUUUGCUUGUUCUUUCUUGGGUUGUGAUAAAAAUGGUUUUUAUCUUUUUUUUUUCAGUAAAUAAAGGUUUUGAGAAAAAUGGGUGAGAUAGAGAAAUUGAGACAAGCUAGGGAAGCCAUGAAUGAGAUUUUUCCAUUGACUCCUGCUAUGUGACAAGAAUGGGUGAGAGAUGAAGCCUCUAUUUCAACUGGGCAUCUGUCAUUUCCUAUUGCAAUGGUUUUUUAUUUUGUGAGCAAAUGUUUUUUUUGCUUAGAGAUAUAGAUGUUUAUGUUAGUUAUUUGCUAAUGUAAGAAGGAACAAAACCUGCUUAAAAGGUAUUAAAGAAAGAAAAAAGGAACCAAUUUAAAGAAGGGGAUACUUAUAGUGGGAGUUCUACUUUGGGGUUUAAUUGAUGGAAAGAAGAAAUAGCUUAUAUGUUUACAGAAUUAGACAUUUGAUCGCUGAGUUAGUUGAGGAAGAUGGUUAAUCACAAUGUCUGAUGUUGUUUCUGUUGGCCUGAACUAGUUGUUAAGAUUUCAUACUUUCAUUCAACAAUACAAUAGACUUUGAUUGGGUCCACCGUAGUUGGGUGUUCUGAGGAAUCAAUGAGUGUCUUGAGAAAACUUGGGUGGAGUGCUGGUCAUUUUCAGGAUUCAGUUUCCAAGAAAACAAAAAUGAAGUCGUAGUUGUAGUUUAAAUUAAUUUAUGUUUUUAUCUUUUUCUGUGAGCCCAGUGAGCUUUUAUUUUCACUUUGUUCGCUUUUGUUUCUUUCCCUUCUUUUCCUACAGUUUCUUGAUAAUCAAACAGAUCAGGAUUAAGUGUUUACUUUUGGUUAGGGGUGGGCGUUCGGUUCGGGUUAACCCGAACUAAACCGAACCUGAAAUUUAUUUCGGGUUCGGUUCGGUUUGGGUUAACUCGUGCAACCCGAACGGAUUCAAAGCUUCAAUCUGUUCGGGUUAAAUUUCGGUUCGGGUUCAACCCGAACCGAAUUUUCAACCCGUUCGGGUUGAAGCUUUUUUUUUUUUAAAGAUUUAGCUUUUAAAUUAAAAAUAUAUAUACAUUAAUUAAACCAAAAAAUCCCUAAAAAUGAAAAAUCCCUAAACAAAAAUCUCUCCCUCUCGGCCUCCCCCUCCUUGCUCCCUCUUCUCACUUCUCAGUUCUCACUUUCUGUGAACUGUGGUUGAUGACAUCAGCACUUCAGCAGCAGCCACAGCAGCCCCGUUCAGCUCCAACAGACACCAGCCGGCCUCAUCGUCUCACUCCCUCCCCCUCCUUGCUCCAUCGUUUCACUCCCUCCCACGACGACAACACUCACAGGCCACAACAGCAGCCAGCAGCCCCGUUCACAGCAGCCCACUCGCGUCAGCCAGCACGCCUCGCCCGCAACUGCGCUGUGCGUUCAGCUCGCGUCCCACUCAGCCCAGGAAGUCUCGAUCUGCCAACGCUGUAGCUGCUCUGACCUCCGAGAUUAAGGUUUGUCUUGCCUUGCCGACGGCGACGCUGUAACUUGCUGACUUGCACGCAACUGAUGGCAACAACCCGAAUUGAAUUUUAAGUUUUUAACAGCCUGUUGCUAUUAAUUAAAUUGUAAAUUUUUAAUUAAUUGAUUGACAAUUAUUCAAUUAUUUGAAGUGGGUUUGUUGUUGUUGAUUGAUAAUUGAACCCGAACUAAUCCAAACUAACCCGAAUUAACCCGAACCGAAAUUGUAACCCGAAUUAUCAACCCAAUCCGAUCCGAAUUGUCAAUCCAAACCGAACCGAACCGAAUUGGUUCGGGUUGGCGUUUUCAACCCGAUUGGGUUCAAUUCUCCAACCCGAACGGGUUGAAACCCAAACCGAAACCCGAACAACCCGAACCGAAACCCGAAACGCCCACCCCUACUUUUGGUGUAAUUAUUCACUCUAACUCGAAUAGUACUUAGGUUUAGUGCUAACAAAAUAGGAAGUGAAUUAAUAUCUGAAGUUGACCUAGGAGUGGAAUGAAUGUUACCAAAAAUAUACUAUAUGGUAGAUAGAAUUUGCCUUUUAGGUAAGACAAAAAUAAUUACAGCUGUUAAUUUAUUUCAAUAAGUUCGUACAUCAUUGAAUAAUAAGUCCAAGAUUUUAAUGGUUUUGUUUCCUGAAAAUUUGUCACGAGUGCAUGAACAAAGUUCUAUGGAUGAACUUCUCUUAGUUAAUUUGAGUUCAAUGUCGCAGUUCCUCAUAUUAACUAUAUAAAACACUAAUCUUGCUCUUUACUUUGGAGCAUUUUAAUAAUUGAUGCUAAUUCCUUAGCCAUUUUAUUCAUCUUGUGCAUAAAUUAUGCAAUCAAUAAGCCAACUCCACUUUCAUCUUUAUUUAGUGAAAAAUUUGCAAGGUCACUAGGAGGUUUUUGUAUGUCUCAUGCUAACAUGGACGCCAUGGUUUCACUAUGUAAAUUUUCCCCACUGAAAUUCAUGAUCCCUCAUAUACCACUCAUCACUCAUGAAGCUGUUUCUGGGGCUUUAAAAGCGCCAAAUUUUAGUUUUAUCCUUUCUAGCUUAUUAACCUGUCCGCAUCUGCAUUAUUAUCUUUCCUGUCAUACGAAAGUUUCAUUUAUCAUCUUCCCAACAUAAACAUCCGUAGGUCAUUGUUGACUUUUUUGCUUUGACACUUAUUGUUUCUAAGUAUAGGCUACCAAGGGAGAAAAAAAUUGACAUUGAUGGUCAUCCCCAGCAUUUUUAUCCCAGGAGACUGGUCAUUCACUUUCUAUGAAGGACUAUAUAGACAUCCAGACUCUAUUUUGAAGGACAAAGCUGUGGCUGAGCUUGGUUGUGGAAAUGGAUGGAUAACCAUUGCCAUAGCUGAGAAGUGGUUGCCUUUGAAGUUUUGUUGGUUUGUCGUCCUUAUGCCAUGUGAGAGCUUUUAUUUCCUUCCCUACCAGUGCCUUCAGGGGCUCCAUCAUGAUUUCUCUCAUCAUUUUCUAUCUCUGUGUUUUGCAAGGCCAUUUGAUAUUUAUAACAGCAUUGGCACCAGGUUAUGGUGAUUUAAUGCACUCCUAUUAGGAAAAAUUACAUAAUUAUCAACUCUGUCCUUGUCCAAAAGUCUUUGUUGGAGUAUGUUGAAAAUAUAACCUUGUAGGAGUUCUUUUAUGCUGUCUGAAUAUCCUAUUGCAGGUCUAUGGCCUUGAUAUUAAUCCCAGAGCAAUAAAGAUCUCUUGGAUAAAAUUGUACUUAAAUGCAUUAGAUGAAUCUUUUUCUAAGCUUUUCUGUCACUGUCACUGCAAAAGGUCUUUUGUAUUGAGGGUUAUCUGUGGGGCUAGGAAAGGUCAGCCCAUCUAUGAUGCGGUGAAGAAAACCUUACUGGAUAGGGUGGAGUUUGAUGAAUCUAAUCUCCUAGCAUAUUGUAGACAUCAUGACAUUCAACUUGAAUGAAUAGUGGGGUGCAGACCUCAGGUACUCUCACUUUCUGCAACUCAUGAUAUUUCUAGGGGAUUAAAUUUUAGUGAAGUUUGUUUACCCAACAUCAAGUUGGAAUUUUAGUGUGCCCACAUGGAUUACUUUUAACUCCUAGUUUAACUUAUUCUGUUGUCUCCAUGCAGGUUCUCAACCCCAAUUCCAAUGCAAUGUCGAAAAUAAUCACUGAAAAUGCAAGCGAGGAAUUUCUGUAUUCAUUGAGUAACUAUUGUGGAUUGCAGGUUGGAAGAUAUUCUAAAUAAUUUAAUUGUGAUGCGCAAUUGCAAUUGCCGGGAAGUUAGCAAUUAAGUUGAUAGGCUUCUUCUGGUUUCACAUAUUUCUAAGUAACAACUUUGGUUUGAAGCUUGCAUACCUUAGGUAAGGUUGAUGUCUUUAGUUGGUCAAUAUCAAUUGGGAAAUAUAGCUAACCAGUGAAGACAGUGGGAAAAGGAUGAUGUGAGUUUGACAAAUGCUGGGAGGAGAUAGGGAAACUUAAUCUGAAAGAUUUCUUUUUUUUUCUUGGUUUAUUUAUUUAUUUACUCGUGUGACCUCUUCACAAUGCCAUUGAUUCCCAUAGUUCAUGUUGCUAGGUGAACUUAACAACAACCAUCUAUUAUGCCUUGUGGAUAACUGAGAAAAUUUAUUGCUUUGGACAAGUUGCUUUUUGAAAUAGAGUGCAAGUAGAUUGACUAAUAAUGAACUUAUUGUAUCAAGUUGUUACAUUUGAAUAUAUUAAGGUCAUAUAAAGCUUACUUGUUAUACUUCUUUUUUUCUUUUUUCCCUCCCCAUUUCCCUGUAUGGAGGGUUUCUUGGACGAUCAGUUUGGCUUAGGUCUAAUUUUCUCGAGCAGUUAAGGAAUUACUGUUAUCAAAAUAAAGUUUCCUCUCACUCACUAGCCAAUUGAGCAGCUCGUCACCGGUCGGAUUCAUUGCCGAUUGCAGCCCACCUCCAUCAUGUCAGUUCAGUAGCUUGUCGCUGCAGUCAUGAUCGGCCUCUUUGUUGUCGUUGAAGAACCAAUCAAUAAUGAUGAUGAUUGAUGAUGAUGAUGAUUACCAUUGUUGAUGAUUAAUAUUAUUGAUGAUGAUGAUGUAGAUGAUGUAAUUGCGGUGAGAUGAUGAAGAUGAAACUGAAUUGUGAUGUUGAUAAUGAAAUUGACAGAAGGAAGAAGAAGAUUGUGAAAAAUCUGACUUCUUCACUCGUAUUACAUUAGAGAAGAAUACAUAUUUAUAUACAUUACACCCUAGGAAUAAAAUGGUAAAAAAAAAACAGCUAAGAUAUUGCAAAUCAGUAUCCCUGAAAAUUAGGGAUUAUAUAUCCUAAAAUCUAGUAUUUAAGUCAACACAUAGCUGUAAAAUACAGCUAACAUCUACAACAAUAGUCAACACACAGCUGUAAAAUACAACUGACAUCUGCAACACUCCCCCUCAAGCUGGAGCAUAGAUAUUCUUCAUGCCUAGCUUGCAUACAAACUCUUCAAACUUGUGUCCAUGCAUUCCUUUUGUCAACAUAUCUGCAGUUUGUUGUCCUGUUAGAAUAUACACCAAACAGAUAACUCCAGUUUCCAAUUUCUCUUUAAUAAAAUGUCGGUCUACCUCCACAUGUUUUGUCCUGUCAUGAUGGACAGGAUUAUGGGCAAUAUUAAUUGCUGCCUUAUUGUCACAGUAAAGUUGCAUAGAACUAUUUUUUAUUAACUGUAGUUCUUUGAGAACACGUUCUAUCCACAUAAGCUCACAUACCGCAUGUGCUAGUGCUCGAAAUUCUGCUUCUGCACUGCUUCGUGCCACUACAGUUUGCUUCUUGCUUCUCCAAGUUACAAGGUUUCCCCACACCUUAGUACAAUAACCCGUUGUAGACUUCCUAUCCAUGAUGUUUCCAGCCCAAUCCGCAUCAACAAAAGCUUCUACAUUCCUUUUUUCUCCCUUCUCAAAAUAAAGUCCCUUUCCCGGUGUUGACUUCAGGUAUUGAAGUAUUCGGUUUACUGCCACUAAGUGAGCUUCUUUUGGGGCGUGCAUAAACUGGCUCACUAAGCUAACCGCAAAAGCAAUAUCAAGUCUAGUAUGGGAAAGAUAAAUUAAUCUCCCUACUAGCCUUUGAUAUCUCCCCCUCUCCACGGGUGCACUAUUUUCUUCAAGACCCAACUUGCUAUUUGGUUCAAUUGGUGUGGCAGCAGGUUUACAGCCAAUCAUACCAGUAUCCUUUAGCAAAUCUAGGGUGCAUUUCCGUUGUGUAACUAGAAUACCUUUAGCUGUUCUAGCUACCUCCAUUCCCAAAAAAUAACGUAGUGGUCCAAGAUCCUUGAUUUCAAACUCACCAGCUAAUUUUUCUUUUAAUCCUUCCAGCUCUUCUUUGUCAUCUCCUGUUAGUAUAAUGUCAUUAACAUACACGAUCAAAAUAGCUAACUUCCCUUCUUUAGACCGUUUGUAGAACAUAGUAUGAUCGGCUUGCCCUUAAGAAUAACCAUAGUUCUUCAAGACUUUCCAAAUCGAUCGAACCAAGCCCUAGGGGACUGUUUAAGGCCAUAGAGAGACCUUUUUAACCGACAAACUCUUCCAGCAGGUCCUUUUUCUUCAAAACCAGGCGGCAUAUCCAUGUAAACUUCCUCUUCCAAUUCUCCAUUCAAGAAUGCAUUCUUGAUAUCAAGUUGGUUGAGAGGCCAAUCUAAAUUUGCAGCAAGAGAGAGAAGGAUCCUUACAGUAUUAAGCUUUGCCACUGGAGCAAAAGUUUCUAGAUAGUCCACCCCAUAGGUUUGUGUGAAACCUUUCGCCACGAGUCUUGCUUUAUACCUGUCCACACUUCCAUCAACCUUAAAUUUGACUGUAAAUACCCACUUGCACCCCACAGUCCUCUUGUCUUUAGGUCUUGGUACAAGCUUCCAUGUGUUAUUCUUUAUUAAGGCUGCCAUUUCUUCUUAAACAGUUUUCUUCCACUCAUUUGACUCUAGGGCUUCAUGGAUGUUUCUUGGAAUAGUGGUAUUAGAUAGACUGGCCACAAAAUUCCUAUACUCCUUAGAUAGAUUUGCAUAUGACAAGAACUUGUUGAUAGGAUGUUUAGUGCAAUUUCUUACCCCUUUCCUUAUCGCAAUAGGCAAAUCUGUGGACUUCUGAGCUUCGUUCUCAGCAUAUUCAGUAGGUGGGUUUUGAUCCUCCCUUAGUUCAGAUCUCGGUUCUGCUUGGUCUAUAAGUGGCUGUACCUCUUGAGUUUUAUUCUUCUUUCGUGAAUAGACAUGAAACUCGCCUAUAGGUUCCUCCAAAUGUGAAUUGGUUUUUAUUCCUUCAUUCCUUGGUGACACUAUUGGUUGAUUAAGUUCUAUGGUGUUAGGUAGGUUAGGAUGAAUGUCUGGACUGAGGAAGGAGGUAUUUGGUAGAUUGAGUUCUAGGCUGGAAUUACUGGACAUAUUAGGUUCUAGGCUGGAACAUCUGGACAUAUUGGGUUCUAGGCUGGAACUACUGGACAUAUUGGGUUCUAGGCUGAAAUUACUAGGCAUCUUAGGUUCUAAAAUGCCAAGAAGAUCCCAGGAAUUAUCUUCUCUCAAAUUCUGCCCCUGAAGAGAAUUACUCGUGUAAAAAGGCUGAUUUCAAAGAACUUGACAUCCAUUGUGACGAAUAAUUUUUUGGUAAGAGGAUUAUAACACUUGAACCCUUUCUUGGUAGGAGAAUAUCCUAGAAAUAGGCACUUGAUGGCUCUAGGAGACAACUUUGUUCUUUGAAGACUCGGAAGAUAUACAAAGGCUGUACAACCAAAAGUUUUGAGUGCAAAAUUAGAGGUAACAAGGUGAUUUUGUGGGUAGCUGUCAAGAAAAACAAAAAUAGGUGUCUUGAAUUUAAGAACUCGAGAGGGCAUACGAUUUAUGAGAUAAGAUGCUGUAAGAAUGGCCUCUCCCCAAUAUAUUUUUGGUACAUUAGUUGUGAACAUAAUGACCCUAGCAACCUCUAAAAGGUGUCUGUUUUACGUUCUGCAACCCCAUUUUGUUGUGGUGUUUCGGAACAAGAACUUUGGUGGACAAUUCCUUGUUGUGAUAGGUAAUUCCCUAAAAUAGAAUUGAAAUACUCAGUUCCAUUAUCUGUACGGAGUACACGAUUUUCAGUUUGAAACUGAGUUUUUACCAUGACAUGGAAUUGUUUAAAAGUUUGUCCAGCUUCAGAUUUUUCCUUCAAAAGGUACACCCAAGUGGUCCUAGAGUGGUCAUCUAUGAAUGUUAUGAACCAUUUUGCUUUUGACAGGUUGUUAACCCUUGAGGGGCCCCAAAUAUCACUAUGAAUCAAAGAGAAAGGCUGGGAUGGUUUAUAAGUACGGGUAGGAAAUGAAACACGUGUUUGUUUAGCCAUUUAACAAAAGUCACAAUAUAAUAAACUCAAAUUUUGAUUUUUAAAUAAGGAAGGAAACAAGGUUUUUAGAUAUGGAAAGCUAGGGUGGCCUAACCUAUAGUGCCACAACAUUAUUUCAGAAGAAACAAAUUCACAUUGAGAGACCUGAGCAUGUCCUUUCACGAGUCUUUUAUUCUCGAGAUAGUACAGUCCCUCAUAUUCCUUUGCAUUCCUAGUCAUCCUCCCCAAGAUUGGAUCCUGAAAUAGACAUUUAGAACCACAGAAUUUAGCUACACAGUUUGUGUCUUUAGUAAGUUUACUAACUGAAAGAAGAUUGCAUUUAAGAUUUGGGACAUGUAAAACUGAAAAAGAGUCAAACAAUUUGAUAGUUUUACUGUUCCUUUUCCAGCAACAGUGGAUAAUGAUCCAUCAGCAAUCCUCACUUUAUAAUUACCUGGACAUGGAGUGUAACUAGAGAAAAAUUGAGAAGACCCUGUCAUAUGGUCUGAGGUCCCUGAAUCAACAAUCCAAGAACCUUUUUCAAGGGAUUGGAUGCUAAGGGCUGAUGGGUUACCUGUAUGGACUGCAUUACAACUAGAGGAGGUCAAGUCAUUUUUAUUUGCUUGCUGAUUUUGUAUAAGGAGCUGUUGCAGCAUCUCAAAUUGAUCUUUUGCGAGGGCAAACUGAUUAGUUUUCUCUGUCACCAUUCCCUUUGCUUCUUGCUGCCGUUUUGGUUUCCAAUCUGCUGGCUUUCCAUGAAGCCUCCAGCAUGAGUCUCGAGUAUGCCCUUUCUUGUGACAAUAGUCGCAAUAGGGACGUUCUCCAUGUUUUUGUCCCUUUUGGUUAGCUGACUGAUCUGUCUUUUUGGUCACCAGCGCUGAUCUCUCCGCCUCAGGUUCCUUCACCAGUCCCAUCAUGACUCUCUUUCGACUUUCUUCACGCCCCACCUCAACAAAAGCUUCUCGGAUGGAGGGUAGAGGAUUCUUUCCUAAUAUUCUGCCACGAACUUCAUCAAGUUCUUUGUUGAGUCCAUAAAGGAAAUCAAAGAGACGUUCUUUAUCCAACAUCCUCUUAUUUUGAUGGCAUCCUCAGAGCAAUGCCAUUGCGAUUCAUAGUAAAGGUCAAGUUCAUGCCAUAUAUUGUUUAGAGAAUUGAAAUAUUGAGUCACUGAAAGACUCCCUUGCUUUUGGUCACGUAAUUGUGACUUGAUUUCAAAGAGCUGAGCUGCAUUCCCCAGGUCAGAGUAAGUUUCUGUCACGGCUUCCCAAAGCUCCUUCGCAGAUGGUAGGAAGAGAUAAGUCCUACCAAUAUCCACGUCCAUCGAGUUGAUCAACCAAGUUUGCACCAUUGAAUUUUCAGCAUCCCACUGUGGAUAACCUGGAUCCAAGACAUCAGGGGCUUUGGUUUCCCCUGUAAUAUACCCUAAUCGGCCUUUGCCACGAAGAAAUAGGGUGACAGAUUGAGACCAUUGCAAAAAGUUUCUGCCAUUUAACUUGUGCAAAGUUAUUUGCAAAGAGGGGUUUUCGGUACCUAAGGAGACCGAAGAGAUGUCCUGCCUUGUUACAGAACUGGAGGAAAUCUCAGAUUCUUGUGUAGGGUUUGUUGUCUUCUCCAUUGGAUGGGUUGAGAGUUUAGAAUGAGAAAAAAAUUCAGAGGCUUAGUUUAAAAGAGUUGCUCUGAUACCAUGUGAAAAAUCAGACUUCUUCACUUGUAUUACAUUAGAGAAGAAUACAUAUUUAUAUACAUUACACCCUAGGAAUAAAAUGGUAAAAGAAAAAAAAGCUAAGAUAUUGCAAAUCAAUAUCCCUGAAAAUUAGGGAUUAUAUAUCCUAAAAUCUAGUAUUUAAGUCAACACAUAGCUGUAAAAUACAGCUAACAUCUACAACAAUAGUCAACACACAGCUGUAAAAUACAGCUGACAUCUGCAACAAAGAUAAUUGUGGUGAUGAUGAUGAUGUUGAUGGAGAAGAUGAAAUUGACAUGAUUGAUGAUGAAGUAACGAAGAAUUUGUAAAACACACACACACACACACACAGAGAGAGAGAGAGAGAGAGAGAGAGAGAGAGAGAGAGAGAGAGAGAGAGAGAGGAGAAGAGGAUAAAAAAAAAGAUAGAGAAAAACAGGAGAGAAAAUAAUAACAAAAACAAAAGAGGAAAAUAAUUAUUAUUGUUAUUAUUAUUAUUAACAAUAACUUUCUUAAUAACCAUAAUCAUAUAAUAGAUAAUAAAAAUAGAAGGUAAUAAUAACUAAGGGUAUUUUAAUAAUUUAAAUAAUUUAUUGUAAUUUCAAGGUAAAGUAAAUAUAUUAAUGAUAAUACAGUUUAUUUUAAUUUUGAUUCUUAUAAUUGAAGUAAAUAAUUUAUUUUAAUUUUUAUUUCACAUUUUAAUUUUAUUCUAUUCUGAAUUAGUAAACGCAUCAUAAAAUCAUGUGAUUCUACUCUAUAUGUGAGAUUGAUUUUUUUCUUUAAGGCCUACGACAUCCCAAUACAAGUCUAUAUAGGACCAAGCUACUAAGUGGACGGUCAUAAAAACUUAAAAAGGCAUAAAAUUGGAUGGCCGUCUAAUUAAUUUCCCGUGACCUACAACAAAAAUUUAAGAAGGAACUCCGAUACCAUCAAUUCUGCAUUUUAAUUUGAAGUUGGAAAACAGUGAAAACAGAAGGAUCGGGUGAUUUAAUUUUAUACAUAUUUAAUCAAGUAAAAAUGGCACGUGCGUUGUAAUUUGCCCAGUUAUCUUACUUUGAAUAAUAACAAAGUUCAAAUUUUGUAUUCAGUGAAAAAUCAAUUCUAUAGUGAAAAACACUAGCUAGAAAAAAAUCUAUGUCCUGAUGUCUUAGUUUAUAAGCUCAAACAAUGAAUAGUAUACAUACAACGCAUGAUAGAACACAAACUCAUAUAGAUUUUUAGUUUUGAAAUUCAUUUCAGAAAAUCUGUUCUGUUCAACAGGUUAUAGAUUAUCAACUAAACUCUGCCCACAUUCUUAGCUCUGCCAUUGGAAGUACGCAACUCAGCUGCCCAUCGACCGCCAAGCCAUCAAGACAAUACCAAGAUACAACAUCAAUAAUAAUAACAUCAAGAAUUACAUAGAGGCCGUCGCACGUUACACCCACUCCAACAGGAAACUAAUUAAUACCCUCCAAGCUCCUCUGUUUCAAAUCCAAAUCCACUGCUCGACCAUUUACUAUGACGUAAGGUAUAUGGAUUAAUUAACAAGUGCCGAUAUUGUCCUCCAUCCUUUUGUGUACCUUUCUUCUGGCAAGGCCUUUUCUGGAAAGUAUUUGAGCUCCAGACAAUUGCAGAAUUUCAAUUUGCUGAGGUUUUGAUGAUCAGCAAUUGAAGAAGACAGGUGUUAAUAAUUAUGAAGAACUGGUGUAAUUUAUAUCAUGUAGGAAGCCCUUCAGUUACUUUUUUGACCGUGCUCAAGCUCUUUUAAGGGCUAAUAUUAAAAUUUCGUGAUAUUGUGCCAAAAGAGCUUCGUACGUCAUUGUAAACUGUUCAUCGUUAUGUGCUGCUUCCCCAUUUAAUUACAUUUAUUUAACAUUUUAAAGAUGGAAGUAGAAAUUAAAACUCAGUUUUUCAGAUAUGGCUCAUAUACAAUGCAAGUAUCAAGAUUUAAUUAGAGUUCAAUAUACAUGCGUCUAGUUUUUAUUGAGAGAAACAAAUCAUAAAUACUCAGGUGUUUCUAAAUGAUUGAAUAACGAUAUUAUUGUUAUUUAUAAAUUUAUAAGGAUAAAUAACUAAUAGUCCACCAUAAAUACCGAAAAGGGUCCCCAGCAUAACUUGAACAACUUUACUUGUGUUUGCUCAUUGAAUAAUGUUAUAAGAAAGAAAUACAUAUGUCAGAAGAUUCAUAGUAUAUUGGAGUGUUUUUUGUACUUGAAUGAGAAUGAAUGAAGGUAUGUUAAUUUACUUUAAAUAAUUGUCUAAAAGGAAUAGAAAUGCUCUAUAACAUACCAAAUACUACCUUAAUCAAAAUUUAUUUGACAAAAAUUUUUAAAAAAUGGAAUAAUUAACCCUAAUUAAAUAAUUGUCUUAUAUCACCAAACUCUUUUUUUUUUAAUUAAGCCAUCACCAAACUCUGUAAAGCAUAAAAUAUAAUAGGCAAAUUUGAGUUAAAAAAAAAUGAAGUUAGGAAAAUGACUUGCAUAUUGUCUUUGAUGAGCGCAUAAUUUUCUUUUAAAAAAAAUGUUGAAAUGAACUCAAACUCGUUAGUGCAACUUGUCGGUUUUAAGUUGUAGAUACGAGUGACAUGUCAUUUUAGCUGAACUAGAUUCCAGAGCUCACAUUUGGGCAGUGUCAUCCAAGAACAUUAAAACUCACGUGACUAUUGCACGCAUGGUUUAAGCUGAAAUGACGUUGCUAGCAGUCGUUUAAGGAAGGCCUUUAAGUGUCACAUGAGUUGCUCGUGAUAGGAGGUUAAAAGCUGUUGGUUUUGGAGGGAAACCCCUGAAGCUGUUACGCCUGCAUCUUCUGGUAUAUAAACGAGCUGGUUCUGGUGUCAUAGUCAGUAAUCAAGGAAAGAGAGAUAAAGCAUCUGUACUGAGAGAAAAUCUUGACAGGGUGGUCUCUGUAUUGUGUAUAAUUUCUCUAUAACCUUGGAAGCUUAAUAAAACUGCUCUCUGUGUUGGUUUUCUCCAGUGGAUGUAGGCACCCUUCAACAGGUGCUGAACCACUUAAGCUCGGUGUGUUCUUUGUCUUUGGGUUAUGAUCUUUGAUCUGUGCAUUGUUCUUUGUUAACGUAAGAUUAGUUCUUGAAUCUUUGAGUCAGAGUUGGGUCUUGGGGUAAGGUUAAUCUAGUAACUAAAGGUUAAUUUCACAACAAUUGGUAUCAGAGCUCUAAACUCUGAUUUCAAGGUUCAAGAAUGGGUUCAAAAGUGGAUCUUGAGAAGUUUACGGGGCAGAAUGAUUUCAAUAUGUGGAAGAUCAAGAUGGAGGCUUUGUUGAUUACUCAAGAGCUGGGAGAAGCCAUAGAUCCAGUCACUAAGAUUGAAGAAGGUGAGGCUUCAUCAUCUAAGAUCCCAGAACAGGUAGCAGAGAUAGACAAGAAAGCCAGGAGCACAAUCAUACUAAGUCUUGGUGACUCUGUAAUUCGAGAAGUGGCCAAGGAAAGGACUGUUGCUGGUUUAUGGGCUAAGUUGGAGAACUUGUAUAUGACAAAGUCUUUGGCAAAUAGACUUUACAUUAAGAAGAAGAUGUUCUCACUGAAGAUGAUUGAAGGGGCAUCAUUAACAGAACAUGUUGAUGAAUUCAAUAAGGUUUGUGAUGAACUGGAGACUAUAGAUGAAGGGCUGAGUGAUGAGAGCAAAGCCUUGCUACUAAUCAGCUCUUUACCAAAGUCUUACGAGCACUUUGUGGAUGCACUGCUGUAUGAGAGGCAAACACUCUCCCUAGAAGAGGUUAAAUCUGCUCUUGGCACAAAGAAGCUGAAAGAUAAGCAAGAUAAUCCAGAAAGUGAAUCAAGUGAGGGAUUGAUGGCAAGAGGCAGGUCUGAGAAAAGAGAUAACAAUGAAAAAAGCAAGGCAGAUCAAAGUCUAAACAAAAGAAUUUGAAGUGUUUUCAUUGCCAUAAAGAAGGGCAUUUCAAGAGAGAUUGCCCUGAAAGAAAGAACAAGAAUAAAGAAACCAAAGAAAGAACAGGUAAUGCAGCCAUAGCCACAGAAGAAGAAUGUAACUUUGAAACAGCCGGAGUACUCAUUGCCACAAGUCAGAAACCUCAAGGUCAGUGGGUCCUUAACUCAGGUUGUACCUUUCAUAUGUGUCCAAAUAGGAGUUAUUUUACAACAUAUCAGCCAUGUGAUGGGGGUAUGGUUCUAAUGGGUAAUAACUCAAUGUGUAAGGUAGCUGGUAUUGGGACUGUUAGCCUUAGGAUGUUUGAUGGGGUGAUAAGGGAAUUGACACAAGUGAGAUUUGUCCCUGAUCUAAAAAGGAACUUAAUCUCAAUUGGCAUGCUAGAUCAAACAGGUUGUGUAAUUAAGGCUGAGAAAUGUGUAUUGAGGGUAAUUAAAGGAUCAAUGGUGAUCAUGAAAGGCAUAAAACAAAAUGGUCUAUAUGUGAUGGAUGGACAUACUGUUGUUGGGGAGGCAAGUGUGACUGACAGUAAAUGGAACAGAUCAAUGAUGUGGCAUUUAAGGAUGGGGCAUAUGAGUGAAAGAGGUUUGAGAGAGUUACAAAAACAAGGAGUGUUUGGGGAUGAUCAAAUAGGAGCUUUGGGGUUCUGUGAGGAUUGUAUUCUAGGAAAAUCCUCCAGGUUAAGGUUUGAGAUUGCAGCUCAUACCACCAAAGAGAAGCUUGAAUACAUACACUCUGAUUUGUGGGGGCCUGUACAAGUAAACUCACUAGGUGGAUGUAGAUAUUUUCUGACUUUUAUAGAUGAUUUUUCAAGGAUGGUUUGGGUCUUUGCACUCAAAAGCAAAGAUGAGGUUCUGGAAAAAUUCAAAAACUGGAAAACUUUUGUUGAGAACCAGACUGGUCUGAAGGUGAAAACUCUGAGGACAGACAAUGGCUUGGAGUAUUGCAACAAGCUGUUUGAAGAAUUCUGUGAAAAGAAUGGUAUUCAGAGGCACAAAACUGUCACCUACACCCCUUAACAGAAUGGCCUUGCUGAGAGGAUGAAUAGGACUCUGGUGGAGAAGGUGAGAUGCAUGUUAAUCUAUUCUAAGCUCCCAAAAACCCUUUGGGCAGAAGCUUUAAACACAGCAUGCUAUCUAGUCAACAGGAGCCCAUCAACUGCUAUAGAUUGUAAAACACCAAUGGAGCUUUGGUCAGGAAGAAGGGCUGACUAUACAAAACUCUGAAUCUUUGGGUGCACAACAUAUGCUCAUGUGAAGUAGGGUAAGCUGGAACCAAGGGCAUUAAAAUGCAGAUUUCUGGGGUAUCCGGAUGGGGUCAAGGGCUAUAGAUUAUAGUGUGUUGACACAAAACCACCACAGUGCAUCAUAAGCAGGGAUGUAAAAUUCCAUGAAGAAGAGCUAUUGAAUAAACCAAAGAGCUCAGAUAACAAUAUGGAAUCAAGCACUGAGACUGAUAUAGUGAAGUUUCAGGUGGAGCCUCAAAACUUGAAAGAACUUGAGCCUGAAAUUGAAGGUACUGAAGCAGAACCUGAAGCUGGUGUUGAACAUGAAUCAGCUGAAAGUGAAGAGAACACCUAUCAGUUGGCUAGAGACAGAAAGAAAAGGACAAUAAAGCCACCUAAAAGAUAUGCAGUAGUUGACUUGAUUGCAUAUGCUUUGAAUGUUGCUCAAGAGCUGAAUGAUGAUGAACCUAGGACCUAUCAAGAAGCUAUCACAGGCAAAAACAAGCUGGAAUGGAAGAGGGCAAUGGAUGAAGAGAUGACAUCCCUGAUUAAAAACAAGACCUGGACAUUGAUUGAAAAACCAGACAAGAGGAAAACAGCAAGCUGCAAAUGGAUCUUCAAAAUUAAAAAUGGUGUACCUGGAGCUGAACCUAGAAGAUUUAAAGCUAGAUUGGUGGCAAGGGGUUUUACACAGAAGGAGGGAAUUGACUUCACUGAAGUAUUUUCUCCUGUGGUGAGACAUGCUUCCAUCAGAGUUAUUCUUGCACUUGUGGCUGUGCAAGAUAUGCAUCUUGAGCAGAUGGAUGUAAAAACAACAUUUCUGCAUGGUGAGUUACAAAAAGAAAUUGUAAUGCAGCAGCCUGAAGGAUAUGUAGCAUCUGGAAAAGAAGACUAUGUUUGCUUACUUAAGAAGUCUCUGUAUGGGUUGAAGCAGUCACAUAGGCAAUGGUAUCUGAGUUUCAGAUAUUUUUGACAUGUCGGUUUAUAACCUUGAUUGUGCAUGCCCUGUCGGUUGCGUGAUGAAACAGGAGAAUAUUGACAUCUGUGUAUUAUCGUUUACUUCCUGCAAUUAAAUCACAUGUUGUUCAUUCCAUUUACACUAUACGGCACAUUUGGCAGUUGUUUUGGUCACUUAUUGAAGCACGGGUUAAGUACUUGAUUCAAGGUUGUUAACUGACCUUUACAAGGCGGGAAAAUUCUGGGUUUGUUAUAACAAACCCCGGAAUGCAGCUAGUGAGUGGGGACUUUUCUAGACUCUUCAUGAUAUGUAUAUAUAGUCUUAGAGGCUAUAGUUGAGACAUAUGAAAAGCUUCUUAAUGUUUGUAGUUUGAUCUCGGUGAUGGAGAUAAGAUUGCUGCCCUGUUCUUCAGUGGAUAUAGGCUAUCUCCAAGCCGAACCACUUAAAUUGUGCCUCUGUUUUGCUUGAUGACUACCAGUGGUGAGAAAACACCUACAGAACAAAUCAAGCUUGAUGACUCAAAUAUUAGGGAAGCCAUAGUCAAGGUAUCUGGUUUAUGCAUCAACAGUGGUUCGUGGACUAGAAUUCCUAUCUAUUGUCGCUUCACAAUUGCACUGGAAGAAAGCGAAUUUGAUCGAGCUUUGGAUCGCAUAGCUAAAUUCAAAAGCAUCGUACAAAUAGUUAACUAAAAGACGGUAUUGUCAUUUGUCAUGAUUUAUUUCUAUUGCCUGAUGAUGAUACCCAUCACGCCUUAGUUGUCGUGAAUAAAUCUAAAAUCAAAUUGAACUGGUUUUUACUGGUUAGCAACAAUUGUGACGUUUUGAGAUUAUAAUAUAUGACAACACUGAUUAGUGUUGUCUCCCAUGUGAAUUGAGACAAAAAUUAUUUUCCCAAUUGCGCUUUCAUUUGAACAAUUCCACUGUAGAUUUAUAAAAUAAUGAUCAAAUUGUGUUUUAUAUUAAGUUACGAGUAAUUGGUUAAACAUUAAUACAAAACUAUUUUAAGUAACAUGUGGCAUAUUCUAAUUCUAGCCAAGCUUCCAACUAAGAUUCCCAAAUCAAAAGAAUUUCAAUCUUCAGAACAUUCUGCAAAACGUUUAGUCUCUACGCAGUGCUAGAAUUUUCCCUAAGUUUCUAUUGCAAAGACUUCUAAAGAACUAUUCAGAUAUCGAGCUAUAAUCCAGUCUAAAGUGCAUAUAUCUCUCUAAUUCACCUCCCUCCAUUUCACCAGAAAAUCAAUAAACACUUAGCUUCAAACAAACACUCUCAAAAAGCUAGCUAGCUAUCCAGAUGGAAAAACCAAGAAUUCUUGCAAUGACAAUGUUGUUUCUUGUUAUGGCAGCAACAUUGAUAAACAUGGCAUCACAAGCAAUAGCUCUGAUGCCGUACACACAAUCACCUUUCUUUGACAUGAUGUUCCCAAUGACGGAAGAGCCUUUCAGGGUUCUUGAACAAACCCCUUUAACAAUCGCAAAAGGAGCUGAUCAUCAUCAAACUCUAGCCCUGGCGAGAGCAGACUGGAUGGAGACACCAACAGCCCACGUGAUCACGCUCGACAUUCCAGGGAUGAAGAAAGAUAAUAUGAAGAUUGAAGUUGAAGAGAACAGAGUACUGAGAGUGAGUGGGGAGAGGAAGAGUAAUGAUUAUUAUAAGGAGGGAGUUGAAGGAGAGAAAUGGCACAAAGCUGAGAGGACAUUUGGCAAGUUUUGGAGGCAGUUUAGGAUGCCAAUGAGUGUUGACUUGGAACAUGUUAAGGCUCACAUGAAAAAUGGGAUUCUGAGGGUCACAGUGCCAAAGCUUGCUGAGGAGAAGAAGAGGCAGCCUAAGGUUAUUAACAUUGAUGAAGAGUCUGGUAAUUCUUCCAAUGAAGAUAUUAAGGCUACCAAGGCUCAAAUGUAAUUAAUUAAAGAAAGAAGUGAUUGCUUUGCUUGAUGUGCUAUUUGUUUAUGAUCUUUUUUUGGUUUUGUUCCGAGAUGUUUCUAUUUGGAUGCUCUAUUUAAUGUAUGUUGAUGGGUUUUUGAGGAAGGCUUGUAUGUAUUGACAACCAUAAAAUACUUUUUAUAAAUCCUAGUCCUACAACACUAAAAGAAAACAAUACGUUUGGUUUAUAGUUAAUAAAAAUAUAUUUUUUUAAAAAAUUCUUUUUCUUUGGCAUAUAGUAUGCGUUUUGAGGGGAAAAAAAUUUAUCCCACUCCUAAUUUGUCAUCUGUGAUAUUAAUGUGUUAGCACGAAGAUUCAUUGUAAUUGCAACAAUUUUGAUGAAUCCAAACGUUCAAUAACUGUUAAAUUGUAUUUUAUAAAUACUAAUAGCGAAGGUACAGAAACGAUUAAUCCAAGAAGUUGCUUAAAGUGCAUUAAAUUAGGGAGUAUAAAUAAUUGUGUGAUACAGUCCAGCCUUUAUCUGCUUAUAAUUAGCAACCAAAAACCAUUUGCAACGCCAUUAAAAAAACAUUUUAACAUUAUUGCUGAGGGAAGAGGCAGCUUAGGCUUAUUAACUCGUAUUAUUAAUGCUGAUGACGCAGCUGGUAAUCCUUUUGGUGAAUAUAAUAAGGUAGCUGAAGCUUAUAAUUAUUUAAGCCCACUAAAGCUUAAAACUAAUUCUUCUAGUGACGAUGCUUUGCUUAGUUUGCUUUUUGUUUUUAAUUUUUUUGGGGCUAACAUUUUGCUUAUUUUGCUUUUAAAAUUCUAUUCGCGUUGCUGUGAAAUAUUGUUUGUCCUUCCAUUUUCUGUUUUUGUUGUUAUCGGAUUUGAUGAUGGUUUAUAUGUACGAAGAUUAUGUAAUAAAGUCUUUUUCUUUGGCCUUUAUUAUGCAUUUUAAUACGAAAAAAAAUUAUCCCACUCCAAUUCAUGAAGAUAUUCUCAUUUCUGUCAUAUUGAUGUGUUAAUAUAAAGAUCCAUUGCAGUUGGUGAAUUCAAAUAUUCAGUAACUGAUGAAAUUGUAUUUAUAAAUUCAUAGUAAUAGCAAUUGAAGAUUAUAAUUAAUUUUGUAAUAUGGUCAAGCCCUCGUGUGUUUAAUUAGCACUCAAAAACCACUUUACAAUAGUCAUUAAAAGAACAUUAUAACGUCAUUACUGAUGAGUUCUGGUGAAGAUAUUAAGUUAAGGCCACAAAAAUCGAAAUGUACGUGGCUUCGUUUGUUUUUUGUUUUGAUUUUUUUUGGGGGCAAAUGCUUGGCUUCGUUUUUGAUAUUUUAUUGGCUUUAUUGUGUGGCAUGUUCUUGUUUUCUUUUGAUUUUCUGUUUUUGUUUGUUAUGGGAUUUGAUGACGAUGUACAUGUACGAAGAUUAUGUAAUAAAAUGCUUUUGAUAAAUUGUGGUCGGUUUAGUAUUAAUUAACCAAAUUUAAUUUACUUGAUCAAUUGAUAUUUGUUAGUAUUGUUGUUAUACAAGCACAACAAAAGAAGAACACUAACGUACUAAUUAAUUACUAAUAAGAACAUUAACAAUUUUUGCCGAAGUCUGAUGAAGAGAAAUAUUACACAUACGUAACGGUACCGCGGAAGGAAAAAAUAAAAGAAACUGAAGUUUAUUUCAACAGCUACUCUUUCUUUACCUAAAUCCUGCACCUCUCAUACUACCAACAAGAUCGAAAACCUUAUCGAAUACUCCUACAUCCCAGACUCUGCCCAAAUCAGUGAAUCCACAUACCUCCAAUACAGUACCCCGUUGCUAAAAUAAAGCGAGCGUCUUACUCUACCUAACAUUUUUCUUUUUAUUAAUUUAAAACAGUUUUCAACUGAGAUUGGAAUUUUAAAAUUACGUACACAAACAUACCUGAUUUUAAAGAAAAAAAAUUCUAAUAAUAAAAUAUUUUACAUAUGUAACCAUACGGCGGAAGAACAAAUAUAAGAAACUGAAGUUUCAACAGCUGAGAAUGAGAUAAGCAUAAGAAAUUAAUUCAUUAAUUAAUUAAUAGAGUCCUCCUCCUUUGCUAAAUAAUGCGAGCCCAUUGUUCUUUUUAUUUCGAAAACCCAUUAAUCACCAACACAUAAUAUACGCCCAAUUUAAAAAAAAGAAACUAAUAAUAAAAUAUUUCAGUCCCUCUGUUGAGUCGUCCUCUGUGGAGUCGUCAUCAAAAACCCAUUUACUAGCUAUUUCAACAUAAGGUAAAUGGGUUAACAAGGCCCAAUAUUGUCCUCCAUCCUCUCUGCACUUCUCUUCUAUCAACGGACAAUCAUAGAUACUUAAUUUCAAAAGUGAGGAAGGCAGGCCCUUCUCCGGAAAGUAUUUGAGCUUGGGACAAUUCUUGAGAUACAAUGAAGUGAGGUUUUGAAGAUCAACAAUUGAAGAAGAUAGGCGUUCCAAAUUUGGAAAAUUGUAAAUCUCCAGAGACGUUAGAGAGGCAAGAAGAGGAAGCGCAGCCCCUAAUCUUUUGUCCUCUAGUGGAAUUGACACCAUGUCGUCAUCGCAUUCGCUGAUUUUAAAAUGUCGCAGAGAGGAGAAUCUGUGAAAUCCCCGGCCCCGCUCAAUCAUUGACUUCCAAAUCUCCAUAUUACCCCUGAUAUCAAGUGAAUGAAGGUUGGUGGGAAGGCCAUCUUCUUCAAGGCUUGGAAGCUCAACUCCUCUUCCUAUUGUUAAUUCUUGAAGAGAGGUCAGAUUGUGCAAUCCCUUGGGUAAGGCCUCUAGUCCCUUGCACCAACUGAUAUUGAACUUUAUUAGUUUCGCACAAGGCAAUCCCCCUUCGGGAAAGGACACCAGAUUUUUACAUUCCCAUAUUUCGAUCUCUUGAAGCUGGCGGAGAUUAUGUAAACCACUCGGUAAAAUCUUUAGAUUUUUACAAAAAUCAAUUCUGAUUAUUUCAAGCGAUGUGUUGUUGUCCAACCUUUCUGCUAUUGACUCCAGCUUUGAACAACUAAGAACUUCAAGGGACUUAAGAGACGGAGGUAGAUUGCCAACUUCAAGGGACUCAAGCGUGGCAGGUAACUCGUUUUUUGAAAAUAUACAUGUCAGAGAUGGACAUUCGCUAAUAUGCAAGCCCUCGAGAAGAGAUGAGGUGUACCUUCUGCUGCUGCUGCUGCUGCUACUCUGGAUGCCCUCUUCCACUGUCAAAGUCCUUAGAUUAUCACAAUUAUGGAUGUACAACAUCUUAAGGCUCGGUGGUAGCUGGACUCCAGCAAUAUAUGUCAACGAACGGCAACUCAAAAUCUCCAAGAUCUCGAGAGAUGAAUUGGUGUCGCACAUCCAUGCCUCUGGUAACAAUUUCAGUGCAUCACAAGAACUAAUAUGAAUUGUCUUCAACUUGGAAGGCAGAGCAACCUCAGGAAAGGAAACAAGGGAACUGCAUUGGUAGAUUUCUAUCUCUCUCAAGGAGCUAAGGCUGAGCGAUGAUUGUGGCAGCUUCACAAGGUCUUGGCAAUCUCUCAAUUCUAUAUAUUCGAGUCUGCAUGACAACUCGCAGAGCUGCUGUUGUUGGUCUUUCUCUUCCUCCGCCACCAAGGAUUGAAGUUUGGGACAGCUGCCAAUCGUCAAUCUUUUGAGAGAGCAAAUGUCUUGUAGUAAUCCAUCAUGACUCUUCCAUAUAUAUGUUUGCUCUUUUGUCGACAAAAUUAAUUCUUCCAAUUUCUGUAGUUGUGGUUUCAAUGGCCCCACAAGAAACACUUGAUUUGAUGCAUCUCUACAAACCACUGAAUUCUGUGAUCCGAGAUGACCAGUUGCACUUUCCCACACAACCUUUUUGCAUCCACCAAUUUCCAAUUUGCAAAGAGCUGGAAGACUCGAAACUGAAACUAACAAUUCUUCACAUCCUUCAAUAACAAGCAUCUCCAAUGCAGGAAGGUGCUCUGGAAAUGUUCCUUUCAGUUUAGAACAUUUUAAAAUGUGAAGUUCUCUCAAUUUAGGAAACCCUUCAACUCCUUGACUGGAUCCAUGAGGAAUCCAAUCUUCCCAUUCUUGCAUGUUUUCAAAAAGAAGAGUCUUCAAGCAUGGAAAUGGAAUUGGAGAAACAUUCCCAUAGAACUCUGAACCCAACCUCUUUACUCUGCUCAUUCCACAUACUACAAGAUGCUUUAAAGAGGGUAGUUGCCCGACUGACGGCAGGGCAGUACACAUGUCACAAUUUUUAAAUUUUAGGGUCACCAAAUUUGAGAAUGAGGAAUCUCCCAACCAAGUUGGAAAUUUCAUACCUCCAUAGCCUUUGAUACAAAAUUGCUCCAGAUUUGUAUGAGGUUUCAGCAUGUCAAGCAUGCCCAUUUCAGUUUCUGCCUCCCUUGAAGAAGAACCAUCGGUACUGCAAGUCCAUUUAAGCGAUAAUUCUUUCAGAUUCUUCUUUCCAUCCAUUUGAGCUACCAUGGCAUCACCAACGCAUUUUGCAUUCUCCAAUUUUGAAAUGUUAAGUGUCCCAUGAAGGUGCGUCAACAACUUUAGCUCUCGUAACCCGGAACCACUGCCUUUUCCCACAACAAAAUUACACAACGUCUGAAGACUAGUCAACCUACCAAUUCCUAGUGGCAUUUCCUCCAACGACUUCGUAUUUGAAUUCUUAAGAUGAUGCAAUUUGGCGAGGUUUCCCAUGUCUGCACACAACUUCUUCAGCCGAUCACAAUCUUCCAACAAAAGGCUAUGCAAAUUGUAAAGCUUGUUGACUGAGUCAGGCAGAGUUCUAAUCUCAGUUCCAGACAGGUUAAGGUACCUUAAAUACCUCAAAUCACCAACUGAAUCCGGUAGCUCGAAGAUGUGGUAUCCACGCAGAGAGAACGCCCUCAAGCGUUGGGGUUUGAGCAACUUAGGAAGAAUGCUAGGAGCCAAGUAGCCAGGCCCACUAUUUGUCAACAUUACUGGUAAAAAAGUUCUCAAAUGUUGGAUAUCAUACAAGUCCCCGAACCUUUGAACGCCAUCAUAAUCUCCACGAAUGUAUGAUAGGUGACGAAGAUUUCUGGAAAAACAUUGUUGCUUGUUAACCUCCGAGGUAUACUCCAGUGUGAAGUAUGUCUCCCCUGCAGCCCAACGGGCAAGGUCGUUGAUAAGAUCGUGCAUAACAAAUAGUGAUGCAUCGGUGGCCGAUUGCUGCAAAAAAGAUCUUGAACGUAGCUCCUUAAAGAAAUCACGACCUAAAUCUUCACUAGGAUUCUCAUCUUCUUUGUGAUCCAAAAAACCGGAGGCACACCAUAAUAAAAUUAUCUCCUCCUCUUCAAAUUCAUAAUCCUUUGGAAACAAUGAGCAGUAUGCAAAGCAUUGUUUCAAAGUUGGAGGAAGAUAAUAAUAGCUCACUGCAAGGGCUGGUAUAAUGCCACACCUCUUUUCUGAUAAUUCCCAUAUCUUGCUACAGAGCACACGUUCCCACUCACGUCUGUCAUGUUUUCCACGUAAAAGUCCUCCAAGUGUUUGUGCUGCCAAGGGCAAGCCAUCGCAUUUGGUCACUAUCUUCUUGCCGAUUUCCUCCAAUAACUUAUGUGACCCCAAAGAAUGUUGAGCGAAUACAGCCAGACAAUCAUUAUCUGACAACUUUUUUAAUUGAUAAGAUGGAACAGUACCCAUGAUUUCUGCAACCUCUUGAUUGCGAGUAGUGACAAUAAUUUUACUUCCUGGUGCACCAACUUCAAAUGGACGUCUGAGUUGAACCCAAUCAUCGUAAUUCCGGUUCCACACGUCAUCCAAAACAAGCAAAAAUUUCUUUCCAGACAGUUGCUUACUCAGUUCCUUUUGAAGUGAAUUCAAGCUGGGAUCACCCACGUUCUGGCUAGCAACAAUGGAUGUUAAGAUUGUUUUUGUUAGCCUCUUAACGUCGAAAUCAUCAGAGACACAAGUCCAUGCCUUGAGAUCAAAAUGAUCCUGCACUUGCUUAUCAUUGUAGACAAGCUGAGCAAGAGUGGUUUUGCCCAGCCCGCCCAUACCUAUAAUAGGAAUAACAGAGAAUCCACCAUCGUUGCUUAAAUCAUCCCUCAACAGCAGUUCAACAACAUCCUUCUUUUCUGUUUCCCUGCCAUAUACUUUGGCUUCAUCCACCAAAGAGGUUGUCUCUGGCCUUUGACUGGCUUUUUUGGAUCCCCCAGCUGAACUUUCUUUCAAAUCUAGCAAGUUUUUCUUUGUCACAAUUUCUUGAAAUCUGCUGUCGAUCUCUUUGAUUUUGGACAUCAAGUCAUAAUCGAACUGAGUCGAUUGUGGAGUAAAAAUGGUGAAGCAAGUAUGAAUGAACUUCCGAAGCUUACUUGGUCUCGUAUGACUGCUACUGGGUUGAUCAUGAGCAGCAGCUGGUUCUCCAUUUCCAAGCGGCAACCUCCUCCGGAAAGCCUCGGUUUGAAACUCAUCCAACAAGUCUUCAACAUCAUAAGCCAAGUUCUGAAGCUCGCCAAGCCACAAAUUCACAGACGGAGCCGUCCUCCUCUUCUCCUCAGCAUCAUCAAGCACUGCCUUGAUCAUCUCCAACAUAUUCGCCCACCUCAUCAGAUCGGCCUCGAUCUCCUUUUGGCGUGCAAAAAACAGAACCCCCUCUGAAGCUAACUUAUUGACCAGCAAAUCAACGGACGCCGUAAGGAUUGCCUCUCCGAUCAUUGACAUUUUUUUUUCCUUUUUUGGGGCAAAGGAAGAAAGGAGCAGAAUUAUGCGUUAUGGAAAGCAGAAUGAGAAAUUUGAACGGGUGAGAAAAUGGAUAAUUAAGCAGAAUGAGUUUGUGAUUGUGAAGGGUCUGGCCCAACAAGCUUAGUAGAAAUCACGCGUUUAUACUUUAUUGACCAAUGACUAAUAAUUUGCCAAUUCACUCAUCACCACCACUUGGUGAGCAAAAUGAAAAUGCUUAGUAAUUAAACGUGGCAAGUCUCCCCACUUGUUGUUCCUUGCAGCUAAGAAAAGAAAAAACAGAGCCGUAAUUAAUGACAGAAUUUUAAAAAUAAUAAUAAGAGAAAAACCUACACAUUUUCGACUUAGAGUGGAACCGUAAUUAAUGCUAAAAUUUACUCAGCUAAAAUUUUCAAAAUAUUGUUCUUUAUAAUUUUCAAAACCGUAAUUAAGGUUCAUCUCAAAUGUUUGAAGAGACUCUAUCAAUUCUUCUGCGCUAAGAAUAUUAAAAUUCUUAUUUUUUCUUCAAACGUUGAAUAAUGAAAAAAAAUGUUAAAUAUGGAGAAAAAUAGAAUGCAUCCAUCUUUGCUGUAGAAGUCUUCUACUUAUAAAAGCAAGUUAGAAUAAACGAUUUUAAUCUCUCUUUUUAUUCCUGUAAGUGCACUACAUUUUUUUUGUUUUAAUCUCAAUGUGAAGUCGUAUCAUAAUGUUAUGUUAAUGUUAUAUUCUUGUUGGAAAAUGAAAUUUUAGAUAAAACAAAUUCGACUCAUUUGUUGAAGGUAUAUAUUUAGUAGGUUGCUAACAUAAAGUAAAUGAACUAAAAGACAAUACUACCAGCGAUAAUUUAGCAAGUUUCGCAUGCUCGUCUUUCUUGAAAUAUUAUAUGGGAAUGGGAUCAAACAACAGUGAUACAAAGAGAAAAAUGGUAAUCCUCUGAUUGUAUUUUUUUUUUCUUUUUCAAAAGAGAUGGUGGGGUUGGGUUGUUUGCAAAGUUAUUAGUGUGGGUCUAUUUAAAAUGUUAAGAAAUUUUAUGUCCUUUUUUCAAAGUGAAUUUCCAUUUUUCAUUUCUCAUUAAGUAAAACCCACAGCAAAAUUAAAAAGAAAAAACAGAGCCCACUAUAAAUAUAAAAUCGAAGGAGCUCAUAAUUAUACCUUUGCUUUACAUACUAAAUUAAAUAAAAGCCGAACCAAGAAUCUUGCCUUUACUUAACAUGAUUAAUUAGACACUACUUCAGAGAGAAUACGAAAGCAAAGAACCCUUUUGUUAAUCUUAAAUGUUAGGAAAAUAAUUAGCUUGGAAUAAAGCUGCGUUAUUCUCCUCUUACCGUCUCUUCAGGUUCAUUUCAAAAGUUUGAAGAGAUUUUAUCAAUUCUUCUUAUAAAGGCAAGCUAAAUUAAAAGAUUUUAAUCUCUCUUCUUAUUACUAUAAGUGCACUGCUUUUUUUUUAUAAUCAACAAUGUCAAUUUGUAGUGUAAUAUUAUAUUCAUAUUCCUGUUGCGUCGAAAUAAGGUAAAAUGAAAUUUUAAAUCACACAAAUUCGACUCGUUUGUUAAAGGUAUAUAUUUAAUAAGCUAAUAACAUAAUUAACAUAACGCUAUUAUUACACUAAAUGAAAUAAAAGACGGUACCCUCCACCAAUAAUUACAUUAGCAAGCUUCGCAUGCUCGUGUUUCAGGACCUAGACAUUGGCGAAUUAAUCUAGGAUAACGAAACAAUUUCAAAAAGCAAAAUGGAUACUAUACAUUUUCUUUUUUUAAUUGUACAGAAAACGGGACUAAUUUUCAAAUAUUUUUAAAUUCACUUAUUUACAAAAGCUAUACAAAAUGAUUUCCUUUUUAUUUUUGAUGAGCAUAAUUUACAUACAUAUUUUACUAUUUAUUAUAUAAUUACUAGUUAUUUUUAUUUGUUAUUUUAAUUAAUUGAAUUAUUUUAUUUCAUAGGAAAUUAAUUGGAGAUUAUGGAUGAAAAGUGCGUAAAGAAUAACAAUUUGACAGCAUUGAAGAUCAAAUCAAUUUGCGGAAGGAAUUAAGCAAAUGUGCAAGAAAUUCUAUUCGAAGAAACCGAAGCCAAUAAAUUGAAUAUCCAUACUCGUGCAAACAAAGAAGAAGUUUAAAACUAAAGUGGGCAGCACAUUAAAAAAAGCUUUUAAUUAAGUCUUUGAAUGGAAAGUCAAAAUAGAAUAAAGGAAGGAAAUCAAUAGCUUUUGGCUUUUAUUGUUUUCAAUUACGUGGCAGGCUUAGAGCUUUAGCUUGUAAGAGUUGGUUUGGUUAUUAUCACAAUAGGAUUUGGUGGCCAAGCAAUAUAAAAGGGAGUUUUGCUUUUGAAUUAAAGGCUGGACGGAAACAAAAGGGAGGAGAAUUCGGCUUUGAACAGAGAGCAGCGGCAACGGCAAUAUUUCGGCUUCCAUGGCUGAAUUUAUUUCUUUUGUUGCUCACAAUUUAAGUAUGUCUAGCUAAUUUUCUUAUACUGAGGUUAAGGAUGAAACCCUAUUCAAUGAAAUAAUUAUCUUUUUAUUUAUUUAAUUCCCUAUAUAUGUGCUUUAAUGUUUAUGGUUUUUAUUUCACAUGAUUAAUUGGACGUUAUUAAAAUCUUUUCAUCAAUUCUGUCAUGCAUUAUUAAUUGUUAGGAUUAAUAUUCAAUUAAUUCUAUACUUGGAUCUAUAAAGUUUAUACAUGAUUAUCUUUGAUUUUAUGUCUUUCAUUAAAUUAUUUACAUAGAGUGCUUAGGAAAACUUUGACUCUUUGUUAUUUAAUAUGUUUACAUGAGAUGCUUACAUGUCAUACUAUUAAGUAGAAAAAGAACCUACAUUACAUUUAAUUUUAAUUGGGCUUAAUUGUUAUAUUUAUGAGAUGACAUAGAUUGAUUUUGAGUUGUCACUCUAAAAUUAGGGAUUCAUUAAUAUUUGGAUAAUUACAAAUUAAAUAGUGGUGGAUUCCGAAACCUUGAUAAUUUUUAUUUUAUUGAUUUCUCAUUUGCUUUAAUUGUUUUCUUAGUUUAAUAAGUUUAAUUUCUUUUAAAAAUUCAAAUUACUCAACUAAGUUAGGAUUAAUAUUAAUUUUAGAUUUAAAUUAGACUUUUCAAUUUAUAACAAUCCAUGUGGGAUUGACCUCGUUACUACUAUUCUAUUUCUAGAUUCAUGCGCUUGUAAGUAUAUUAAAACUUUCACAACAAUUUUGAAAGGAAUCAAAUAACAGUGAUACAAAGAGCGCAAAGUUGCAAUUCUCUUAUUAUAUUUUUUCUCUUUUUUAAAAGGAGAUAGUGGGGUUUGGUUGGUUGCUAAAUUAUUGGUGUGAGGGUCUAUUUGUUUUUGUUUUCACUUUAUUAAUUAUACCAAGCAAACAUGUAAUCAUUUGUAAAGGGGUCACUAGCAUUGGAUUAUGUAAGAUGAAUUCAUAAGACUUAUUAAUUUCGAUGAAAAUGUAGCGUUAUUAAGUUGUCAAUUCAUUAACUUGAGGUACUAAUAUUUACUAAUUGUGGUGAUUAAUUUAUUUAACUUGUCAUAAUUUUCAAUUGAGAAUGAAGUUCAAUCAAUGUAUGAAAAAAAUAAUUUUUUUAGAUUUUUAAUUCCUAUGAUUUAAUUUCCCCCUGUUUCGAUUAUUGACGUGUUAAAAGCUUGUAGAAUAUCAUGAAAUGCUUGUAUCUCACCUCGCAAAUUGACAAAUAUUGGUUGGUUUCUCCAAAGGCUACCAUAAUGAAUUGAAAGUAAAAACAACAACCAUUGAAAAUUAAUUUUAAAAUCAUUUUUACUUGAAAUUUUUUAAAAGAAAAAUUAAGCAAAUUAGAUUACAGAUAUCAAUCUUAAUAUUUUGUUGAUGAAAAUUAAUUAAUUUAUCUCAGUACUUUCUUAAUUUUGUGUUGUGCACCGCAUUGGUCACUUCUGAUUGUGUUGCAUAUUUGUUAAUUCAAAGAAAUAGAACUUCUUUAUCGAUCAAACUUAUUUUAUUAGUAUUCUUCAUCAUAUGGUUAAUGGCUUAGCCAAUGAAGGAGAAGGGGUCAGCCAAAACAAAUAAAGUACUUUCUCAUGCAUUAACCUUUAUUAAAAAGCUUUAUUAACUGUUGUAGUUAAAAUAAUUUUAAAACAAGUUAAAACAGUUCCAACUCAAAAUCAGUAGGCUGCAAUUGGGUUGUUACACAUAUUUCUAAAUUUCAGUCUAAUUUAAUUGUGUAUGGACAAACUAACUUUAUCACUUCUUUCAUAUUAAUACUCAUAAAUUUCAACCUUUUUUUAUGAUGAUGGACAAUCUAACUUAACAAAAAUAAUGUUCAAAUUAUCACAAAAUGUUCUUUUCUUAAAAAAGAAAAGAAAAUCAUAUAUAGUAGUUAAUUUUUCUUCUUCUGUACUCCAAGAUCCAACUCCGUACUCCACUUGUUCGUUGUUAUUAUACCCAGCCAUUAGAUUUUAAUUACGUUGAUUUAACGGUUUGGAUUCGUAAAUGAAUAACGACGUAAAGUUUGGCUACCAUCUGAACCCACCGCAUCUAAUUGGUUUUGUGAUUUUUUGCUUUCUUCACUGCAACGCUUGACUAGUUCUGGAAAUAUCGACCGCCAUCAACGGCAAAUCUGAACCAUGUAUUAUUUGCGAAUACAUUCAUUAAACUAUUAAACAUUCAGAGAAGAAAGCAAACCGUGGCAGUAUAACAAAAACUGCGAAUGGUCAUUCCCAACACGAACCCCUAUGGUUGUUUUCCUUUUAAUUUUCUUCUUUGAAUUCUCCUUUUAUUAAUCAUUAGAAAAACUCCAUUUUUUUUGUUUUAAAUCAUGUGUUAUUAACAUUUACAUGGUUAAUGUCAUCGAAAUCGAAUGGUUGUUAUCUACGAAAAGAGAAUUGCUAGAAAUUUUGUUAGUCCCAUUGCAACAAUAUAUUGUUAUAAAUUGCAUUGUUUUCCAUAUAACAAAUAUAAUAAAAUCUCAAUAAAUUAAUAGUUUUUGGGACCAUAAAAAAAUUAUUAAAAUUAAACAAAUAUCAAUUAAUCAGUAAAUUAAUAAAUUAUUAAUUUAUGAAAAUAUUCAUUAUUUUGGAAAAACAUGAUCACGCUUUUAAUAUUGAUUUACCUUGAGUUAGUAUCUAUUAGGUUUUAUUUGUCUAUUAGUUUUCUCUUGGGAAGAUUUUUUAAGAGUUAGCUGCUUUAUAUUAACAGUAAUAAAAUUAUUAUUUAACGGUUUUGUUUUUCCAUGCUAAAGACCGAUUAGUCGUCUUCUUCUCCUCAGCAUCAUCAAAACCAGGGUUUUUAACUCCUAAAACGUUUCUUUUUAGAAAUAUAUUACUUUAUUCAUCUAAUAUGUUAUCUAACAAAUAGACACAGAUGAAAUCACUCUAAAGUGAAGAUGAAAGGGGAAAAAAAACAUUCCAACCACCAAUAAUUUAGCAAGCUUCACUUUUAUUCCACCAAAGUGUAAAUAGUGCCAGCCCCCACCACCAUCAAUAAUUUAGCAAGCUUCACACGCUUGUUGUCUUCUCCUUGACGAACUGGACGUGGGUGGACCAAGAAUCAAUGAAAGAAUUUUAAAAAUAAUAAUAAAAGAAAAACAUAAACAUUUUGGACUCGGAGUAGAACCGUAAUUAAUGCUAAAAUUUACUCCGCUAACGUUUUCAAAAUAUUGUUCUUUAUAAUUGUACAGCAAAUAAGACUAAGUUUUGGACAUUUUCAUAUUCACUUACUUUCAAAAGCAGUAUUUCGAAACAUUUUACAGAAUCAAGUAACAGUUAUAUAACGAGAAAAGUGCAAAGUUGUGUAAUUCUAAUGUUUUUUUUUUUUUAUCACAGACACUCAGAUAAUUUUUUAUUUGGGUCGCCAACUCGCCAAUUAACCCAUGAUUGAAUGAGUGUUUAGAAAGAAAAUCAAUAAAAAACAGUUUUUUUUUUGGUCGUCGAAAUAUAGUAAGUGAGAAAGAUUAUUCUGUUUUUUUUGUUAAUUAGGUUAGUAAUUAUGAUUGAGUGACUCAGAACUAUAUUCUAGAUUGAGAAUCAACGGUUCUCCCACACUGAGAGGCUGUAAGUUUAAGAUUGUCGUUUGCUAUUUCAUCGACAAGAGAACACUUGAAUUUAUUAAAAGGAGAAGGCCAUAAAGAUUUUCCUUUAUGAGAAAUGUAUCUGAUCAUUCCUUUUUACUUGAAAAUUUCAUAUAUAAAAACUCAUUAAUAAAUGACAGAAUAUACAUAAAUUAUUAAUUCAUUUGAUAGUUGAUUAUCGAAGGACAUGUGACCCAUGGAAGCAUGCAGUCUAUAAAAUAAUUCUUUUUUUUUUUUAACAAAAAAUUGGUGAUGUUGAAAAGCAAAAUUAUUAUUUCUCUAAUUAGGGUGAACAUUCAUAAAAAGAAUGCCGUAUGAAACUAAAUUAUUAAUUCGUUUGACAUGUGACCCACAAUAAAUAGUUAAAUUUGGCGGCAACAAUAAUUACAAGACGAACUUAAAGCAGCGCAUAGGUUUUUCUUAAAAAUACAUAAACAAUUCGAUAUUUUUUAUUUGACAGUUUUUAAGAAAUGUCAAACAUAUAUGACAUUUUGUGAAAAACUGAGUAAUUGUGAAAUAUAAAUGAUAAUUUAUUUAAACGUCAAAUAAUUGUGACGUUUUAUCAAAUAAGUGAUAAAUAUCUUACAUAUUUAUUGAAUAAUUAUCAUUUACCUUUUCCUUUUAUUGACUCGAGCAAAAAAAACAAAAAAACUGACUAUACUGCUUUUAUUUUCGUUCUUAGAACAGAUUUUAGUUUCUUUUGAGAAAAUUCAAACUCAUUCCCAUUACUUUCUUUUCAAUAAUCACCUCUCAGUUUUUCAUCAAUCACUCAAUUCCGAAUUUCAUCUCCAUUCUCUUUUGAAGAAGAACGCACGAAGAAUUUUAGCUUGCUUUUGCUGCUUCUCGAAUAUUGGGUAUUGUUUCCUUUAAUUUAGAUAAUUGUUUUUUAUAUCUCUCUUUCUAGUUUGAUAAUUUAUGGUUAUACUUGAAUUAAUUGUAUUUUUAAUCAACCAAGGUUGAUUUAAUUGAUUCCAAGUCUCAAUUUCCUGUUCAACAAUUUUCAUACUCAAUUUUGAAAGAAUCAAUGUAUUUUAUCUUUGGUUAGUACACUUCUGUUCAAUUUUUGUUUAUUUAACUUAAGAUAUCUUUUUCUUUCUUUUCUUCAAGCAAAUUAUAGAUUAUAUUGAGAACAGAGUUUUCUCCUUAAUUCCGCCAAGAGCAACGUUGAUUUCAGGUGAUAAUUGAAUGUGUAAUAUUUUCAAUUGAAAUUAAUUGAGUCUCGUGAUAAUAAUAGGGAUUUGAGAUUUACAUCCUGUUGAAAUGAUUUUAGAGUGUUCUGUUAUUUGAAUGCGCAUUAAUUGUUUGAUUAAAUGUCUCUUUAAAAGAUUAUUUUUGUUUUUAGCAAACAUCUUAAUGCACUUUACAAAUUGAAUCCAACAAGGGAAAAUUAUAGAACUGCAGCAGUUUUCAAAUUGAUUGCAUAUUAGAAGUAAUGUUAAUUUAUGCUGCAACAGUUCAAUGGGCUGGGCACAAGUUUAGGACUUCAGUUGCUCAAUUAAUGAAUCCACCACUCAUCAGACUUGGAACUUAUAUCUAUUGAAUCAAUAAAAAUAGUUGAUGGAAUCAAUGCCGAAAGCUUCAUUUGAUAUUUAUUUAUAACAUCUGUUAGAUUCUGGACAAUCACAAAGAUAUAGUAGCAGAAACUAUGUUAGAGACACUAUAGUUGCUUAAUUAGUGAAAUUGUGCUCUCAUUGCCCCCUUUUUUUGGUUGAUUCUAUAAUUUUAUUAGUUGUUCUUGUGGUUGUAAACAAUAUCAAUUUCUAAUAUUAAUAAAACUGAAUGAAUAAAAUGCGAUGCAUUUGCAGGAAAGUUAAUAGUUUAAAUAUGGAUAAAUCUUGGAUGUUGAUGGAUAGAAGGUCUAUAGAAUAUGAGAACAUGGUAAAUGAGUUUCUCAAGUUUGCAGUACUUCAUGCUAGUCAUCUUGAGCUUUUGAGAUGUCCAUGCCAAGCAUGUCUUAGUUUAUAGGCUCAAACAAUUAACAGUAUAGAAAAUGCAUGAUAGAACACAGAACUCAUAUUUUAGCAACAAUCCUCAGCUCACUGGCCCUUAGUUCAGAAUGACAAUUCUUAUUAGCCAAAGGUUCAAAAUGAUUUUUAGUUGUUUAUAAGUAGAGAACUAGAUCAACAAAUAAUUGAAGACCUGCAGCUUGGCUAUUGAACUAUACGAUGAUGCCAAUUCGAAGACUACAACUUGGCUCUGCCAUUCGAAGUAAGCAACGCAGCUGCCCAAAGUCUGCCAAACCAAGAAAAAUAAAGACUUCUCCUUAGCAAUUAAGUUAAUAUAAGGAAUGUUGCAUGUCCACAAAACUAGGUAGACGCAACUGGGACUUCAAUAUAUAUAUAGAUAUAUAUAUAUAUAUAUAAGCAUUUCCUAGAUCAAUAUUAUUCUCAGUAACUGAAUAUUGAAGCUGACCAUCACAUUUAAUAAUAAAUCAAUAUCAGGAAUGUUGUUGAGGAGUAUUUUGAUAUUUACAAAAGUGUUCAAAGUAAAAAUUGAUUUCUUAAAACCCAUUAGCUAGCGCACAUAAUAAUGGGGAGAAAAUUUUAGACUACGAAUAGUCCCACCCAUUUAAUAAUAUUCUUCAAUCAAUUAUGUUUACUUCAAAAAAAAAAAACCAUCUCUUUAUUACUUUCUAACUAUUCAUAUUAAUGUGUUCAUAAUUAUGAAGAACCGGUGUAAUUUAUAUGAUGUAGGAAGCACAUUAGUCAAAAUCAUCAGAAUCUCAAAAUUUCGUGAUGUUGUGCCAAAUAUGCAAACCAAAGCUUCCUACAUUCUUUGUACGUUUGUGUUAGUUACAAGCAAUCACAGUGGUAAACGAAAAAAAACGAAUUAAAACACAUGAGGAGAUUUAAAUGAAAAUGUCUUAAUCAUAUAUCGCAUGUAAGACCUUUUGUACUCAAAACUGAUCAGCACCCAUUCUGCCCGCCGUGUGAUCACAUCUUGAAGGGAGUGUUGCUUCAGCAUUUUUAUCAUUUUUACUAUUUCUAGGAUCCAUUUUGUCACCUCCCUCCCUCCCCCCGGUUUCUAAAAUAAUUAUAUAAUAACCAUAUAAUUAUUGGUUGUUCUAGCAAAUAAAAAAAAUAUAUAUAUAUAUAUAUAUAUUAAUCUUUUAAUAACAUUAUCACUUUGUCAAAAUAAAAAAUCUCCUCAUUAAAUAAUUAUAUUAUAUAUAUUCAUUUAUUUAUCCAAAUAAAAAAGUAUGAAGUCAAAUAGUACACAAUAAUUUAACUAAUUUGAAUUGGUUUAUUUUUAAUGAAACAAAUAACAUUCCUAAAUGCUUCUCUUGAUCCUUAAUUUAUUGAUAAUUUUGUCAAUUUAAGGUCGGCUAUAUAUUGAUUAAAUUACAAGCUUAGACUAUCGAAAGCUGGUUACAGUUAUGGAGGCAGGAAAAAUUUUAUUGUACCAGAAAUUUUUUCUACAACAGUCCAUGCAAAGUAAACAUUUGUAAGGAAAUUGGAGAAUAAUUACAAAGCCAACUAAAUUUUAUGAGAAUCAAUUUGGAGUUUUUGUUAAUCGCCAUUUUGCGUUCAUACAAAGCAAGUGUAGAUACCGGCACAAUAAGCUAAAUGCAAAAUCCAAUGUAGGACAGUGGGGUUGGGACAACGAAAUGGGGAAAUGGGAAUCUAGGUAAUUGCACUGAACCUUAAACUGAGAGUACGGGCACUUAAAAUUUUUAAAGUGUCUAAUAAGUUUCAGCUAAAAAGGAAAUAGGCUGUAAAAUUGCUAAAUUCAUUUUGAUUUCUAAAUUCAUAAAUAACCUUAAAAGUUCUCUGAUACAACUUGUCAAUAAUGGUGAAAAUUCAAUUUCAGAAUGACAAUUCUUAUUAGUGAAAGAAUCAAAAUGAUUUUUAGUUGUUUAUAAAUAGAUCACUAGAUCAACAAAUAAUUGAAGACUGGCUUGGCUAUUGAACCAUACGCGGCAAUUCGAAGACUGAAACUUAACUCUGCCGUUCGAAGUAAGCAACUCAGGUGCCCAAAGGCUGUCAAGCCAUCAAGACAAUACGAAGAUACAACAUCAAUAAUAAUUACAUAUUACACCUACCCCAAUAAGAAAUUAGUUAAUACAGUCCUAGAAAGAAAUUUACAAACCCAUGCUGUAGGAAUAAUUAAUUAAUUUAUACAGUUCGGUACUCAUUCCUCUUCUGUUUCAAAUCCAUAUCCACUGCUCUGCCAUUUAUUACUACGCAAGGUAUAUGGGUUAGCAAGUGCCGACAUUGUCCUCCAUUCUUUAUGUGCCUUUCUUCUAUCAAGGGACAACCCAAGAUCUCUAAUCGCAAGAAAAAUAUUUCAAAGUAAAAAGUGAUUUCUUAAAAUCUAUUAGCUAGUGCACAUAAUAAAAGGCCAUUCAUGGUAAAUUUUAGAUUACAAGUAGUCCCAAUAAUAUUCUGCAAUCAAUUCCGUUUAUUUUAAAAUAAAAGAAAUCCAUCUCUUUAUUACUUUCUAAUUAGUCAUAUUAAUGUGUUAAUAAUUGUGAAGAACCAGCGUAAUUUAUAUGAUGUAGGAAACCCGUUAGGCAAAAUAACCUGAAUUUUUUAAAGUAGGGGCUAGACAUAUUGGGCAUAACCUCAGUUUCUGUUACUUCUUUGACCCUGCCUAAGCUCUUUUAUGGGCUAAUAUCAAAAUUUCGUGAUAUUGUGCCUAAAGAGCUUCCAAUUCAAGGAGCUCCCCUGUUUUUGACUGAAACAUAUGUAAUCCGAAAAAUUUAUAAUUAGAUAAAUCAUUCAAAAUCUCCCUGAAUCUAACCCACAUUUCUAUGGUUUAAUAACAUAUCACAAAGGUGCCUAAUAUAAUGAAAUUAGCACUAGUUCACGAGAUUGCCAUUAUAUAUUACAAGUCUUUUUAUGAUGUAGAUUAGAAGGGAAAAUACGAAGGACAUAUUAUAUAUUAUAUAUGAUUGAAUUUAAUCCAUGAUAAUUAGACAAAAUAACACUAAUCUAGCUAACUAAUCCACCCAUCAUAAUAAUUUGAUUUUCAUUAUUUUAUUGUGUCCAAUCAUGCUAAUUUAAUAAAAAAAAUACAGAACACUUGAGGAUUUAGAUAUUCAACAACUUUGGCCAAGUUUGAAAAAGAUUAGAGCUUCCUUCAUGCUUUGUGUUCUUAUGUUACACAUGAUCAUAUUAUGUUACAUUUGACAGAAAACUGAAAAUUAUUGAAAAAAAAAAAUCUUAGUUAGCACAUGAUCAAAAUGAGAGAUUAAUGCACACACAUCACAACAAUGUUUCAUUCAUUUUGAAUCUAUAUUUACAAAACUUGUAUCCGAUGGUUUACAUUUGUUUAAUCUAACUGCUAUGACAUGUGUACUGUCAAAACGCUACAGCUGCCAUCUCUGUUUGUCCUUGUUGCAUCCUUGAUCUUAUAUUAUCCUGGAGAUUAUUGAAUGUUCUUCUCAUUCUCAUGUGCUCGAGGGUCCUUUCUUGAGACAUUUCAGCAAACACCUGAUUCAUCCUAUUAAACAUUAGCAUCAUUAAUCAGUAAAUGAUGUAAGGUAGCCCUGUUUCGUGAAGUCAACAUAAAUCAGUCACCUUAGAUUUUCUGAGUCUCAGAGCACAAUGGGUGAUGAUUUGAUGAGAAAUAUUAAUAUGCCUUCAUCCCCUGAAUUAGCUAGAGCUGGUUGUCAUUUUCUUCUUUCUUUUGGUACGGUUUUAGAUUUUUAAUCAAUCAGAUUCAGCUGCAUGUUUGCUUUUAGUCCAAACCAAAAUAAGAUAUUAAGUACUUUUGCCAGAAUAGACGCAACCAAAAUUCUAUGGGAUCUGUAGUUCCUAGUUCAUGCAGAAGCGACCGAAUGCUUCCUGCAACUCAGGCAGAUAGAACCUUGGUUGAUUCGUUUUUCUUCAUCUGAAAUUCUACCUAAUGCCUAUCCUCUUAAUUGGUUUAAAUUCUUCUUUUUUUUCUUUGAAUUGUUGAUUUAUAAUGUCUUGUAUGCAACAUUUAUAAUUUCGGAUGAUGAUAAUCUUGUUUAAGAAGAGAUUUCUAGUUACGGCAGCAGCGUUCUUGAUCAUGGCAUCACAAGCACGUGCUCUGGUUUGCUUAGUUUCCUUUUUGUCUCUGAUAUUUUCUUGGCAUUGUGGGAUAUUGUUUCUCUUUUGAUUUUCUGUUUUUGUUUGCUUAGUUUCCUUUUUAUGUCUGAUAUUUUCUUGGCAUUCUUGUUCUCUCUUAUAAUAAAGUGCUUUUGAUAAAUUCGCCUGGUCGGUUUACUUCACUAACCAUUAAUGAGCAAAUCCUCCCAGUGACUCUCAAACUCUUCUACACAAUUAUAAUAAUUUCAGUUUUACAUAUACAAAAAUGAACAGCUCUCAAACAUAUCAUUUGAUAAUGACAAAAACAAUAAUUCACUCCAAUAAAUCUCAUAAUAAAUACAUGAUCUACAUUGCAAGUCUUUUUAGGACGCAUUCAAAGAGAAAACAUAAGGAAUGGCAAUGCAAGAAUAUGGAAUCAGAAUAACAGUGAUACAAAGAGAAAAAAAAAGGGGAUGGUCGGGUUGGGUUGCUUGCAAAAUUAUUGGUGCGGGGGUCUACUUGUUUUUGUGUCACUUUAUUAAUUAAUUACCGAAGCAAACACGUCAUCAUUUGAAAAAGAAUCACUAGCACCAGCUUAUGAAAAAUAAAUUUGUAAGACAUAUUAAUUUGAAAAUAUUUUGGAAUUUCAGUCUAAGUUGAUUUGUCUAAUUAUGUAUGCACAAACUAGCUUGACCACUUCUUUCAUAUUGAUACCUAUAAAUUGCAACCUUAUUUUACGUUGAUGCACAAUCUAACUUAACAAAAAAAAUAUUCAAAUUGUCACAAAAUAUUUUCUUCUUAAUAUAUAUAUAUAUAUAUAUACAUACACACAGUAGUUAAUUUUCCUUAUUCUUCACUCCAGGAUCCAGCUGCAUACCCCUCUUUUUUGUCGUUAUGUUGCUCAACCGUUAGAUUUUAAUAACGUUAAUCUAACGGUUGAGAUUUGUAAAUGAAUAAUGAAGUGGUGUUUGGCUACUAUCUGAAAAUAUCGGCAGCCAUCGACGGCGAAUCUGAACAAAGGCAACAGGAGGUGAUCGUGGUGAAAUUGUUUUUUGGCAUGCGAAUCUAACGACUUUCAAAUACGUUCAUUCAAAUAUUAAAUGCAAUUCAGGCAAAUAGAAACUUGGUUGAUUGAUUGCUUUUCAUGUGAAAUUCUACCUAAGGGCUAUCCUUUUAAUGGUUUGUACUGUCUUAUAUGCAAAUUAAAUUCGGAAUUCGGGUGAUAAUAAUCUUGAUUUAGAACAGAUUAGGUAACAUGUGGCAUUCUACAUUCUUGCAAUGCCAUUUCUUUUUAUGGCAGCACCAUUUUUUAUCAUUGUUUGUGUGGACCUAUUUGCUGAAUUCAAAACUUGGCGUGUUAAAACGGCAUCGUUUUGUCCAUUAAGAUGUUUCAAGUUGUCCCCGGCUGGACAUAUGACUCACUUAAUGAUACCAAAACGGCGAGGCAUGAAGGUGUUUCGGCUAAGGGCUUAAGUUCUGCAUGUGACAAGCACGUGAGAGAAGAAUCAAGUUAGUUAUAAGUUGUUAUACACGUGGCUGGAUCUGGUGCAAUCUGGGGUAAUGAACAGCCGUUAUAUAAGCUGAGCUUUCAGGCAGUUUCAGCAAGAUGUAAAGAGCUUCUAGAGAGAAUGAAGAGAGAGAAAAUGUAUCAUCUUAUUCCUUGUUAGUUUCUCCGUGUGAGCUCUGUAAAAUACUUUGAUUCAUAAAUAAAACUCAUUUUAGUCGAUUCUCCCUUGGAUGUAUGUUCUGCCUCAUUGCACAGCCGAACCACGUAAACAGUGCUGGUUUCUUUUUUUUUCAUUUGUGUCUAUCACUAAAAAGCAGAGCACUUGCUUGAUUGAAUAAUGUCAUAUUACAUCACAUAAACUCUCUCAAUUAUUGAAAAAGAAAAUCGUAAAAGAGAUGUGUUGAAUUGAUAACUGAAAAAAUCUUAAAAAAUCUUCAAAGUUUUCAAUUAUUGAUAACUGAAAAUUAUUGAAAAAAAAAAUCUUAAAAGAGAUGUGUUGAAUUGUGAAAUUAAAACUGAGUUUCAGACAUUUCUGACAUGUCGGUUUAUAUUCUUGAUUGUGCAUGCCCUGUCGGUUGCUUGAUGAAACAGGAGAAUAUUGACAUCUGUGUAUUAUCGUUUACUUCCUGCAAUUAAAUCACAUGUUGUUCACGUGAUUCCAUUUGCUCUAUGCGGCACAUUUGGCAGUCGUUUAGGUCACUUACUGAAGCACGGGUUAAGUACUUGAUUCAAGGUUGUUAACUGACCUUUACAAGGCGGGAAAAACAAACCCGGAAUGCAGCUAGUGAGUGGGGGACUUUUCUAGACUCUUCAUGAUAUGUAUAUAUAGUCUUAGAGGCUAUAGUUGAGACAUAUGAAAAGCUUGUAACUUCUUCUUAAUGUUUGUAGUUUGAUCUCGGUGAUGGAGAUAAGAUUGCUGCCCUGUUCUCCAGGCCGAACCACUUAAAAUGUGCCUCUGUUUUGCUUGAUGACUACCAGUGGUGAGAAAACAGCUACAGAACAAAUCAAGCUUGAUGACUCAAAUAUUAGGGAAGCCAUAGUCAAGGCAUCUGGUUUAUGCAUCAACAGUGGUUCGUGGACUAGAAUUCUUAGCUAUUGCCGCUUCACAAUUGCACUGGAAGAAAGCGAAUUUGAUCGAGCUUUGGAUCGCAUAGCUAAAUUCAAAAGCAUCGUACAAAUAGUUAACUCAAAAACGGUAUUGUCAUUUGUCAUGAUUUAUUUCUAUUGCCUGAUGAUGAUACCCAUCACGCCUUAGUUGUCGUGAAUAAAUCUAAAAUCAAAUUGAACUGGCUUUUACUGGUUAGCAACAUUUGUGACGUUUUGAGAUUAUAAUAUAUGACAACACUGAUUAGUGUUGUCUCCCAUGUGAAUUGAGACAAAAAUUAUUUUCCCAAUUGCGCUUUCAUUUGAACAAUUCCACUGUAGAUUUAUAAAAUAAUGAUCAAAUUGUGUUUUAUAUUAAGUUACGAGUAAUUGGUUAAAUAUUAAUACAAAACUAUUUUAAGUAACAUGUGGCAUAUUCUAAUUCUAGCCAAGCUUCCAACUAAGAUUCCCAAAUCAAAAGAAUUUCAAUCUUCAGAACAUUCUGCAAAACGUUUAGUUUCUACGCAGUGCUAGAAUUUUCCCUAAGUUUCUAUCGCAAAGACUUCUAAAGAACUAUUCAGAUAUCGAGCUAUAAUCCAGUCUAAAGUGUAUAUAUCCCUCUAAUUCACCUCCCUCCAUUUCACCAGAAAAUCAACAAACACUUAGCUUCAAACAAACACUCUAAAAAAGCUAGCUAGCUAUUCAGAUGGCAAAACCAAGAAUUCUUGCAAUGACAAUGUUGUUUCUUGUUAUGGCAGCAACAUUGAUGAACAUGGCAUCGCAAGCAAACGCUCUGAUGUCGUACACACAAUCACCUUUCAGGGUUCUUGAACAAACCCCUUUAACAAUCGCAAAACGAGCUGAUCAUCAUCAAACUCUAGCCCCGGCGAGAACAGACUAGAUGGAGACACCAACAGCCCACGUGAUCACGCUCGACAUUCCAGGGAUGAAGAAAGAUAAUGUAAAGAUUGAAGUUGAAGAGAACAGAGUACUGAGAGUGAGUGGGGAGAGGAAGAGUAAUGAUUAUUACAAGGAGGGAGUUGAAGGAGAGAAAUGGCACAGAGCUGAGAGGACAUUUGGCAAGUUUUGGAGGCAGUUUAGGAUGCAUAUGAGUGCUGACUUGGAUCAUAUUAAGGCUCACAUGGAAAAUGGGAUUCUGAGGGUCACAGUGCCAACGCUUGCUGAGGAGAAGAAGAGGCAGCCUAAGGUUAUUAACAUUGAUGAAGAGUCUGGUAAUUCUUCCAAUGAAGAUAUUAAGGCUACCAAGGCUCAAAUGUAAUUGAUUAAAGAAAGAAGUGAUUGCUUUGCUUGAUGUGCUAUUUGUUUAUGAUCUUUUCUUGGUUUUGUUGUGAGAUGUUUCUAUUUGGAUGCUCUAUUUAAUGUAUUUUGAUGGGUUUUUGAGGAAGGCUUGUAUGUAUUGACAACAAUAAAGUGCUUUUUAUAAAUCCUAGUCCUCCAACACUAAAAGAAAUUAAUACGCUUGGUUUAUAGUUAAUAAAAAUAUAUAUAUUUUUAAAAAAAGUCUUUUUCUUUGGCAUAUAGUAUGCGUUUUGAGGGAAAAAAAAUUAUCCCACUCCUAAUUCGUCCUCUUCUGCGAUAUUAAUGUGUUAACACGAAGAUUCAUUGUAAUUGCAACAAUUUUGACGAAUCCAAACGUUCAAUAACUGUUAAAUUGUAUUUAUAAAUACUAAUAGCGAAGGUACAGAAACGAUUAAUUCACGAAGUUGCUUAAAGUGCAUUAAAUUAGAGAGUAUAAAUAAUUGUGUGAUACAGUCCAGCCUUCAUCUGCUUAUAAUUAGCAACCAAAAACCACUUUGCAACACCAUUAAAAAAACAUUUUAACAUUAUUGCUGAGGGAAGAGGCAGCUUAGGCUUAUUAACUCGUAUUAUUAAUGCUGAUGACGCAGCUGGUAAUCCUUUUGGUGAAUAUAUUAAGGCAGCUGAAGCUUAAAAUUAAUUAAGCCCACUAAAGCUUAAAACUAAUUCUUCUGGUGACGAUACUUUGCUUAGUUCGCUUUUUGUUUUUAAUUUUUUUGGGGCUAACGUUUUGCUUAUUUUGCUUUUAAAAUUCUAUUCGCGUUGCUGUGGAAUAUUGUUUCUCCUUCGAUUUUCUGUUUUUGUUGUUAUCGGAUUUGAUGAUGGUUUAUAUGUACGAAGAUUAUGUAAUAAAGUGCUUUUGUAAAAAUACUAAGGUAAUAUACAUUACACAUUUGUACUCAAUAAGAAAUCAAUUCAUUAAUAUAAGCAUUAAUACCCCUGGUUUAUUGUUAAUGAAAAUUAAAAAAGAAAAAAAAAAGUCUUUUUCUUUGGCCUUUAUUAUGGAUUUUAAGAGGAAAAAAAUUUAUCCCACUCCAAUUCAUGAAGAUAUUCUCUUUUCUGUCAUAAAGAUCCAUUGCAGUUGGUGAAUUCAAAUAUUCAGUAACUGAUGAAAUUGUAUUUAUAAAUUCAUACUAAUAGCAAUUGAAGAUUAUAAUUAAUUUUGUAAUAUGAUCUAGCCCUCGUGUGUUUAAUUAGCACUCAAAAACCACUUUACAUAAAUGAGGUUUCAACAGCUGAGAAAGAGAUAGCCAUUAUACAUUACACAUUUGCACUUAAUAAGAAAUCAAUUCAUUAAUAUAGCCAUUAAUACGCCUGGUUUAUUGUUAAUGAAAAUUAAAAGAGAAAAAAAAAGGUCUUUUUCUUUGGCCUUUAUUAUGCAUUUUAAGAGGAAAAAAAUUUAUCCCACUCCAAUUCAUGAAGAUAUUCUCGUUUCUGUCAUAUUGAUGUGUUAAUAUGAAGAUCCAUUGCAGUUGGUGAAUUCAAAUAUUCAGUAACUGAUGAAAUGGUAUUUAUUUAUAAAUUCAUACUAAUAGCGAUUGAAGAUUAUAAUUAAUUUUGUAAUAUGGUCAAGCCCUCGUGUGUUUAAUUAGCACUCAAAAACCGCAUUACAAUAGGCAUUAAAAGAACAUUAUAACGUCAUUGCUGAUGAGUUCUGGUGAAGAUAUUAAGUUAAGGCCACAAAAAUCGAAAUGUACGUAGCUUCGUUUGUUUUUUGUUUUUGAUUUUUUUUGGGGGGCAAAUGCUUGGCUUCGUUUGCUUUUUCGUUUUUGAUAUUUUAUUGGCUUUAUUGUGUGGCAUGUUCUUGUUUUCUUUUGAUUUUCUGUUUUGGUUGUUAUGGGAUUUGAUGACGAUGUACAUGUACAAAGAUUAUGUAAUAAAAUGCUUUUGAUAAAUUGUGGAACAAAAGAAGAACACUAACGAACUAAUUAAUUACUAAUAAGAACAUUAACAAUUUUUGCCGAAGUCUGAUGAAGAGAAAUAUUACACAUAAGUAACGGUACCGCGGAAGGAAAAAAUAAAAGAAACUAAAGUUUAUUUCAACAGCUAAGAAUGAAAUAGGCAUAAGAAAUUAACCCAUCAAUUAAUUAAUUAAUACAGUCCCCUGCUACUAAAUAAUGCGAGCCCCUUACUGUACUUAACAUUUUUCUUUUUAAUAAUUUAAAACAGUUUUCAACUGAGAUUUGAAUUUUAAAACUACAUACACAAAUACACCUGAUUUUAAAGAAAAAAAAUUUCUAAUAAUAAAAUAUUUUACAUAUAUAACCAUAUGGCGAAAAAAUAAAUAUAAGAAACUGAAGUUUCAACAACUGAGAAUGAGAUAGGCAUAAGAAAUUAAUUCAUUAAUUAAUUAAUAGAGUCCUCCUUUGCUAAGCUAAAUAAUGCGAGCCCAUUGUUCUUUUUAUUUCGAAAACCCAUUAAUCACCAACACAUAAUACACGCCCAACUUUUUUUUUAAAAAAAACCUAAUAAUAAAAUAUUUCAGUCGUCCUCUGUUGAGUCGUCCUCUGUUGAGUCGUCAUAAAAAACCCAUUUACCAGCUAUGACAGCAAGAGGAAUAUGGGUUAACAAGUCCCAAUAUUGUCCUCCAUCCUUUCUGCACUUCUUUUCUAUCAACGGACAAUCCACGAUUCUUAAUUGCAAAAGUGAGGAAGGCAGGCCCUUCUCCGGAAAGUAUUUGAGCUUGGGACAAUGAUAGAGACCCAAGUGAGUGAGGUUUUGAAGAUCAACAAUUGAAGAAGAUAGGCGUUCCAGAUUUGGAAAAUUGUAAAUCCACAGAGAUGUUAGAGAGGCAGGAAGAGGAAGCGCGGUCCCUAAUCUUUUGUCCUCUAGUGGAAAUGACACCAUGUCGUCAUCGCAUCCUAUGAUUUCAAGAUGUCGCAGACAGGAGAAUCUGUGAAAUCCCCGGCCCCGCUCAAUCAUUGACUUCCAAAUCUCCAUAUUACCCUCAAUCCAAAGUGAAUGAAGGUUGAUGGGAAGGCCAUCUUCUUCUUCAAGGCUUGGAAGCUCACCUCCUUUUCCUAUUGUUAAUUGUUGAAGAGAGGUCAGAUUGUGCAAUCCCUUGGGUAAGGCCUCUAGUCUCUUACAAUCAAGUAUCGUCAGCCUCGUGAGUUUCGCACAAGGGAAUGCCCCUUGGGGAAAGGACACUAGAUUUCCACAAUACGCUAUGCUAAUCUCUUGAAGCUGGCGGAGAUUAUGUAAACCACUCGGUAAAAUUUUCAGAUUUCCACAAUUAGAAAUGUCGAUUGUUUCAAGAGAUGUGUUGUUGUCCAACCUUUCUGCUAUUGACUCCAGCUUUGAACAUCCGCGAACAGAAAGGGACUUAAGAGACGGAGGUAGAUUGCCAACUUCAAGGGACUCAAGCGUGGCAGGUAACUCAUUUUUUGAAAAUAUACAUGUCAGUGAUGGACAGCUGUUAAUACGCAACUGCUCAAGAAGAGAUGAGGUGUACCUUCUAUUGCUGCUGCUGCUGCUACACUGGAUGCCCUCUUCCACUGUCAAAGUCCUUAUAUUACUGCAAUUGUUAAUCACCAACUGCUUAAGGCUCGGUGGUAGCUGGACUCCAGCAAUAUAUGUCAACGAAUGGCAAAAGCAAAUCUCCAAGAUCUCGAGAGAUGAAUUGGUGUCGCACAUCCAUGCCUCUGGUAAUGAUUUCAGUGCAUCACAUUCCCUAAUCUCAAUUGUCUUCAACUUGGAAGGCAGAGCAACCUCAGGAAAGGAAACAAGGGAACUGCACUUGUAGAUUUCUAUCUCUCUCAAGGAACUGAGACUGAGAGAUGAUUGUGGCAGCUUCACAAGGCCUUCGCAAUAUCUCAAUCUUAGAUAUUCGAGUCUGCAUGACAACUCGCAGAGCUGCUGUUGUUGGCCUUUCUCUUCCUCCGCCACCAAGGAUUGAAGUUUGGGACACCGUCUAAUCGUCAGUCUUCUGAGAGAGCAAAUGUCUUGCAGUAAUUCGUUAUGACUCUUCCAUAUAUAUGUCUGCUCUUUCAUUUCAUUUAUCUUCAAUUCUUCCAAUUUUGGUAGUCGCGGCUUUAAUGGCCCUGCGAGAAACACUUGAUUUGAUCUAUCUCUACAAACCACUGAAUUCUGUGAGCCGAGAUGAUCAGUUGCACUUCUCCACACAACCUUUUUACAUCCACCACUCUGUAAUUUGCAAAGAGCUGGAAGACUCGAAACUGAAACUGACAAUUCUUCACAUCCUUUAAUAACAAGCUUCUCCAAUGCAGGAAGGCGUUCUGGAAAUGUUCCUUGCAGCUUAGAACAUCUUAAAAUGUGAAGCUCUCUCAAUUUAGGAAACCGUUCAACUCCCUGACUGGAUCCAUGAGGAAUCCAGUCUUCCCAUCCUUGCAUGUCUUCAAAAUGAAGAGUCUCCAAGCAUGGAAAAGGAAUUGGAGUAUCAUUCCCAUAGAACUCUGAACCCAACCUCUUUACACUAGUCAUUCCACAUACUGCAAGAUGCUUUAGAGAGGGUAGUUGCCCGACUGACGGCAGGGUAGGACACAUGCCACAAUAUUCAAAUUUUAAGGUCACCAACUUUGAGAAUGAGGAAUCUCCGAACCAAGUUGGAAAUUUUGCACCUCUAUAGCCGCUGAUACAAAAUUGUUCCAAAUUUUUAUUGGGUUCUAGCAUGUCAAGCACGUCCUUUUCAAUUUCCGCCUCCCUUGAAGACGAGCCAUCGGUACUGAGUGUCCAUCGAAGCAAUAAUUCUCUAAGAUUCUUCUUUCCAUCCAAUUGAGCCUCCUUUGCAUCACCAACGUCUUUUACAUUCUCCAAUUUUGAAAUGUUAAGUGUCCCAUGAAGGUGCGUCAACAACUUUAGCUCUCGUAACCCGGAACCACUGCCUUUUC
rnacentral:lncRNA from 1 species